rnacentral:lncRNA from 1 species
UUUUUUUUUUUUUUUUUGAAGUUGCUCAGAAUGUUAGCUAACUAGGCAGCUGACUUAUUCUUUCAUGAUAUUUAGAUGCUCAUGUCCACCAUUUCAGUGAUCAUCGAAAACAACUCUAGUUUUACAGUGUACGUAAUGAGUUGGUGGUAAAUCUGUAAUUGAUUUCAAUAUUCCUGCAACCAUCAAGCUAUUAUCAGACACUGAGUGCAACCUUCAUUCCGAUCAAUAGUAUGUACAAGUCCAAAAUUAACACAAUAAUAUAGAGAGACAAAUUAUUAGUUACCACCAUUUUCAGAGUUAAGGCCAGCCAAGGAAAGAAAUUGAUCUCCUUCCUUCAAAGAAACAACAGCUAUCCUUUUUUUUUUUUUUUUUGCUAGGAUGAGUAGAUGCUAUACAAGAUCAGCCAACCCUUAUAUAUAUGUGAUUUAGAAACGAGUGAAGACUGAAGACUUUGUAUCUUUUUGCAUGCACAGCGUACAGAACAUGUCUUUUGAUCUUCUCCAUUAAAAUUGUGCAGAGAACAAGGUCGAUGAAAGCUCACACCCCUCCCAUCUAAAAAGAGAGGCAGAGAGGCUCUUUCAUGACGAAACAAACAUCUUGAGCGAAAGGUAACAUUAUUAAGCAAAAAGAAUUGAAUGAAUUACAUAUGCAUGCAUGUUUAAUUAAUGAUAGCGUUGAUCGGAGAUAUUGAGCAUAAAACGAACACAAUGAUACAAAUGCAGCGCCGGCAAGCAAAAGAAUUGAGGGGGAAAAUUUGAAUUCGAACAUUGCUAGCUAAUUGCGUGAGGUGGAAGGGUGGAUGAUUAAAUAAAUAACGUGGAGCGGGUUAAUGGGACCUCGGUUAUGAGAUGGUGGAUUUCGUAAUUGAUCGAUAGCUAGAGCCUACAAGUAAUACCGAACGUUCUUUGCUGUGAUUAUAACUUCAUAUUCUAUGCUGAAUAUUGCUUGGUUCAAGAGUUGCAGCUCAUUACACAUUUUUGGGUAUUAAAAAAAAAAAAAAAUUAAGAAGUUAGGUAUCGCAAGUGUGUGUGUGUGUGUGUAUGUUUAAAGCUACAUGAUCUGGUCUUUAUCUAAGUUCUGUUGCAGUUUUACGAAAAUGUAAAACAAAAGCUUAGUCACGCAGUUACACUUGUAGGAUAAGAUCUUAUAUAUAGAGAACUUCUGAUAAGGUCUAAGUGAGAACUUUUGAAAUUUGAAUGAGAAAAUUUGUUCUGACGCAUCAUGUAUGACACGGUAUGAACUAUGAACCUCAAACAUCGCUCAAGACUUAUUUGGUGGUCUAGUAAACUCAUGAUCAAAUAUCUAACUUUAAAGUAAUAAUUGAUGAUUAAACAUGCUGCAUUGAAAAACAUGUAAAUGUGCUCGAUCACAGAAAACAUUACUAGCACAUAUAAUUGGGGAAAUGCGCACGCCGAGUUUUAUUGAUAGCCUAGCAUGACCCAAAACCAGUCCUCAAAACUAGUUAUAUUACACCGGAACUCCAGUAGUUCCACGGACAGUGACCUCUGCCUCCACUACGCAAGUAUCAUUCUUGAAAUAACCCUUGUCUGCUUGACUAAACAUAUUCAGCGCGAUGAAUUUAUGGAAACCGGUACCCCAACUCUUUUUCAAGGCACCAAAGAUCUUAGUACCUAGAAGUAGAAUAAACAGUCUAUUAGCGAGCCGAAUGCUGCAGACAAAAUAUACCAGUAUCUAAUACACAACAAACUAUCAGCCCCUUUUACCAGUGUAUAUAUGUGACGUUAAAAGGAGAGACUACAUAAAAAUGUCAAUAACUUAGUCAAUACAAUCUUUACCAAUAUAUAGACAAAGAGCAAUGCCUGUCAUGAAUUUGAUCUAGGCAGCGCAGUGUGCAUGGAAUCUGCAAUUAUAUGAGAGCCAGAAGGAAGGGUCUCAGGAUUAGCCAGUGCGAGAGAAACAUAAAGAGAUGACCACGUCCCUUGGGAUAGAGCUCUAUCUUCCUACAACAACCUGUUUGAAGAACAAGAAAACUAAAUAUGUUAGAUGUCAAGCAUCAUAAUUCGUAACAUCGAUCCAAUAACUUUCAAGCACAAAUGUAAUGCAUACAAAACAUUAAUUCAACAAGUUCACGACUCUAAAAUUGAAAAGAUAAUUGGCAAUUUGGCAUCGAUCAACUGCUCAAGUACAUAGUUUAAAACCUAGCCUAUAUAUACUUUUUGGUAUUUCACAACGCUUAAUUAAAAGAGAUACCGUUCAUAGCCUCCAACACUAAAGGGUUCUGAUGAAUAGACUUCAGCACAAGUUAUCAAGCUUCCAAACAUGCUUGUCAACAAAGGCAUUACUACUCUUUCUAACACACUCCUUUCCGAUCCCUGUUCGGGCUGUUCUCCUUUCUUUACAAACGAAUACAUCCGCUCCAUACACGCAAGUGUCACCAACAAGAUAUCCAUUGGAGGCAUCAGUAAAAUCUUUAGUUGGGAUGAGGUCAUCAAAACCAGCCGCAUCAGUGACAGCAACAUUAAUCUAACAAGUACAGAAACAACCAAAAACAUUUACAAACAAUCAGAAACAGGGUAAUAUAUAUAUAUAUAGACGCAUUUUCAGGUGCGGACGUCCGCACCGUAAAACGGUACGGAUUUCCGUCCGUUUGACACCGUACGGCGUCGCGCGAGGGCGCGCCUCCACCUCAGCGGACUCCAGCAGCUUCCCCGACCACUUUCCAUCCCCGGCGAAUCCGCCGAAUUCCAGNNNNNNNNNNNNNNNNNNNNNNNNNNNNNNNNNNNNNNNNNNNNNNNNNNNNNNNNNNNACUGGAAAAGAACGGACUCGCCGGGGAUGGAAAGUGGUCGGGGAAGCUGCUGAAGUCCGCUGGGGUGGAGGCAUGCCCUCGCACGGUGCCGUACGGUGGCGAACGGAUGGAAAUCCACACCGUAAAACGGUGCGGACGUCCGUAACAGAGAAACCCUGAUAUACAACCUUUCUCAUGUGCGGAUUAUAUAUAUAUAUAUAAAUACAUACAUACACAAUUUUCUUCUAGUGCGAGACACCGCUUUGAUUUUAUAGGCUAUUAUAUAUUACAUGGCUUAAAGAUAUAGCGUUUUGUAUGAACUCAGAACGCACAUGAGAGAUUCAAGUAACAAAUGGAAAACAAAAGCUAAGCCAAACCGUAACCCUAAUGGGAUUACACUGGUAGUUGAGAAAUUGCUCUCCUUUUGCUAAUCUGUUAAACACAAGAUCAAACAUUUUAACGACACAGUAAUAUCUGAUAAACAUGAUAUAACAAAAAACAAGUAACUGUGUUCGAUCUUCACUUGAGGUCAGAAACAGUACAUCCAUAUCAGGGUACUGUGCACCAUCCAGCCCUUCAUUUGUAACCCGCCAUGGUGCAAAAUUUGUCCUCAGAACAAAUUAUUACAGAACUCCAGUAAUUGCAUGGACAGUGACCUCUGCCUCCACAAUGCAAGUGUCAUUCAUCAAAAAACCCUAGUCUUCCUGGGUGAACAUCUCCAGUGCAAUGAAACGAGAGUAACCCCAACUCUGCUCAGACUUCAAGGCACCGAACAUCCUGUCAAUAGUACCUACAUGAUGAAGACACAACAUAUGCUGUUAGCCCUUUAAAUUUUUCUUGGUUCCUAUAUAUAUAUAGCACACGAAACACUUGUACUAAUUGUUUGAGUGUGUCAAUAACAGUCCAGUCAAUCUUUACCGCUAUAAUUAUAGUGAUGCCCGUCAUGAAUUUAUCUAGGAUGCGAAAUUUAUAAUCUGCAUAUAUAAGGGAGCGAGAAGGAAGGGUCUCAGGAUUUGCUAAUUAAGGUGAGACACAGAGAGAGAUGACUAUCCUUUCCAUCACCAAUUCCCUUCGGAUAGAGAGCUAUAUUCCUGCAAAAGACAUUUUAAGUCGAGGAAAAUUAGGAACAAUAUUAAAGUAUUGCAUGCAUUAUAACUUCUGUACAAUCUUCAAACACACUCGAAUGCAUUGGAAACGAUUAUUUAAUAUGGAAUGAGUAUACUGCAACUGCAAAAUUAAAUAGCAUCUAGAUUUCAAAUCGCAAUGUUUAAUUGGAUAUACCACUUAUAGCCUCCGGCACUGAAGGGUUCUGAUGAGUAGAAAACAGCAUCUAAAUUUGAAAAGUUAUCAAGCUUCCAAACGUGUUUGUGCAUGGAGGCACAUCUCAUCUUUCUUAGACACACUCCUUUCCCUGUUCUCCUUUCUUUACAAACAAAGACCUCAGCUCCAUACACACAUGUAUCAUCAACAAUAUAUCUAUUGGAGGCAUCAGAAAAAUCUUUUAUGUGGAUAAGUUGAUCAAAACCAGCUGCAUCAAGCACAGCACCGUUGAAGCACUUUUGCUUUGUAAAAGCAUCUAUAAGAGUGUAAAAUAAAUAAUUACAAUAAAUUGAGCAAUAGCCCUUGCAUUUAUAUAUGUACAUGAACAAGUUUACUGAAUUGAUACCUUCAAAAACCGAGUAGACUCUCUUAUUCUGAUCAAGCAAAAACAAUCUGAAAUCGACAUAUAUAUACCUCCCAACCAGUUGGAAGAGAAUCUGUCGGCUAUGACCAAGUAGAGAGAGAUAUGGUUUCCCACAUUCCUCCUCUUAUUUCCAUUUGGGUACAACACCAGUUUCCUACGUGUGCAAAGCAAAUUACAUAAUUCAAAUUUUAUCACUAGUUGAUAUGAAAAGAGAUGAGAUAGAGACAAAGAAGUAGAACUGAAUUACCAUUUGUAUCCUCCAGCUUCAAACUGUGAUGAUCCAUACCUAUCCUUUGUAAAACGUUCACUUACCAUCUUAAAUGACUCUAUUUUUACAGUGCAAUGAGUUGGCGGUGAAUCAGAAAAUGAUGACAUAAACUGAGUGCAACCUUAGUAACUAUAUAUCAAUAAUAUGUUCAAGUUCAAAAUUAACAUAAUAACAUUUACAGAGCUAAGGCCAGACAUGGAAAAGAAAUUGAUCUCCUUCGUUCAAAUAAACAGCAACUAUAUAUCCUUCUUUGCUUGAAUUUAAGAGGGUAACAAUUAGUAGAUGCUAUACACAAGAUCAGCCAACCUUUAUAUAUGAUUUGGAAACGAGUGAAGACUUGGUAUCUUUCUACACAGCGUACAAAGCAUGUCUUUUGAUCUUCUCCAUUAAAAUUGUGCAGAGAACAAGGUCGAUGAAUAUAAAGAACCGUAUUGGGGAUAGAGAUCAAUAGCUAUAUGCAUCUUUCCUCAAUAAAUCAUGUUUGCACAGUGCCCUAAAUCCUUGCUUUAAUUUUUUUUUUUUUUUUAAAGAAAUUAUCCCCACCCUACCCUUUCUGCCUUUCAUAUGGAUAUGAGAUGGUGGAUUUCGAAAUUGAUCACUAGCUAGCUAGAGCCUAAAACUAUUUCUAAAUGUUCUGGUUUAGAUUAUAACCUCUUAUUAUUUCAAAAUAAAACUAGGUAAUCUACAUUUUUAGGUAACACUAUAUAUAUAUUACAUUAAUCAACUCUACACUGUAGGGUUUCAUAUGCAUCCAAGUUCUGUACAUACUCAGAAGACACCAGAGAGAUGAUAAGCCAAAACGGCCUGGUGGGAUAUGAUCUUAUGCGCUGCGAAAUAAUUGAGGAAUUUGUUCCCCUUUGAUAAUCCACUACUAGCAAAAUGAGCUCUUACACUGAUUUUGCUUAUUUCACAUGGAUAUCAGUGUCAGAAAACCAUUAUUUACAGUACACUCACGAAUUGUCUAUCCGUGCUCUUAGAGAGGGGGCUAAUGCUCGUUACACACAGAUAAAAAAGUCCUGUGAAUUGUAGAUGUGGACCCCAUUAUCUUUUCAUAGACAUAAUUUAUUUAUUAAAUAGUGUUUAAUGAGAACAACUAUCUAAUUCAUACGGAUAUGUGUGAUAAUAGUAAAUAUCAACUGACACUGAACUGUGUGAAAGAGUAAUAUUACUAAAAAGAAAAUGUUGGUGUCUAGACCUAUGGCCUAACAUGUCAUCUAUGUCAUGGCUCUCAUACACCAUCACGAGUAUCAUCUUGUACACCAUCCUAAGACGUGGUCAAUCCAUCUCAUCAAACACCAUCAACCAGCUGGUAAUCAGAUACCAUGGUUAGCUGCUCAUAUGCCAUAUGGCUCCCUGACAACAUCUUUUAUUGCUAAAAAUGAAAUAAACAACAUGAAAGAACUUAGACAAGCAAGGUGGAUAUUCACUGUAUGUAUAUGAACACUUAAAAUGAUUAAUAGACAAUUAGUCUUGAAUAACAAUAUAUUACCUAUAUAUAACUGGCUGGGAUUUCUUCAAGUCCCUUUCUGUUAGUAGACUAUCCUCAACAAUCUGCACCUCUGAUAGAAUUUUUGAAGGCUUUUUUAUGGCAAAGCACAGAGGUGGUCUGCAAGGAAACCCAAGUUAAUCUCACAAUAUAAACAUGCAAAUUUUGGAAAUUUUGACAAUGAUUACGUGCAAUAACAUCUAAAGCAAUCCACCACAAACUGAUGGAACCAAAGAACCACAACGCAAAUUAUUCAAAAUCCAAUAACAAGUUGAACAUAAAGUAUAUGAAAAAUGGAUCAAAGAAUAAACCUGAAUCGAUCUGCUAUUUCUUAGAUCUGAGAUCGAAUCUGGGUUCGAAGAUAUCAAACAGAGCAAGGAAAUCAUGAGAUCUGCUAUUUUUAACAAUAAACUAGGCAUGGAUCAAAGUAACAAAGUGGAAGAAGAUCUAGAGCAGCUUGCUCAUCCAACAGAGGAAAGAAUAGGAGAGAACCUAUAAACUACAAAGGAGAGAAGUGAAGAUGAAUGAUCUGAUGGCUGAUAUAAGAUUUAAUGAAACCUAUCACAGAUUUCCAUAUAGAAGGAGCACAACUCUCACAUAUUUCCGUAUGUAAUACUUUUGCAGUUGUUACAGACGUGUGUGAAUUGAAGUAAGUGGUCAUUCAAAUUUUCGGAGGGAAUUUCAAUAUUUGGGUUUAUUUAUCAAACGGAUUUCUGUGUUCGGUAUUUUUCUCACGGACGUAUGUGUCUUUUACUUCUCACGUUUAUAUGUGUAUGUACAAUUCUCACAUAUUUGUAGCUAAAAGAUAUUGUUACGGAAAUCUAUCACUAUUUAAUCCAUAUAAUAUAAAAGAUAACGAUUUUUAAAUAUAUUAAUAUCUAAUACGUACAUAAAUCUGUGCAUAUUGGGCAUGCCACAUAUAACCGUGUGAAUAGAUAGUUUAGUUUCACAUAGACAUCUGUGUCUAAUGAUUUUUCACACGGAUUGUAGUCACUUUUGUUGUUGCAGAAGUUCAUGUGGUAAACUCAUACUCAAACAAUUAACUUUAAGGAGCCUAAUAAACUUGCUAUAUUGAAAAUAAGUAACUGUGUAUGAUCUUCACUGAGAUCAGAAACAUUACGGGCACUGUGCACGCAACCCUUUCAUUCAUAGCCUGGUAUGGUGAAAAUUAGUUCUCAUGACAAGUUGUUACUACAGAACUCCAGUAAUUGCACGAACAGUGACCUCUGCCUCCACUAUGCAACUGUCUUUCAACAAAAAACCAUUUUCUUUCUUCCUGAACAUUUCCACCGUGAUGAAUUUAUUAUAACCCCAACUCUUAUUCAAGGCACUGAAGAUCCUACCAUUAGUACCUACAAGUAGAAUGAACAUUCUGUUAACUAGCUAGACGAAUGCUGCAGCCAAAAUAUAACAGAGUACACAAGAUGCUAGUACCCCAUAGGUUUUGUUUCUCCAGUUACUGUAUAGAUUUGUAUACUACUUGCGUGACAUCAAGUGGAGAGAACGUAUACAUAGAAAUGCUAAUAAAAGUUUGGCCAAUAUUUACCACUUAGUGAGUGAUGCGUGGAAUGAAUUUGAAUUUGAUCUAGGAUGCGCAAUGUAAAAUCUGCAAAUAUUCGAGAUCCAGAAGGAAGGGUCUGAGGAUUAGCCAAUGUGAGAAACAUAGAGAGAUGACUACCCUUUCCAUCAGCAAUUCCCUUGGGAUAGAGCUUUAUCUUCCUGCAACAACCAUGGCCAGUAGAUGAAAAAUAAGAACAAUCUUAGAUCGCAUGCAUCAUAACGUCAACCUAAGAUUCAAGCAGAAUGGGUAACAAUACUACUUCAACAAGUUCUACAAGUAUUAACAAAGAUACCAUUCAUAGCCUCCAGUAUUAAAGGAUUCUGAAUAAUAGUGUUCAGCAUCUAAUUUUUUGAAGUUGUCAAGCUUCCAGACAUGUUUGUACACUGAAGCAGUUCUUAUCUUUCUUAGACACUCUCCCUUCCCUGUUCUCCUUUCUUUACAAACGAAGACCUCAGCUCCAUACACACAUGUAUCAUCAACAAGAUAUCCAUUGGAGGCAUCAGUAAAGUCUUUAAUGGGGAUAAAUCUAUCAAAACCAACCGCAUCAAGCACAGCACCGUUGAAGCACUUCCCCUUAGCAAAAGCAUCUAACAAGGGCAAAAACAUAAACAAACACCCAGAAAUUGAGAAAUCGGCUUAGCAAAUAUGUGUACAUUAACAAGUCUACUGAUGAAGUAGUUGAUAAUAUCAUAUAAUUACUACCUUCAAAAACCGAGUAGACUCUCUUAUUCUGAUCGAACAAAAACAAUCUGAAAUCAACAUUUACCUCCCAACCAGUUGGAAGUGAAUUUGUUUCAGCUAUGACCAAGUAGAGAGAGAUGUGGUCUCUCACAUUCCUCUUCUUGUUUCCCUUUGGGUACAACACCAGUUUCCUGUGUGUGCAAAGCGAUGUUUGACAUUAUUCAAAAUGUAUCAUAUGAAAAGAAAUAAGAUCAUGUUGUGAAUCUGUGUUUAGAGGAGGCUCCUAGCUUUUUGUAGGAUGCAUGUUCUCUGUGAGGACCAUUGUAACGCAACUAUGCUCGCUCGAGGUUCAAGUACUACAUCCCUCUUGGUGCAGCCAAAUUUAUCAAAUUAAUAAUAUAAAUUGAUACGGCCAUAGUGGCCGGAUCAAACUUUUAAAAAAAAUUAAAAAAAAAGAAAAAAAAAAGAAUAAGAGCUAGAGAAAGAAUAGUAUCUACCAUUUGUAUCCUCCAGCUUCAAACUGUGAUGAUUCAUAUCCAUCUUGUGUAAAAAGUUCGGUUACCAUCGAAAAUAACUCUGUUUUUACAGUAUAGUGAGUCGGCGGUGAAUCUGAAGUUGAUUUCAAUAUUCCUGCAAUCAUCAAAACCUAGUAUUAGGCACUGAAUACGUUCAACUUCUGUUCUAUGAUUACAUAUGUCGACACAGUUCACUACCUAUAUAAUUAUAUAAAUUUAAUUUCAAUUAAUAGCACGUAUAUAUAACUGCAAGUUUCAAACCACAAUCUUCUCAGAAAAAAUAAAUAAAUAAACAGUUACCUUCGUUUUCAAAGUUACUGCUGCCCAUAAUUGAUCUCUCAAUUCAACUUAAAUCCUUUUCUUUCUUUUUUUUUUUGCUGGAAGAGGAGAACAAGAGAUGGCGUACGUAGCUUUCUGCGCACAGGCUACAAAGUAUGACGUCUUCGCAUAUAUUUUAUCAAAAUUGUGCAGAGAACAAGGUCAAUCAAAAUAAAGACCAUAAUAUGAUUGGGUAUAUGGAGGUCUUGAAACUUUGAAUAUGACCUCUCCUUCUUCAAUUGUAUCAACGUCAGCAACUAGACUCGAUUAACCAUCACCCAUCACCGACACCCUUCCUUAUACCCCAGAAAUCCCCGACUAUAAGACCUGGAUCGCUCAGUUUGCCGGCGACCCGCGAUCCGAAUUGCACGACCCGGACGUGAACUGAAUCGAAUCCAGCGAUCUGAUAAUUUCAUGUAACUGAAUCUCUCAAACUCGUAUGCUACGGAGAACAAAAUAAUGGCUUUGGAUUUAUGAUGAUUUCAGAUACGAAGACUAUAGACACUUGAACUUCUAAGGAAUAUCUCCAGCUACCAACUUCUAAGGAAUAUCUCCAGACACUUGGAUUUCUUAUGUUCCUAGCUAAUAAGAAUUAAUUUUUGAUUCCUUCCUUCAUUGGAUAAAGCCGACAAGAAAAAGCCUACCUUUUUUUUUUUUGGCUUAAUUUAUCUACAAAAUAUUUAUAAAAAAAAAAAUUAAUUUGAUUUGGUAGUUCAUUUUUUGUGGUCUUAUAAUUAAAAAAGUUCAUCGUGUUACAGGAAAAAUAUAAUCGGAAUCAGAAUCGGAAUGGUCUAUUCAUUUCAUUAGAGCAUCUCCAACCGCUUUCUUAAAAUUACUCUAAAAUAAGGAAAGAAAAACUAAAAUCUCUAAAAAAAUUAUGCUUAAAAUCCAACAGCUUCUCUAUUUUAGAGAUUUCAGCAUUUAAUACAAUAAAAAAAUAUAUUAUAUCAUUAUUAAUUAUAACAAAAAAACAUUAUAUAUUUCAUUGUAACAAUAAAAUACCCAAUCAAAUAUUCUGUUGUUGUCUUGAAUUCGUUGGAGCACGUGAAGAAUUUAAUUUUAGGAAAUGAAGGCUUUGCUGCAAAUUUGGGGAAUGAAGGCUUCUCUUUCUUCUACAUCCCCAUUUUGAGGAAUGGAAUGGGGAAGCUGUUGGACCUAAAAACAGCUCUAUAUUCCCCAAAAUUGAAAAGUUCAAGAAAAUAAGGAAGCUGUUGGAGAUGCUCUUAACAACCCUCUUUAUAUAGAGGUCGAUUACAACAGUAAUUACACGCACAUAAUGGUGAUAUUCAACAUACAUAAUGACUAAGUAAUAACUGAUUGAGCGGUUACAUCAUUUGAUCACUAAUUUGACGAAGACACACGUACAUAAGAUAUUUUUCCUUCAACACUCCCCCUUGUGUCAAGUCAAAGUUAAAAACGGUGCUUGGGGUGUUGUCUUAUUAAAAACUUUGCCAAGUAACAAAACUCAGUGGGACAAAAUAACUCUUGGUCGAAAGGAAAAAACACAACGCACCUAUGUGUGUUAGACUCCUCCUGAUACUUACAUCAAUCAAGGGAGUUAGGAACGUCUUUGCAUUCCUAGGUUUCUCACAUGUUUUUCAGAUAUAGCUUUAAGUUGUGAUUUGAGAAACAAGUAUGUCUUAUUGUCCUCGGACCUUACUUGCUUUACUUGAAUCUUGAGGAAAGAAUAAUGUUUCUCACAAGGUAUCCUCGUGUUCCCAAUGAUGAACACAUAAUCAGUUUGGAAUGACCUAUAGAAACCUAACAUUAGUAAAAACCAACCAAAGCAUCGUUUGGGAUAUUGGUGUAGGGAAUUGCAGUUUCAUUUGCAUUCCCUUUCGUCUUUUUGUAGGGAUAGGAUGAACCUAAGUCAAUGAUUCCUUUAGGUAUCAAAAUACUUUCUUUAUACCUUCCAAUGACACUGCGUUGGCGCUAAGCUAUGUGUAGCUACAAGUUCUUUGAGAAUGCAUUGUCUAGUCGAGUUCAUCGGGUUAAGUACAAUAUUACGCCUGUUGCACUUUAGAGAAGAGUUUUCAUUUCUCUACCCACCCUUCUUCGUUAUCUUCUUUUGGACGAAAUGGAUUUUCCUUUACAUCCAAACAUCAACCGAUCAUUGGGAGUGCUAACAGUAUGCAUUUUGUCCAUGUAAAUCGCUUGAGAAUCUUUUCGACACAUGCAGACAGGUGGAUUAGUAUUCCACAAACUCAUUAUUAACCGAGUUCCUUAAGAUUAUUCAUCUCAAUUGAGAUUUCAUAGAGCUCGCGGUUUCUCUUACUUCAUCCAGAGUACCUACUAUGUUCCUAUCAUCAACAUAGAUAGCUAUAAUUGCAAAUCUGAAACUCUUUGCAUGGGCAUAGUUCAUCAUUUUGUAUCCCUUCCCAACCAAGUAGUCACUUGUAUAAAGUGAGCGUUUCAAUUCUAAUUGCACUCUGUGGUUUAGAGUUACUUAGGUUAGAUAGUUUAAGGCCAUUAGACACUUUUAUGAAUAUAUCCCAAUCAAGAUCCCCAUGGAGAUAAGUAGCAACCACAUCGAUGAGCUGCAUUUCCAUUAUGGGAGAUUAUGUCUCCUCGUAGCCAAUCUAAAGCGUUGCGAGAAACCUUGGCACCACAAGGCAAACCUUGUCCUUUAGGGCUUCAUUCUUCUCAUUACGCUUUUUGAUAAAGACUUAUUUAUGUCCUUCACACUUUACACUUGGUAAGGUUAGCACUACCAAAACCAAAUACUUGUCUCUUUGUUAGAGAAUCUAGCUCCUCCUGGAUUACACUUUUAUUUAGGCUAAUAUGCUCUUUGUUGACAUUCUUCAACUGAGCGUGGUUCGGUACCUUCGUGCUCUAUAAUUCCUUGAGCAACAGUGUGAAUCAUCAAUGUGUAUGUACUCUCGUAAUCUAUUGAGAUUUUAUCUCUGGAAUCAUUUUAAAUAUCAGAGCGUCCUCCAAUAUUGAUUCAUAGAUAUAGUUGUAAUCAGAGACAAUCUCAUGAGAGAGAUUCCUUACAUUGAUGUGGUUGUGCCUUACUCGCCCGAUUCCUUUAGGCAAGUAUUGAUCGAACCAAGUGGCCUCCCCCUAUUCCCUUAGGAAGCCACGGCCUUAACCACAUCCACUAAGUGUGGUUGCAUCGCCUCUAUCUACGGCGACGUGCCCCUUAUUGGGGUCGUUUAACCUUACAGGCAUUUGCAGCUAACAUGUGUGAUCUCGUUACUUUAGCAAUAUCUAUAAACGUAUCAGGCAUCGAAACUGUUACGUUCAAGGUAUCAAUUAUGCGGGGAUCAUUAUGAGACAGACUGGGGACAAUCAGGACAAUUCAUUGUUGUUCUCUUAGAAAAUCAUUUUUCUUAUCUCCCCCUAAGGACGGGAAGACUGGCUCAUUAAAGUGACAUUUCGCAAAUCUAUUGGAAACGAGAUCGCCUGUCAAGUAUUCCAAGUGGCGGAUGAUUGUUGGAGAUCCAUAUCCAACAUAAAUACUUAUUCGUUUGUGAGAACCCUAUUUUAAUACGAUGUGGAGGCGCAAUAGGCACAUAUGUUGUGUAACCAAGUCUGCAUAAAUCUCAGGUUCAUGUUCAGUUACUAACUGGUACACAUGAAAUGGUUAGUUAGCAGUGGGUUUAAAAACGAGUAAGUAAGACUACGUGCAAUAUUGCAUAACCCUAAUCAUAUGUAGGUAGGUUGGUGCACAUAACUAAUACCUAUAUGUGGUGUCUUCUAUGAGACCAUUUUAUGUAUGCAUAUGGGGUACAAGAUGCUCUACAUUGAUCCUGGUAGACAUGCAAUAACCAUCAAGUCCUUUUGAUGUAAACUCCUAGCUGUCAAGUUCUGUAGACUUUAUGAUCAGGGUGGUGAGCCCGUAUAGUAUGUGCUAAGAGUUUUUGAGGUGCAGCAUAUCUUAUAGACAAUUGUUCGACAUGUGACCAGUUUGUCGAAACGUUCUCCAUAACCAUAAAAUACGUUGUACAGUAGGUUUUCAUAUGACAAUCAUUGACACUAAUAUCUGUGAAACUUUAACAAGGUUCAAUUAGCUUGUAGUGCAUACUGAGCUUUUGUGACUUUAAUUUGUGGGUAGUCUCAUUAUAAGCUAAGCACUCUAUUUCUCCUCGAUACAUUUCUUAAAAGUAUAUGGGAGUGUAUAUAAUUCAAAAAAUGUACCUCAUAUUUAUUUGAGUAUUUCAAUUUAAGUAGAAUGAUUAGGGAUGGCAAUGGGUAGGGUAGGGUACGGGGAUCAAAAUACCGUACCCAUACCCUUUUACAUUUCUCAUCCCCAUACCCAUCCCCGUACCCGUAAUUAGAUAAUGGGGAUUCCCCAUACCCGUACCUUUUAGAGAUUACGUUUCCAUACCCGUACCCGUACCUGUUAACAAUUAUGUAUUAAAUUAAUUUUUUUUUAAAAUACGAAAUACAAUUAUAUAAAAGUAUGAAAUUAAAAUCAAAUACCAAAAUAAAUAAGUUUCAUGCUUCAAUCCAAUAAAAAUAAAUACAAGUCUUGGUUAAAACAGAACAAUAUCGGUAAAUUUCAUUAAGAGAAUAAAAAUAUAUAAUAAAAAGGAAGGUCCAUUAAAUGUUUAUUAAGAGAAUCACAAAUUUUUUUACAUAAAUAUUUAUUUAUAAAUUAUAUAUAAAUAUAUAUAAAAUAAAUUAUAUAAUUAUAUACAAUAAUAUUUUCAUCCUUUAAUGGGUGCGGAUAGGGACGAAUAUCAAAAUACCAUACCCGGCCCGUACCCGUUUAAGAAUCCGAAUAUUGGAGAUCCCCAUCCCCGUUACCCGUUUAUACCCGUAUAUCUUUCCCGUUAAGGUCGAAUACCCGUGCGUACUCUACCCGCUGGGGAUUAUUGCCAUCCCUAAGGAUGCUAUGUUUAUCAUUCUGGUAAUUUUCCUUUUUAUUUGUUGGAUGCAUUGCUUUACAUCUUUAUAGUGCUAUUUCGAACUAUGUGAUUAUUUACAUAUGGAUCGAAUAAAUUCAGUGUUUCAGAAUAAAAUUCAAAUUUAAUAAUAAGCCAACGAUAAUUAAAUAAAUGUCUCAUUCAGAAAUUCUAAUUUAUCGAACGAUUAUACCAAUAAGCUUUAAGAUGAACCAAUAGUCUAGUUGAAAUAUGAGGUGUUUAGGCCUUCACAAACAGUUUUGCAGAUCAGUCGAAAUCUGAAUACAUAUUGACUGAGCAAGGUCCCUUUUGCUAUUUUAAGUAUGCAAUUGUGAGUUUGACAUCGUGGUCAUGACCUUCUUAUUCCUUAUAAUGAGCCUUUUUUUCUUUAGAGUCUCUACACCUCUUGCAUUGGCAAGAGUGAAUGUAUAAAUCACAUAAUCAUAAAGACAUCGACGUAAAAUAACAUAAAAAAAUAUGAAUUAGAUUUCAAGACUGAAGUACGUAAGGGUCACACUUUUUCGAUGCUUCGUGUAAGUAUUUCAUCACGGUAACAUGUUAUUCCUUUCCAAUGCCAUAAAUUUACUUUAUCAUAGCAGCACAAAUUUAUACAAUAUGUUAAUAAUACAAUCAUAAAAUAAAAUAGACAUGACAUAUAUCAUGAUAACAUGUCACAAUAUUCGCAAAAUACUUUUGUCACGUAACAUGCUUAAUAUCAUAAACAAAAAUUUAACGAAAGCGACAACUUUAAUAUAAAUCAUACUUGAUAAUUUACCAAAUAAACUGCGUAUGAAGCGUUAUCCCUCACAAUUAGCAUUUGAGUUGCCACAUUUCAAUCGGGUUGUCACCACAAUUGACAUUUCGAUCGUCACAUGUCAGUGGGUAUGUCACAUGCAAAACCAUUAAGAUUCAUUCGAUUAGUCACAUUUAACCGUAAAUAGUAAGUAAUAAAUGGUGUUAUUAUAACACAGUAAAUAACUUAAACAAUAAGUACUUUUCCGUUUUACUGUUUUUUUCAUAAAACAGUAAAGAGUAAAUCUGUAAGCAGUAACUAGUAAGUCCAUAUUCACCAUAUGGUAAUUUUGUGAAAUUACCUUCGUAAAUUCUCUGAUUUACCAGAAAGGGUAAAAAUCCCUUUUUUCUGGGUCGGAUCCGGGUCGUCGGCGCCGCGUCUCAACCGGUGGCAGAGAAGGCAGGGGGCAAUCGCGGGAGUAGCAGCGCUGCCGGAUCGGAGCUUUGGGGGGACCGAUCUGGGUUGCCGUGGAGUCAGAGACGACGCUGGAGUUUUGGGACGACGCAGGUGGGCUGCCAGGCAGCUUAGGCUAGGCUGGAAGAGGUGCCUUGCUGGAAUGGCGCGCUGGGCUAAGGCCGGUGCAGGUCGGAUCUUAGCGGCAGCGUCGGAGCAGUGCCUAGGUCGGAGGCGAUGUCGCCGAUCUCAGUCCAGGUCGAGCAUAGCAGAUCGGAGUUGACCGGUGGAGGUGGGGCCCGGGGCUUGACCGGUUCGUGCGCUGGGCUGCUGUGGUUUGUCGGCGGUUCUGAUCUUGAGGUCCGAUCUUGGGCGGCGCACAAGGGCUGCGGUUAAGGCUAGGGAGCCGAACUACGUUCUGAAAAAAAAUCUAGGGUUUCACAUUUUUCGCGAACAAACUCAACGAGGUUAGAACAAAGUGUUAUACGUGUUACAGGAAAAAUAGAAUUUGAAUCAUUUACUCAUUUCAUUAGAAACCCUCUUUAUAUAGAGGUUGAUUACAACGGUAAUUACACGCACAUAAUAGCGUUAUUCAAUGCUAAUAACAACGUACAUAAUGACUAAUAUGACUAAUUAAGCCGUUACAUCCAUUGAUCAAUAACUUCCUAAUUUACUCUUACUUUGACGAAGACACAUUUAUGGUAUUUUUCCUUCAACACAUCGUUGAUUAUUAUUAUUUUUAAAUUAAAAAUAAAAAAAUAUUAAUUACAUUAAUAAAGAAACUCAAUCUUGUUCGUAAAAGCUUUCUUGAGCAAGAACGACAUUUUCUCAACAAAACCUCGAUACAAAUUUUGUAUUAGCAAAACUUCAAUAAAUAAAAUUUAUAGAUACAAAUUUUAUAUUAACAAAAUGUCUCAUAAGAUCACUUUACUCUUCAACAUGUUCGUUCAUCUAUCCAUGACAAUCAAUCGUUACUACAAUAUCCCGAUUCUUGCUUGUGUAUACUAACUUACGUAUGUACAUUCUCAAAAUAAUUAAAAUGCAUUGAAUACUAAACGUUUACUAUUUAUGCGUUAAAUACUAAAAUGUAUAGGGUUAGGAUUGUCUAUGGUGCUAGGAUGUAUGUCAUAGACUCAACUAUAACUGGCAGAUUGUGCACACUAAUGUCUCGUUAGAAAAGAAAUUGUUUACAUAGAAGAAACAAAACUCUAUAUACCUUUCAUAAGCAACGUGAUCGACAAAAACUAAACUAGCCCAACUUAAUAUAUAUUAAACGUAUGUGUAAAAUAUGGUGUUAAACAAAUGCUUCAAUUAUUUUAAAAUGAGAAAAAUUCAGCAAUAGUUUCUAAACUAUUGUGCCAAGACCAACUGAUACUCAAACUCUGAAAAAGUAUCAAUGUGAUACCCAAACAAUGAUUUUGACAUCACUGAGAUACCUCCGUCUAAUUUUCUUAACAAAACCGUUUAUUUGCUGACGUGACAUGUACAUAGAAACCAAAAUGAAAUCAAAUAACCUAUUUACCCUUAUUUAUUUAUGUUAUUUCUCUCUCUUUUUUUCUUUUUCUUUUUCUUUUUCUUUCUUGUUCUUCUUGUUAGCCAAACCACUAUUCACUCUUCUCUAUACCAUCUGAGACUGAGUUUAUCAUCUCACACACAAAACAAAUCCAAAUACAUCCAAACACAAGAAAUAGAGCAUAUAAAACGCAGGACUUUGGCUUGAUAAAACUAAACACAAACUACUUGAAAAUCAAAACCCAAGCCCCCACUGUUCUCAAAGUGUGCUCACUACCACUUAUCUCAUCAAUCGGUUGCCCAAUAGAGUGCUUGGUGAUAAAUCUCCUCUUGAAGUGUUGAAAGGAAGAAAGAUCGACAUUUCUCACCUGAAAGUGUUUGGCUGCUUGUGCUUCGUUCACAUACAAGCUAAUAAAAGAGGGAAACUUGAUCCUCGAGCUGAAAAAUAUGUGUUUUUUGGGUAUUCAUCCACCCAAAAAGGAUACAAAUGCUACAGCCCCUCCUCUAACAAGAUCAUUGUUUCCAGGGAUGUUAGAUUUGAUGAGAAUAGUCAUUUCUUUGCAGGGAAAUCAAAUGGUUACAAUCAGGGAGAGUCUCUGUUUGAUUUGUUUCCAACUCCCAGCAUUCCAGUUUAUGAGGAUGGCAAUGUGCUUUCCAAUCCUCCUACUACAGUUCAAGAAGCACAGGACGCAAAUCUUGAUCCUGAGUGUGAUCAAGCUGAUGUGCAACCUGUUGUUGACCAAGUUCAACCUAGUCCAAUGGCCAUUCGAAGGAAUCCCUCAAGAGCAAGAGGACCUCCAGUAAAACUUAAGGAUUAUGUGACUUACACAGCAAGGUAUCCAAUGACAGCCUUUAUUUCUUACAAGAAAUUUUCUGCUUCUCAUGCUGCAUUUCUUAGCACUCUUGAUGCUGCUCAUGAACCUCAAAGUCUUGAUGAAGCAAAUCAAUAUGAAGUGUGGAAACAAGCUGUGGCAGAUGAAAUUCAAGCUCUUAAUGAGAAUAAAACAUGGAGUGUGGUUAAGAUUCCUCAAGGGAAGAAGACAGUAGGCAGUAGAUGGGUUUAUAAGACCAAGUUUCACUCAGAUGGUACUGUAGAAAGACAUAAGACUCGAUUGGUAGCUCGGGGUUUCACUCAAACAUAUGGAGUUGAUUACAAAGAAACCUUUGCUCCUGUUGCAAAAAUGAGUACUGUUAGAGUUCUUCUUUCGGUUGCUGUGAAUCAUGGUUGGCCUCUUUUUCAAAUGGAUGUGAAGAAUGCUUUUCUACAUGGUGACCCUGAAGAAGAAGUUUAUAUGAAAUUGCCUCCCAGCCAUUAUCAGUUUUCUAAUCCUAGUAUAGUAUGCAAACUUCACAAAGCCAUUUAUGGCUUGAAACAAUCCCCUCGGGCUUGGUAUGCCAAGCUUAGUUCUGUUCUUGAAGAAGUUGGUUUUCAUAGCAGCAAUGCAGAUUCCUCAUUAUUUGUUCGAAUUGGUUCAACAAGUAAGCUUAUGGUGCUUAUCUAUGUUGAUGAUUUAAUUGUGACAGGUGAUAACCUAGAAGAGAUUAAUGUUCUCAAGCAAUCUCUUCGUAGCAAGUUUGCAAUUAAGGAUUUUGGGCGUCUUAAGUACUUCCUUAGUAUAGAAAUGACUACUUCUCACAAAGGGUUGUUUCUAAAUCAAAGAAAGUAUGUUCUUGAUCUGUUGAAAGAGUAAGAAUUUUGGGAUAGCAAACCAGCUAGCACUCCCCUAGAUAGCAAGCUUCAGUUUGAAACUUCAAGUGCUUUUCUCUCUGAUGUGACAUCUUAUCAAAGGCUGGUUGGUAAGUUAAUCUAUCUUACAAUUACUCGUCCAGACAUUACCUAUGCUGUGAGUAUUGUUAGCCAGUUAAGAGGAUUCUUCGCUAUCUUAAAGGCUUUGCUGGUAAAGGUAUUUUGUUGAAAAACAAUGGCAAUAUUAACAUCAUGGGGUAUACUGAUGCGGAUUGGGCUGUAACUCCCUUGAUCAAAAGUCUACUACUGGUUUUUGCACCUUUGUUGGGGGAAAUCUAGUUACAUGGAAGAGUAAGAAGCAAACGGUUGUGGCUCGUUCUAGCGCAGAAGCUAAAUAUAGGGCAAUGGCUGCUACUGCUUGUGAGCUUAUUUGGCUGAAGGGUUUGUUCUCUGAUUUGGGGUCCCCUUGUAGUCAACCAAUCUCUCUCUAUUGUGAUAAUCAAGCUGCCAUGCACAUUGCUUCCAAUCCUAUUUUUCAUGAAAGGACCAAGCACAUCGAAGUUGAUUGUCAUUAUAUUCGAGCUCAAGUUCAGUCCAAGCUCAUUGUCACUCAUUACACUCGCAGCUAUGAUCAGCUUGUUGAUAUCUUCACCAAGUCUCUUUCAACAUUCCAUUUUCAUCGUAUUUUGGGCAAGCUUGGCUCAAUGAAUCCUCUUGAUCCAGCUUGAGGGGGAGUAUUGAGAGUUAGAGAUUAGUUCUAAUUGAACUAAUCUAGUUCACUUUAGAUGCUACAGCUAUGCUACCAUGUACUGCUGGUGUGCUACCAAGUACUGUUGGUCUCCAUAGUCUCCCUAGUCUCAUUUUUCUGAAACAGCAAGUUGGUUGUUGCUGCUUGUCUCUCUCUUGCUGCAACAAGUUGGAGACAAAGUUGGUGACCUCGAUUUUGGUGCCACAGCUGUGGCUGUGGCUGAGUUUGCUUUAGCUUCGAUUCCGUUAUACGGUUCUUACUGUAUCUAUAUAUACUUGUUAUUAAACCUUGUAAAGUUUUUUAUCAAGAAAUAUAGAAGAAAAGCUUCCCCAAUCUUUGUGUUAGAUUUCUUCAGAAUCUUUUAAGACUAGCUUGUCGGUGAGUCAUUGUCUAACUAACUAAUACCGCAAAGACCAUGAGUUCAAAUCUCAUUAUCAUACUUACAUAUAUGUAAGAUGAGGAUGGACUAAGAUAGUAAAUAUAACUAAAAAAAAUCACAGAGAAAAAGAUUUUUUAGACUUCAUAUGGAACUUGCAACACUAGCAACAUAUGGAAAGGGAGACAAUAUAUGCAACCCAAGUUCUUUUGUCUCCGCCGUACCGAAUUAGAUGUUAGAACAAAACAACAAUUGAUUAUAAUUUUGACACAUGAAGCCAUUAGCCACGUACCUAAUAAUUCAUGAAAUAAUUACCUAAAAAAAAAGUGCUACACUGUUGAAUAACUUAUAGAUCAACACGAUCACAAAGAAUGCCUGGAAGCCUACGCUGCUGGUUGCACAGUUCACUCCCGCCGUCACACUGCCUAAACCUGAAAAUCACAAAAUGAAAUUAAAUCAGUAAAUCUAGAAAUUGGUCAAUAAGAAUUGUCAUAGUCUUUUUUUUUUUUCGAUUAGUAAGCAUUGUUAUAGUUCAACGUUACAAUUCUAUCAUAUAUUCCAAAACAUAGUUCGUACGUAUUCCCUACCACAUUCUCUAGUAUAAUUCGACGAACUAGAGCAGAGACACAGCUGCCCUUCAGUCUCGGUAUCAAACCCGCACGUCCCACCCGACGCCGCACACCUGUCGCAACCGGAAUCCGGCACGGCGAAGCUCAUCUUGAUCCCAUAAACCCAAUCCUGCGGCCCAAUCCCACUCAACCCGUCCGUGUUCGUCACCGUCGUGUAAUGCGUGCAGUCCAAGACAUUCAUGCUCAUGAACUUAACGGUGUCGUAACUCGUAAAGCAGCACGGCGGCGAAGUAGUGUUGGCCAUCAUGUGGAAAACCCUAAAAGCGUUGCACGAGCCGUAGAGCUCGUCGCAUGAGUGAGAGGAGAAGUUGAAGCAGAGGUAGCUGUAGUGGUUGAGGACAGGGGAGUCAAUAGAGCAGUUGAGGAGGGCAAAGACGGUGUCGGAGGUCGGAGGGAUUAGGGCUGACUGGAUGUCCGUCAUGAGGAAGUCGUGGUGCGGCUGGAGGAUGGAGCAGGUGGACAUGGCGGGGUCGUAAACGACGAUGGUUUUCUUGUCGUAGUUGAUGGACUCGACUUUGUAGGAGCCGGAGGGAGUGAGGAAGAAGAGGUCGGUGGAGCAGUUGAGCAUGCGGCGGAACUGCGGGGCACCGCAGCCGUCGUCGAGGCCAAAAGGGUAGUUUAUGGAGAUGUCGCCGCAGGAGUCGCGGCAUUGGGAGAGGGUUAGGGUAGGGAGAAGUGAGAGGAGGAGUGUGAAGUUGAUGAUGGUGAGUGGUUUAGAGAGAGGCCUCAUUUUUGUGUGAACAGAGUGAGUGAGUGAGUGAAGAAGAAGAAGUAGUGAGUAGUGAGGUGAGUAGUGAUGGUGAGGUAAGAUUAAUGGAGCGGGAUUUACUCCAGGAAUUAUGCAAUUGGGGACUUUUCGGAGACCGAAGAAGCAUUUGGGAUGCCUUUUGGGAGCUUUAUACAGGCUGUGAUGGGAUCCACGGGUAGAAAAGGUUGUAAAAGGGAGACGCAGAGGAUGAGUGUGAUAGCUUUGGGAUUCUGCAGCUAGGUGUUUGCGUUUGUAUAAGAAACCGGAUUUUUUCUGAACAAAAAAAAGAAGAAGAAGAAAAAGAACACAGGAAGACUGGGCCGGCUUCAUCAUAUAUGGCUUCAUGUCAGAUUCACAAUAGAUCGAUAUCAAUAGUNNNNNNNNNNNNNNNNNNNNAGUUCUUCUUUUAUCUGGAGGAGGAAAAGUCGAUAUCGUAUAUGGGACAUCUCAAUAUUUUGUUGUGUUGAUUCGAAAAGCGGAGUCUCAUUUCAAUUAAUAACAUCUAUGCAUCAAGCUAAAAUGAUUCGAAACUCGUUCAUAAUAUAAGAGGUGAACGUACAAUAGGUCUGCACAAAGCCUAAACACAAUAAUCUAAGCACAAUAUCUAAACACAAUAUCUAAACACAAUAAUCUAAGCACAAUAUAUACAAGUCACACGAAGCAAUCAAAUUAUUAACUAACCUAAAAAAGAAAACCUAAAGAAGCUGCAUAAGAUUAAAAGACCUCUCAAACCCUAUAUACAAUGGCCAAAAACGCCUAGAAGUUGUUGGCAAAACCAAAUAUGGUACCAUUAUUCAAGACUAGCAAGAGGCUAGGGCAAGAGAGAGCCAGCGAAGCUAACUUAUUCAAAAAAAUAACACUCCGGGGGGUUUCGAAUUGGAAUCGUUUUUGGUUCGUUCCCUCUUCUUAACUGAAUGUUUAGCUCUUAUUACUUUGCUAGGUUUUAGUAAGUUAAUUCAGGUAUAUUCAUACAAAUUUACCACAUUUGCGAUGAGAUACAAUGUCAAGUUUUGUGCAACUGACCAUAAGAUAUAUAUGGCAUGGAGUACCAUGACGGAUCCAAAGUUCAGGAUGCGUGUGUACGUACUCAGUUGAGUAGUGUUACGAUUGAAUGGAAAACAUAUUUGGGGGCCCAGUACCAAAAAAUAUAAUGCGGUGAAGGUGGAUCGAACACCUGACCUUUAGAUCUUCAGUCUGACGCUCUCCCAACUGAGCUAUCCCCGCAACUGGUAUGUAUUUUAGAAAAAAGAAUAUUGUUUAAUGUGAAAACUUUCCAACAAUCUAUUACACUCUACAAGAAUAAAGUAGAAUUGCCGGUCCUCUUUAGUCUGUUGGCUUUGUUGAAUGCUAAAUCCAUCAGCUCUAAGGUUGGACUGGCACAGAGAGAGAGAGAGACUUUUUUAAGUAAUAGUGUAAUACCUCUUUUUUGUUCUUUUUUUUUUUAAAGAAAGGCACAAGGAAAAGAAUUCUGUACAACCUAAUGGCAAUGGGUAGGGAUCAAAAUACCAUACAUGUACCCUUUUUCAUUCUUCAUUCAUGUAUCCGUUAUAUUCUCCGUAAUUAGAUAAUGAGGAUUCCCCGUCCUUUUUGGGGAUUACGUUCCCAUACCGGCCCCGCCUCGAUCCCUGUUAACAAUUAUGUAAUAAUUAUUAUUUUUAAAUAAUUACAUAAUAUAAAAAUAUGAAAAUAAAAUUAAAUACAUAUAUAAAUAAAUUUCUUUAUUCAAUUUAACAAAAACGAAUAUAAAUCUCAGCUAAAAAAGAAGUUUCUAUAAAUAAGAAGUUUCUAUAAAUAUUCAUUAAGAGAAUCAUAGUUAAAAAAUAUUACAAAUUUUUUUACAUAAAUAUAUAUAUUUAUAAAUAAUAUAUAUAUAUAUUAAAAAUAGAUAUAUAAUAAAUUGUAUAUAAUAAUAUUUAUAUUAUAAAUAGGUGGAGAUAGAGACGAAUAUCAAAUUAUCAUACCCGCCCAUAUCCUAUUCAAAAAUCCGAAUACUAAAAAUCUUCAUACCCAUUACCCGUUUAUCUCCCCAUAUAUUUCCCGUUAAGGUCGAAUACCAUGAAUACCCUACCCGUGUUGUCUAAGUUGGGACUCAAUGAUCUAAACAACUAAUACUCAUUCCGCAAUAUUCCAACACUGAUUAAUCAUGCAUACACAAACGCCAAGAAGGUACACGAAUAAAAGGUCUCAUUUAUGCAUACAUACAUGUAGAGAGGGAUAGAUCAGAUAGUACUAGUUAACGCAUUAAACAGUACUAAUACAUACGCAAUUGGUCACCACCAAGACCAUAAUACACAUCCUAGCUAGCUACUAAUUAACAUUCAUACAUAAGCUACGUACACAACGAUAACAAAAGUAAUACGCAAUUAGGUAUAUAUUGCUCCAUGUUCAAACAUUUGUAAAGCGCAGGUACCCUUUCUGGGAAGGAAGGUCCUUGGUCUUGUUGCCCUGAGGGAACAUCUUCUGGGCCUCCUCCUGCGACACAGUAGGAGAUAUCACAACAUCAUCUCCAGGCUUCCAGUUCGCCGGAGUAGCAAUUUUGUGAUGCUUCGCCUUUUGCAGCGACUCCAACACCCUCACCACCUCAUCCAUGUUCCGGCCAGUGGUCGACGGAUACAGAAAGCUCAACACCACCUAUUACAUAAUCACAAAAUUUAAUCACUACUGCAUGCCUCAAAAUUAUUCAAUCAACGAAGCACAUAAAGAACUAAAUGGCACCUUCUUGUCAGGGCCGACUAUAUGGAGAGCGCGGGAAGGUAGGCUGUUUCCGGAGGAGUCUUUCUCUUCGGGAUCCACCAUGUUGAGUUGCUUCAUGAUCUCUCUCUUGGUAUCGGCGAUGAUCGGAUAGUCCACCUUGCACCCGGCCUAUAAACAUUCAUGGAUCGAUGACAAACAAUUCAGAUCAGGUCAUCAAGUGGAAAGGAAAGCGCAAAUUACGACAGGCCGAUCUAGUAGUGAAACUCACACUGUAGGCUUCAAUGUCCUUGAUCCACUCGUUAUGAGACGAGACGUCGUCGCAGGACAAACCGAUCAGCUUGACUCCUUUCUCCUUGAACACCUUGGAGUACUCGGCCAUCUUCGCAAGCUCCGUGGUGCAGACCGGCGUGAAAUCACCUACAUCCGAAAACACAAACGUUACUUUACGUCGCCGAUUAAAUCAACAGAAGCAGAAUAUCAAGUUAGUGGCAAACCGGGGUGAGAGAAAACGAUGGCCCAGCUGUUCCCGAUGUAGUCAUGGAGCUUGAUCUUUCCUUGGGUGGUUUCAGCUUCGAGGUUGGGGAUAAUGUCUCCAAUGGUUAGCCCAGGCAUCUUCAGAGAGUAAGAGACCGAGUAGAAGUAACAGUGUUUUUUCUCUUUGAUUUUUGUUGUGGCAGAGAGAAGGGUAGAGGGAGAGGAGUUAUAUAAAGAGUCGUGGGCUGCUGCAUGAAGAGAACGUGGCUAGGGAGUUGAAGCAGUACUGGCUUCCUGUCAUUGGAAAUAGGCUCCUUCUCCCUCCACGUGUCCCACCAUCUUUUCUCCCUUUCUCCACCUUCAUCAUGAUCUCGUUCUAAGUUAGCUGGUAAGUAAUAUUAUCAUUAAUAAUUAGGCUAAUUAACCAAAGGGGAUGUAGCUCACAUGGUAGAGCGCUCGCUUUGCAUGCGAGAGGUACGGGGUUCGAUACCCCGCAUCUCCAUUAAAGUUGCUUUAUUUAAUUCCUCUAAUUUUUGAGAACCCCAAACUACCACCAGGCAGCAGUAAAUAUUUUUUACUUUUUACUAUACCCCGGGUAGAACUACCAUCAGGUAGCAGUAAAUAGUUUUUACCUUUUACUAUACCCCCGGGUAGUUUUGACCUUUUUAAUUUGCUGUGAUUUGACUGAUUUCCAAAACUACCCGGUAGCCAGACAAUAGUUUUUACCUUUUUAAUUUGCUGUGAUUUGACUGAUUUCCAAAACUAGCAGACAAUAGUUUUUACCUUUUUACUUUGCUGUGAUUUCUUUCCCGCGCAAUGACUUUGACCUUUUUAGUCACUCUCUCACUCAUUUUUGGCAGCUCAAACGAAAUUAGGGUUUUUGAGAAAAAGAGAAGCUAUGGAGGUCGCAGCUCAAAUCGGUCAGCUGCUAAACGACACCGUCAGCCCCGAUUGCGCAGCAGUCCGUACGGCCACCGAAGCCCUAGACCGCCUCUCUCAGCUUCCCGAUUUCCCUUACUACCUCAUCUCCAUCUCCGCCGGUAAUUUAUCAAUUUCUACUCCGAUUAAGGUUAAUUAAAUUCGUAUAGCUGCUCUGAUAGUUUUGAUAUCACUGUGAAAUGUUAAAGAAUGGUAAAAAAAAUUUUGGAAUUUUGAUUUGUGUUGGUGAAUCGAUUUCAAUACCAGGAGGUGAAAAUCAAGGUCAGAAAAUCGCGGCGGCGACGUACUUGAAAAACUUCACUAGGAAAAAUGUUGAGGGGGAUGUGUCGAGUUCGGCACCGAAAGUCAGUAAGGAGUUCAAGGACCAGCUCUUGCGAGCUUUGCUGCAAUCGGAGCCCGCGGUUGUUAAAGUUUUGGUUGAAGUGGUAUGCAAUUUCCUCUGCUGAAAUUUUACUAUGAUUAGUUUGGUUUGUGAGUUUUUGAUGUGUGAGAUUUGUUUUGGUGGCUUUGGGUGGCAGUUUCGGGUUAUUGUUGUUGCGGAGUUUGUUAAGCAGAAUUGGUGGCCUGAACUUGUUCCUGAUCUGCGAGCCGCUCUUGAGAAUAGUAACCUUAUUAGUGGCGCAAAUUCACAAUGGAACACGAUUAAUGCCCUUAGAGUUCUUCACGCACUUGUUAGACCUUUUCAGGUAAUUGAUAUGUUCGAUUCAAAUUGAUGUGGAAAACAGUUAGGGAUUGACAAUUACAGAAAAGAAUGUAGGGAUAUUAAGUGGGAAUAUGUGCUUAUAGUUCGGGGAGUUGGUUUCAGAAAUGAUGGUCAGUAAUCUCAAGUAUCAAAUAAGAAUUUAUGUAGCGCAGGUAUAAACCACAGUCUUGAUGCUACUUUAUGAUCUUUGUAUGCUAUAAAAUUAAAAUUUUCAUUUUCGUUCAUCCUUCUCUUCCUAAUUUUGACUGGUUACAGAUGCAUCAAAUCAGUUUUAUUUUUGAUUUUUUUCCAUUUUAUCCUGUAGUUGCAAGUGACUUCUCGUCUACAUAUUGACUUUCAUUUCUCAAUUUUCCGGAUUCGCUGGAAUACCAGUGUCUGACCAUAGUAUAUUCUUUAAUAUAUGUUUGUAAUAUUAUCACUGAGGGGCCUCUCACAUGGUAAAGUGGCAUAUACACCACACCUUUUUUGGCAGUAUUUUUUGGAGGCUACAGUUUCUAAAGAGCCAGUACCGCCACAGCUUGAGCUAAUUGCAAAGGAUAUUCUUGUGCCUUUGUUAACAUUAUUCCAUCAAAUUGUCCAAAAGGUUGUUAUCUUUUACACUUCUUUACCCUCAUUUCCCUCAUGCCCUUUCUGAUCUUCCACGAGACCUUACAAUGAUGGAUUCUAUGUAUCAUAUAGGCAUUGGGUACUCCUGGCAUGACAGACAUGGAAACAGAAAAUUUGCUUCUGAUUGUCUGCAAAUGCAUGUAUUUCACUGUAAGUAAGGCUCUUUUUAUGACUAUGCAAUAUGUAUACAAGUUUAUUUGCUCAAUCUUCUUUUCAUCCCCACACAUCUGUUUGUGUUUAUUAGUAUAUUUUAUUUGGUAUUAUGGUUGUUUCACUUUUUAGUAUUUGACAUAGUGUUAUGUUGAUAGGUGAGGUCGCAUAUGCCAUCUGCUUUAGUGCCUCUUCUACCUUCGUUUUGUCACGAUCUAAUUGGCAUUGUUGAUUCUUUGAGCUUCGACUGCGUGGUAACACCAGAAAAUGGGUACCAGAUGAGGUUAAAGACUGGAAAAAGAAGUUUGCGCAUUUUCUGUACUCUCAUUACUCGACACCGAAAGUAUUCUGAUAGGUAAUUAAACAGUGCUGUAUGUAGUUCUCUUACACAAAAGGCGUUGUUGUGCUUAUUAUUCAUGUUUUGUACUUUUUUACAUUUUUAGGUUGAUGCUAGACAUGAUAAAAUGCGCUCUGAACAUAGUCAAAUACAGCAAGAAUAUCAGCGUAAGUUUUGUAUUGAAAUUUGUUUUUCAUCAUGUUUGAUCUUGAUGUUUAAUUUGAUUAUGUCUCAUUCUGUUCCGUGUGCAGAAGAUUGACUUUUUAUCGGAGAGGGUCCUUUCAUUGUCUUUUGAUGUGAUAUCACACAUUCUUGAAACAGGGCCUGUAAGUUUCUUACUCCUGAAUGCUGUAACUCCCAUGGAACAUUAGAGAACUGAAAGUCUUUAGAAUGAAUAUUGUCAAAUUUAAGAAGCACAUGUUCUUUCUUUAAAUCAACCUACUUUCAUUUUCAGGGAUGGAGAUUAGUUUCUCCACAUUUUUCGUAUCUAUUGGAUUCUGCAAUCUUUCCGGCGUUGGUAAUGAAUGAAAAGGUAAGUGUUCGGGACAGUUAUGUGUAUGUGUGUUUAAUAUCAGCUUAAAAAUGCUUCCAAGUAAAAUUUCUUCUAAUCCCCGUUUAUUCUGCCAAUGGAUUCAAGUAGGAUAUCUCAGAGUGGGAAGAAGAUGCAGAGGAGUACAUACGAAAGAAUCUUCCAUCUGACCUAGUAAGGGAGCUUAUGUUUUUAUGAUCUUUGAUGUGAUUCAUUUACCAUUUGACCUUUUACGUACUUUGUUUUUGAACAGGAAGAAAUUUCUGGCUGGAGGGAUGAUCUAUUUACUGCCAGAAAAAGUGCUAUAAACUUACUCGGUGUUAUUUCAAUGUCAAAGGUUACUCCUAUGUGCUCCUUGAUGAAUAUAUAUGGGCAUGUAUUUUAAACAGCAUGUGAUUAUGGUUUUCUUUGAAUGUCUACAGGGACCUCAAAUGGGAACUUCUUCUAAUGCCUCAUCAGCUUCAUCAAAACGCAAAAAGGGUGAAAAGAAGAAGCAAAACAAUCAAACUUGUUCAGUUGGAGAACUAGUGGUGCUUCCAUUUCUGUCAAAGUUUCCAAUUCCUUCUGAUGCUAAUCCAUCCCAAACUAGAAUUACGAAUGAGUGAGUUCAUAAACACAUCCUUACAUAAAUAAUUGUUGAUGUUGGAACUGUAUGUCUUCUGCGCUUUAGAAUUUAUUAGUUUCAAUUUAUUAUUCUUUUUCUAUUGUUACCUUUCCUUUCCUUUUCAUUUCUUUUUAAUUUAUUUUAUUGUACAUCUCUUUAUGAAAUUUUUUCAGUUCCUGUUUGUUAUCACCAUAUUCUGUUUUGUGUGUCGCACUAUUCUCAUAUUAAUGUGGACACUUCAAAUUUAUUUUUGAUUAUUUUAUUAUGACCAUGGCAGCUAUUUUGGUGUUUUGAUGGCAUAUGCUGGCUUGCUAGAUGUAAGGAUUUAUCCUCCUGUUACUUCAUAAUUUUGUAAAUUGAGUUAUAAAAGAGUCUGUAUUGAAGAUUUGUACUCGUUUUAUUGUUAUACAGUUUCUAAGGGAGCGGGAACCUACAUAUGCAGCUACUUUGGUUCAAUCUCGGCUACUACCAUUGUAUAAUUUAUCAGUGUGCCCACCGUUGGUUGCCACUGCAAACUGGGUGUUGGGAGAACUAGCAUCGUGUCUACCUGAGGUGAGACUGUUCCAUACCCCACCAUCUGCUUUGCUUAUGCAUUAUUUAAAUCAAAAGUCGAUCUAUGCAUUUUUGGCCAAACCAUCAAGAACAUUUAUGCAUUUACCUACCUAAUAUUUCGAUAUACUUCCUUGAAAACAGCAUUUUAUUUGUGAUAGCCCACACUGAUUUUAUCUCAUUUUCAGGACAUGAGUGCAGAUGUGUAUUCCUCGUUGCUGAAGGCAUUGGCUAUGCCUGAUAGCAGGGAUACUUCUUGUUAUCCAGUGCGGGUAUCGGCUGCUGCAGCCAUUGUAACACUUCUUGAUGUAAGUCGCAAAAUCAUUCCUGUACUUGUGGAUUAAACAACAGCAUUAUGGCUUUAACUGAUCUUAUAUUCUUUCUUCAGAAUGACUACACACCACCUGAGUGGCUUCCUCUCCUUCAAGUUGUUAUUGGUAGAAUUGGCUGUAACGAGGAAGAGAACUCUAUUUUAUUCCAGCUUCUUAGUUCUGUGGUGCAGGCGGGAAAUGAAAAUGUUGCAGUCCAUAUCCCAUAUAUUAUUUCAUCAUUGGUUGUGGAAAUCUCAAAAUGCAUGCCCCUUGAUCUGGAGCCAUGGCCUCAAGUAUGUCGAUCCUUUUAGUCUGUAGGCUGGUAUUUUCUUUAUUUUCUUUAUUAACACGUUAACCAUCUAGUGAUCGAUGCACCUGAAUACAGAUUGAAACAGUGCCAUAGAAUACUGAUUCACGUCACAAAAUCAAAUACACUGUGCUUGAUCAAUUUGAAGCUGGUUUUUUUAUGCAUAGAGUUGAUUUUUCCCCUUACAUUCAUGCUUCCACUUUUAUAUAGUAUGCGCUAUACAUUUUGUUCAAUUUGUUGCUUGCAUUGGAAUUAUGGUCCCCAAGUUAUCGUAAUUUUUUAUGAAGUAAUAACCUGUACCAAUUUCAACUAUCAGUUUAAUACUGAUGAAGUGGCACCGUUUAUAUCAGAUGGUUGAAAGUGGUUUUGCGGCAUUAGCAGUGAUGGCUCAAAUUUGGGAAAAUGAUAUGUCUGAAGAUCUGGAAGAGAAUGAAUCCAACCAUAACUUUCUAUUAGGUCAAGCUACUAUUGGCAGAGCUUUCUCUGAUCUCUUGCAACGGGCUUGGCUUGCACCAAUGCAUCGAUCGGUUAGUUUCUGCUAUUAAAUAUUUGGUUCACAAAGUCCAUUUUCUGGCACUUGCGCUGUUCAGUCAAUCAUUAAUUUAUACUUCAAUCAGUUUGGCAUAGGCAUCUGGGUUUCAGAUCGUCACAUUUGUUGAUUUCUGUUACUUGACCAGGAUCAGGAAGAUAACACUUUGCCACCUCCAUCUUGCCUAGAUUCUGCAUCAACGUUGCUUCGAUCCAUCAUGCUAUCUGUUACUGGAAGUAAUGUUAUUCUAGAGCUUAAAGUGCCAGAGCUAUUAUUAGUUUGGGCUGAUCUCAUUGCGGACUGGCAUGCUUGGGAAGAAUCUGAGGACAUGUCAGUCUUUGAGUGCAUUAAGGAAGUUGUCAAUCUACAUAAUAAGUAUGGGCUGCAGAAUUUUAUUGUAGGACAGAUGCCAUCUCCUCCAGCUCCACCUGUUCCCAAGCAUUCUGUGAUAGAAGGUAUUGGUACUUUUAUAAGCGAGGCCACUUUACAAUAUCCAUCUGCAACAUGGAGGGCUUGCUCUUGUAUCCAUUUGCUGCUACAUGUCUCAAGUUACUCAUCUGAGACAGAAAGCGUGAAGCAGUCAUUAGCAGCAGCAUUUUGUCAGGCGACAUAUUCCCAUUUCAGAGAAGUUAAAAGCAAGCCUGGAUCUCUGUGGAAGCCUUUGUUGCUUGCUUUAUCAUCAUGCUAUUUAUGCUGUCCUGAAGUUGUAGAGAGUACAUUGGAAAAGGAUGGAGAUGGAGGCUUGGAAACCUGGGUAGCUGCCCUCGGAAUGAUCUCCACCAACUCUUUCAAACCUGGGCUAUCAAGAGAGUCGGAGAUAAAGUUGAUUGGUAAGUAUAUUUGUAGCUAAAUCUUUAGGAGAAGACUUCCUUCUGCUAGGUUCUUAGGUUCUCCUUUGAUUAGAAUUUACCGCUGAAUAGUCAUCUGGAAUAAUUCAUAUCCACAAAGGUUAACAGAUAAACAGCUGAUGAUUUAAUGACUUGUAUAACAUCACUAAUUGUUCUCAAUAAACCUCAGCGAUGGCACUGGCAAAAGUGGUUGAGCGACUUCUGAUACUCGGAAAGCCUGGUUCUCUGCUUCGAGAAUGCUUUACUUCUCUGAUGGAAGCAUCUGCUCGAUUUAAUGAAGUUGAGGAAGAUAACGAUGAAGAUGAAGUAGAUAUAAUUGAUGAAGAUGAAGAUGGUGAAAUAGAAGAUGAUGACGAUGAUGAAGUAAGUAAAUGUAUUAGUCUGUAUACUGCUUAUCAAUAGCAGCUGAUAUGCUGCAAUUUAACUUUCACUAUCUGAGCUACUCCAGCUAGACUUUAAUGAUAUAAGUUGGCCCCUCAGAUGUUAGGAAAGUUAACCGUCUUAUGCCUGUUUAGGACUCGGAGGACGAUGAACAUGAAGAAACUGAAGAAGAGUUCCUGAAUCGAUAUGCUGAAGCUGCUCUUGCCUUGGAAAAUGGUUCAGUUAUUGAAGAGGGGGAUAUCGAAGAUGAAGACCAGGAAAUGGAUUUUGAGAAAGGUGCAUAUUUCUCGCUACUGAAAAGUGCGUUAUUGACUACUUUAUAGGUGCAUUUUGUUGCUGAAGUUUUGAUUUGUCUGCUUUUCUCAUGGUGUGUCUUGCAGGCUGCCUAGAAGAAAUUGAUCUGCAAGAAGCUGUCACUUCACUUCUACAGAAGUACCAUCCCAUUCUCAUAGAACAACAAGAGGCAUAUCCACCAGAGCUCAUUUCAAGAUUUGUAGAGUCCAUCCCGCAGUGUAAGAUUUUCUUUCAGCAUUAUUCUAGGUGAGCAAAGCAAGUGUGAUAUGAUUGCUGAGUGUUGAAUUCCGUGAUUCUUUUUCUUUAACCAUAUCUAACUCGAGGUCCGUUUGGAAAAAAUCUGCCACAAGGCUCGAUAGUGCAAAGGCAAGAAAUAGUGAAGAAAAGGAACAAUUUACCAGACAGGCAAGAUCUCGUUUUUGUUUUGUUGAAUAAGCUAGUUCGUCUCCAGUUGACUUAUAUAGUCCUAGGUCUAGAAAACACGAUUGAUAUAGUUCCACUGUGGCUAGACCAUAGGGCAAUAUGCUGAACAGAACCGCGGUUCACUCGCAAGUCUAAAGGGAUUCAGUCGAAGCCAGAAACUCGUCUAUUAUGUUUGAAAAGAUUAGCAGAACCAAUUUUCACAACAAUAUGCUUGAUUUUAAGCUCAAAUGACCAACCCGGAAACAAACCCCAGGGGCCAUAUUCCUCCAGCAUCCAACUUAGUCUAAGAUUAAACCCUAGACACGAACUCCACUAAUGGAAGUUGCAUUAUGUGGUCUUGGAAACCAUCAUCGGCCAUUUCAAAGCAAAUCUAAAGUUUCAUUAAUGUCAUAGCAGUCUCUUUCUUGUAUGACAAUGGCUUUUCUUUCCAAUAUAGUGUAGCAAGCUCUAAAUUAUACGGCAGAAGUAAUUAUUCCAAUAUCAUUCCAGAUUGCAGUAGCCAAGAUUGUAGACAACCAUUUUCACCAGCGCCUUGUAGAAUUAUCUGAACUACGUAUGAUUACUAUACCUGGGCAAGACAAGUUUAAACAACAAAACGUAAAACGCAAAACUGAAAGGCAAUGCCAGGGUAUCAAAAAUAUUACCGCAACUGUCCAAUGUCGAUGCUAGGAAACUUACACAGAACUUUCACCCACACAACAUUACUACAAAGUUAACUAUAUAUUAUUAUUAAUAUUAAGAAUAACUUAAAAAAAGACAAAGAACUUAAUUAAACAUAAUAAUGAACAGUGCUGGAAAGUAGAAACUGCCCUAAGCUAAGCACUCGGUAAUUUCUUCCAGUCUCUCGUCAUCCCGGGUUCCCCGCUUAAACAUAAUCGAGUAAACAUCUGCUAGUACUGUUUCAUUUUCUCAAACUUGAGGUUCAUGUCAUUCGCCAUUUGUCUCAUGAAUGCAUCUUUGUCUUUCAUGGCUUGUUGAAUGUUGUGCUGAAUCAUAAAUACCUUGAGGAAAAACAAGUUCGAAGUUGGAUACUUGGUUCCAGAAAAUAGGCAAGUGACAUCAUAAAAAUAUCCUAGGAACCUCGAGGUCUGCUCAACCUUGAUCCAUUCAUCAAAAGAAGGACAACACUUAAAAUCUGUGUCACAUAAUGCAAAGUUGAUCAAAGCACGGCGAUAGAAGAGUGCACUAUCUAGCAUAAGAUAGGUGGAGUUCCAUUUAGUAGGCACGUCUUGUCGCAAAGCUCUCCUACUACCUCCCAUUCCAACUUGAUCAAUACAGCCCAAAAAUCUUUCCUUUCUUGCCAUUGAACCCUUAUGCACUUGAGACACUCAUGAAUCUUUAUCACUGACUGAUCAAUAGAUUUCAACCCAUCUUGAACAAUUAAGUUCAAGAUAUGUGCAUAACAUCAAACAUGAAAAAAUUUCCCAUUUAACAAGAGUAGCCCUUUAAAAUUCAACUGAGUUCUCAACUUCUCAACAAAGGAAUCAUUAGCAGAUGCAUUAUCCAAUGUAAUCGAAAACAGUUUCUUCUCAAUUUCCCACUCACAUAUCAAAGAAUUAAUCUUUUCAGCCAAAGCAAUACCAUUAUGUGGUGGAGGAAAACGAUAAAAGCUAAUUAUCUUCUUAUGCAAUUUCCAUUCCAAAUCAAUCCAAUGUGCCGUGAGUGUCAAAUAACUAUCAGUUGUUUGAGAACUCCAUAAAUCAGAAGUCAAACAAAUCCUCCCUUGAACACAACUUAAAAUACUAUGAAGCUUCAACUUUUCACUAUCAAAGAGCUUUUGUAAUAUGUGACUUAACGGUGUUUCUACAAGGCAACUUAAGAAUAGGAGAAAUAUAAUGGAACACAGCUCUAAUCCCCUCAUACUCCACAAAACGAAAUGGCAAAUCAUGUCGUACAAUAGCCUCAACAAUCAAUUCACGAAAUUUUUCAUGCGAAAACUUUGAAGAACGUGUAGAAAAAUGAGGUGACACUACAAUAUCCUUAUUAUAACAUAGGUCAUUAUGGCGUAUAAGGCUACUUGUUCCUGUCACUUUGUCACACUUAUACACGGCUCCACACUUGGUGCAUUUUGCACGUUCUAUCUGAUCAUCACCCACAGGUAACUGUUUAAAAGACAACCAACAACAAGAAGUCUUCUUUCGCUUUUGAGCAGAAACCUCUGUUGUUCCUCUUUCUACCACAACGGGUUCCUCUGGUUCCAAUGAUAUUGAUAUAUCAUCAUCAUCCAUUCUCACCACUACUCUGAAAACAAAACAAUUAAUACAUUAUCAUCAUCCAUUCUCACCACAGUUUGCAAAUAAUACACACAGUUUGCAAAUAAUCUUACUUUACAGGGUACAUAUGAAUGAAGAAUGAAAACCAUGAAUAUGAGCUAGCCCAACUAAUAUCUACGUAUAGUAAUCUCUGUAUCUACCCAGAGUAUCACACACAGUUUUUAUUCUUUAUAUAUACCUCUACAAACUUACAUGCUUCCUUAUCAAAAACACAUUCCUAUUUUCUCACCAUUUUCCUAGUACUACUCCGAUCCUCUCGUUUUCCUAAACAAGAACCACAAAACGAUGAUUGAAAUCAAUCUUCAUUCAUCUAGAAUCCAUGAAUUGAUAUUGCCCAGAAAGCAAACCAAACACAGCAAACUCACAAACACCAAAUGCACAAAAUUAAGAACCCACAGAACAGAUCCAGUUCAAAUUUUGACUAAAAACAAUAAAUCUAGAAGAGUAAGGAAACAAAAACCAACCUGAAUUUUGAUCCGAAGAGGGAGAAAGACUGGCACGGUUUGUUUCUGAAGAGGGAGAAGACCGAGAGAGUGACUGUUUCGAUCUGAAGAGAGAGAGAGAGUGCUAACUGCUUUAAUUUUUUUCUUCCUUUUUUUUUUUUUCCUUAGCGGGUUGGGCGGGUCGUUUCCUCCCGUUAGUUAACGGGUUCUUAGCAGGUUGUCAACCCGUUAGUGUAAAACUGUAAUGGGACAGAAAUGGGCAGGUUAUUAACAGGCGGUUAGCGGGUAAUGGGUUAAACUGCCAGGUCUGAAUGAACAAAAAAAUGAGAUGGUGGGACGCAAGGAUUCGAACCUUGAUCUUCUCAAGAUCUUGAGACUUGCAUAUGCAAGUUACAAGCCUGAGAGCUCUGCCAUAUUUGAGCUACAUCCCAUUAACCUAACCUAAAUGCCUAAUUCCUAGUUAUCCUACUAAUGCAUGUUGGUCACCAAUUAUAGUUUUCCAUUUGUUACUUUCAACAUGCAAACCAAUCCCUACUUGUAGAUACAUAUCCUACAAAACCAUACAUAUCCUACAAAACCUAACGAGAUGCACAUCAUUACAUAGAAGAACUCCUGUCUAAGCCAGAACCAAUUCAACAAAUUCGGCACGAAGACAAUCCACCCCCCAAAGAAACCAACUCCAUCGAUUACAAAACAGUGUAAAGGGAACCAAUGAGAAGAAAACUGGAAGAGUAAUGCAGCUAACAAGCCAUCAAUUGGAAAAUUACACAACCACAUGCACAACAUCACCAAGUACAAACACGAUCCCCUUGUUGUGACACCAUAAACCAACACCAAUCCAAGCCAAUUCUUCAGUAAUGAAACCACAACAUCAACCGGUCAUCAUUUCACAAGUUCUUCCGACACUUGACAAGUACAGACAGUACAUCAACCAACACUUUGGACAACAAGAAGACAUAUCACCAAAGGAAGAAUUAUGCCACUGUUUCACUAAUAUACAACAACCAACUCCACAGGCAACCAAAAAGAUGCACCAUGAUCACGCACUAUAAAACUAUAUUCCAUCAUGCACGCUAUCAAGUUGAAAAGACACAAUCAAAGUUAAAAAGAGAUUUCACCAGGCUCCACAUUCAAAAUGCUCCACACUGAAAGAACAACCAUACCAAAAAGCAGCUUCCCACGUAUCAAUGAUACGAACUGAAAACUUCAAAACUUCGUUCCACCUCUUACAACAGAAGCAAAGAAAACCACAAAGAGAUGAAGCUGUGCCAAACUUCAAAACCCAGCAGCUUAACAUGUUUAAUUAACCCUCUUUAAGAUUCAGCAGCAUCAGUAGUUAACAGGCAACAGGAUAGAUACCAUACCUAUCUGAACUCCUCUAGCAAUAAAUUAUGUUCCAGAAAUAAUAUUGAUAGUUUACAUACUAGCAUGUCACGAGUUGAAAUUUGCAUCCAUCCUAAAUGUGACACAUCACAAAGAUAUCCUUCAUCUAUUGAAUGCCCAAAGAGUAAAUGUAUGAAAUUAAACCGAGACAAAAAGCAUCAAACCUUACUGGACAAAAGCUUCAACAGCCUUCUCUAACAACCCUGCAAGGCACAGCCAAUAAAAAUAAAACACAAAUGGAUGAUAUAGUGCCAAACCAUUUUUGAAAAAUAGUUGGGAAAGGCGAAACAGCAAAACCAGUAUAGCAGAAACAUACAUGAUCCAACUCACCAGCCAAUAUAAACACAGCAGGCGCCAAAAUUAGUAUGUAGUGGAAAGUAAUCUAAAGAAAACAAUGAAUGAGAUGAGUGGUAACCAAUAAGGAACCACAUUAGGGGCAAAGAUUGGACAAAAAACCAUACUAGAUCUGUACCAGAGCAGACAGCUAAAUUAAUAAUCAAGAAAAAGAUCACGACUAGCCUUUCAGCACAAAAAAAAAAAAAAAAAAAAAAAAAAAAAAAAAAGAAAGUAAAGGAAAGAACGAAGUUAAGAGAGACAGCCCAUUUGGAACACGUAAUUGAAGUCCUGCCAUCAAUUGCAGCCUGGACUCCGCCCCAGCCAAAACCAAGAACACAUCUGAAAAAUAAUAAUAAUAAUAAUAAUAAUAAUAAUAAUAAUAAUAAUAAUAAUAAUAAUAAACUCACAAAAGGGUUUGGAAUAGAAUGAAAGAACGAAAAGUUCAUCGUGGAAACAAAGGGCACAAGCAGAUGAAACACCCCACUGGUAGCACAGCCUAAAACGACGCAGAUGAAAAACUGUGAUUUCUAUAGUUACUAUAAUCCAAAGAGACCAAAACAAGGAAUCAAUAAUGAAUAAAAUUAAGAAAUACUAAUAUCACAAAUGAUGAAACCACAAAGCCUCUAACCUUGACCACCGCAGACAGCUCCUUAAUCAAUACCAACAAAUCAUCUACAAGAGAAUAUUAUAUAAAAAGUAAUAUAAACAAUAGCUGAAAGCAGGAUACCAGAAAUCAAAAGGAAACCAGUUAAUCAGAACUCUUUUUUUUUUUUUUGGUCUGACAGUUGAUCAGAACUCUGGAUGAUCAUAUAUGGACCGCAUCCUUCACCAGCCCAAUCCUAAAGCACAAAAAUAAAAAAAACCAUAAUGCACCACAACCAAGAUCUGAACAAAUUAAUGAAUUCUUGAAACCAAUGUACUUGUUCAACGACAAUUCAGCUAUAUAGAACAUUUAGUAAAAUCAAGCAAGCAAAAUAACAAUAACACCUCUAAUAUCCACCUAUAACCGGAGAACGAUAAUGACAAAAUUUAUCUAUAAUAACAGAAUAUCAGGACUCAAUAUUAAAACAAUUGAGAACAAAAGCAGUUUAAAGGAACAUUCUACCACAAAAGUAAGUAAUCAGAAAAGAUCUUUUUACUGUCUAACAAAGAAAUGAGUUGACCCCCAGGAUGUCGAGGAGAUAUUUGAUUACUACUUCAAAACCCUGAAAUACACAUGCAGAACAUAAUACCAUCGAUACAUAUUACAUUCAAUACAUACCAGAAAAAGCUUUCAAGAACUACUGUAAAAUCAAGAUGCUCUGUGCGUAUGACAUCAGAAGAUUGACAUGUAAUGUCAAACUAGAAAGGUAACCCAAAACCAGAUGUAAGUAAUGCCAAACAAUUUUAAACCCAGAUAGUUUGAUUUCUUGGUAGGACCAAGUCGUAUGAUUUGGACAUUGAAUCAAAUUCAACCAGAAGUAUCUGUAGAAAACGAAAAAGAAAACGAAAAAGAAUUCACAAAAGUGUAUGAAAGAUAAUAAUAUAAAGGACCAAUAGUCAUAAAUACAUGGGAUGAGCCCCAAAAAACAAAAAAUCACAGAAAUAGACUGAAGAUAUAAAGAACAAAUAGAAACCAGGAUCCCAACUAGACAGAACCGCACAAAUUCUGACCUUGAGUAAACCAGUCCCUGGGACACGUCAAUAUAAUGUAUAGUAUUAGUUCAUGUAGUCACAAAAAAGCAUGCAAUUGAGCCCGAAACAUAAGAUCACAGAAGUAGACUAAAUAUAUGAAGAACAAAUAGAAACCAGGAAACCAACUAGACAAAACCUUUAAAACCUCUGACUUGGUGUAAAACAGUCCCUGGACACAUCAACAAAAAGUAUAGCAUGAGGCCAAAAAAAAAAAAAAAAAAAAAAGGUUAAUAUGAAAGAUGUAUAGAGCAAAUAGAAAGUCAUAAACCUAUUAGACCCACACACACUGACUUGGUGUAAAAUGUAAUUAGACGAACCACACACUCUGACUUGGUGUACACCAGUCUCUAAUGUAUUGUAUUGGCCCACCUUAGAAGUCGCACGAAAUAGGAACAUGAUGAUCACAAACAAGUUUAAAAAAUACAAUUAAUAAUAUAACAAUAGUAACUACAAAAUAGGUUUUGAGAAGAAAUUAAAUCACAGGGACCACUGAAGCCAGAGCUCAUCUCAUUAAUAUAGGUAUGGACAGUAACCUUCACCAGCCAAAUCCUAAGACACAUAAAAGAAACAUACAUGAUGCUGCAGAAUUAAAGUUGAAGUCGAAAUGAAGUCAAAGGCCAAGAAGGCAAGUAGUUUGGAAGCAUGAAAAACAGAUUUAACCAAUAAAGCCAAAGCUCUGCCCGUUGUAUGUCGAGACUCCAUCCACCAGCCAAUCCUAAUAUAUAUCAAUAGAUGCACCACAUUCCAAAUUGAAUCAACAAGAAUUCAAGUGAUAAAAUUAAAAAGAGGGAUAGAUGCAUCACAAUCCAAAUUGAAUCAAAAGGAAUUUGAGGAUAAAAUUAGUAAAGAGUAAAUGGAUCCAUCAUCAAACCACUAAACAAGACAACACAAUACUCCGCUAUAGACUUGGGCAGCCAUCACCCUCAAAUAAGCCAAAUCCUGAACAAAAACCACAACAGAACUGCAUUAUAACCAAAUCAUCCAACCACAAAAACAACAAAUCAAGGAUAGGAAAGGAAUUGAGUUAAUUGCUGAAACAAAAAACCAAAUCACAAGAUGGAUAGGCAUCAUCAAAAACAAGACCUCAAUAACCACAGAGAUAUACAUCAUAAGCCCAGCAGCAACAAAAACCCACUCCUGCAUAAAUCCUUACUCCUAGCCACAUCCAAGUACCAACAUAUAGGCAAAUUAGUAUGCUUGCAGUAGUACCGAACUGUUUUUAAGAACUGGAGAACAAUUUACAAAAUUCAGCCGCAAAUAGAAAUACUAAACAGAAAAAAGCAAAAAAAAAGACACCAAUCAUUUUCAGAAAAGAUGAAAGAUUAGAAGGAAAGAACAACUAGCACCAACCAGAGCUACAGCUUGGUAAGCCAAUCCCAUGAGAGAAAAAGGAAUUCAAGUAAAAUGACAUUACUAACAAAUGAGAAAGAAAGGCGGAAAGGUUGACCCAAUAAACCAAUUGAAACCCCGUAUCCUGCUUGUAUAGCCACUGCAAACCCUGCAGCCAAAAUUGCAAGAUUCUCCUAAAAACAAUAACAACUCGAUCUCAACCAGUGAACAGAAUAGAAACUGAAAUAAAGAAUAUAAUUUUUUAGAGAAAUAAAAAGUUUCCCAAAGCAAUAGAGCCAAAUCACGUAAGCACUUCCCAGCACUUACACCUACCAAGAUACCAGCAAAAUCCUAAGCUCACAAAGAUAGGGAUUGGGAAAGAACAAAAGAUAUGUAUUAUAAAAAACCAAUUGCCAAAACACAUGAAGCAUCACAGCUCCUUAGAUAAAAAAAAAACAGAAAAGCUUAAAACAGAGAUGAAAAGCUUAACCCGCUUAGACCAAAAACAUGCAAACAACAAAGUAUCAACAACUAUUGGAGGAAUGAGUUGAUCACGCCUGGGAACAGAACUCCUAGCCACCACCAGCGAGCCAUAUCCUAAACCAACAGGAACAAAAUCCACCCAUAAAUCCAUCACUGGACUUUACAAGACAGCCAGAAAAGCAUGCAUCACAUUAUAGUUUUGAGCAGUUUUAAGAGGAGGGUAGUGAAAGCAGAUUUAACCCCCGUCAACCGUUAGCCCACGUACAGCAAACAGACUAUGAACUGCACACUUUCCCCAGCCAAUUCCUGGACACAUUAACAAAUGGAGAAUAUGAGGCAGGUUCCGAGAAAAAGAAAUCAUACUUCAAUCUCUGCAACUAAUAAUUACAAUACCAUGUCUGCCAUAUAGAACCUCAUCAGCAAUCAUCAUCUACCACCCAAGUCGUAAGUCAGACAACAAAAACCAAAAUUGAUCUCCAUUACGAUAUAAAGCAAGACGGAUUAUUUCAACAAAGCAACUGGUUGACCGAUGAAACCAGCUGGAAAACCCAACACCCUGCCACCCUGCUCAUAUAACCAAAAUUGAUCUCCAUUACAAUAUAAAGCAAGACGGAUUAUUUCAACAAAGCAACUGGUUGACCGAUGAAACCAGCUGGAAAACCCAACACCCUGCCACCCUGCUCAUAUAGCCAUUGCGAACACCGAAGCCAAAAUUCCAACAUUCUCCUAAUGAAACACCAAUAACAACUCAAGAUAAACCAGAGCAGACAUCUAAAGAAACAAAGGCGAAACGAUAAAUAGAGGAGGAGGAAGAGAUGUUGAAUGCCAAACCAAAUACACCCGAAUGGCGUGACUACCCUGCAUUUGCACCUAGCGAUAUACCAACCAAAUAAUAAUGUUAAAAAUCAAAGUAAGGUCUGGGAAAGAACUAAAAACAGAAUGGAAUAACUAGAGUUCAGAAACCAAAAGAGAGCCGAAGCAUGAUACACCACAGCUGCUUACAAGCCAUCGCAAGCACAACCUACACCAGAGCAAGCAAAAACUUGAAAACGUGCCAAAAGCAACUACUACUGAGAAAAGAUGAGUCCAAACAAACAUGCGUACAAAACCAAAGGUAGAAAGGAUGAUUCCAUCACUGAAUACAUAUAAAGCUGGGAACAAAAACUUCAAGCCGCCACAACCCCUAAACCAAUAGAAACCAAAGUCCAUCAAUAACUCAGACCCUCAGACACAGAGCACAAACUAAAUGAUUUCAAGAAAGGUAAAGGCAGAAGAUAGUCUGUAAACCAAUAAAACCCGAAGGUCUUCCCAUCAAUCUGGGUACGGACCGCAGCUUCACACAUCAAAUCCUAAAAGCACAUCAUUAAAUCGUGAUGCAUCCCAAUCCAUAUCAACUUAGGCAGAAGUACAUUAAAGGAUGAUUCAAUCUCAGCAACCAAUUAACCGAUUUACUAAACCAUGUUUGCUUAUCACAGAGCUCAGCAGCCACCAUCAGACAUCCUAAAACCACACCAACAAAACCACAAUCGAUCUCCAUCAAAAACUGAAGCAUCCAACCACUUAAUAAUUCUAAAUAGGUUUGAAAACUCAAAAGGUAGGAGUUAGCAAAUUUGAUCCCUGUUAAACCGACUAAUGCCGAUGUUCUGCCCAUCACUAAACAUGUACUGCAGCCCUCACCGGCCAAAUCCUAAAAACACACAUCAAUAAAAUUCAUGUUUCAUCAAAUCAAAUCAGGAAGGUCUUCUGAAGAAUGAACCAAAUAAAAAAAGCACUAUUUCCAUCUCUGCAAACAAUGAGAACCGAAUCGUUUGCUUGGUAUAGACCUCUGCAGAGCCAUCACCAUCAAACUAGUUCAACCCUACAUCACACCAACAUAAAAACCACAAUUGAUCUCCAUCAAAACAAGAUCCCGACCACAAACACAACCGAAUCAAUGAGUUGAUAAGAAAAGAAAAGAACAAGUUCACCGCCAAGAGCAAUAAACCUUGGGCUCAUAACAUGGACAGCCGUAACACAAAUAAAAACCCUGAGACAGCACAGCAGCAAAAACAUAAUCAAAUUUGAAAUCUUAAAAAACCAAAGAAAGAAAUCAUGGAAGAAGAAAGAAACUCUAAACCUGACAGCACAUUUUCUAACACGGGGGACGGAUGUAAAGAGGCUACGGGGUUCUCAUUAUGGGGGACAAUAUAGAGGCUGGGAUAGAAGGAAACAACUAACCAACUGAAAUCCCCAGAUCAUGCUUGUAUAGCCAUUGCACACACUGCAGCCAAAAUUGUAAAAUUCUACUGAAGAACACCAAUAACAAACUAUAUCUAAUCCAAAGCGGACACCAAACGAAAACAAUAAGAGGAAAAACACAAAAAAGAGAGAUAAUUUGGAAAAAAGAACAGUUGAUUAUCAAACCAAAUACAGCCGGUAUCACAAAAGCUAUUCCCAGGCAAAUGUACCUACCAAAAUACCAGAAAUCCGAAAUUCACAAGUGUUUGGACAAGAAUAAAAUAUAAUUGAGAAGAAUUACAAAAAUAAUUGCAAGAACACAUGAAGCCCCACAGCUCCUCAGUAGCCACAGUCCACAACCAACAAACCCGCACACCUAAAACAGAGCAAUAGAAAACUUGACCCACUCUGAACUAAAAAGUGCCAUUAACAAGGUAUCAAUAAAUAUUGAGAAGGAAUGAGUUGAUCACUGAAACCAAUUAACCAAUUAAGCCUGCGUACAGAACUCCUAGCCACCACCAGCGAGCCAUAUCCUAAACCAACAUGAACAAGAUCCAUGACUCUAUCUUACAAGGCAGCCAGAGAAGCAAACAUCACAUAAUCGAUUUGAAAAGUUUUAAGAGGAAGGUAGUGGUAGCAGAAUUAAGCUGUGUCAACUGACAAAAGCCAACACUGUGCACGUGUAUAGACUGCAGGCCUUCACCAGGCAAUUCCUAAACACAUCAAUAAACGCAGAAUCAGGCAGAUUUUGAGAAAAAUAACCAUCUUUGCAACCAAUUAAAUAAUUUACUAGACCAUGUUCACCAUAUAGGACUCGGCAGCGAUCAUCAAACCAGCCAAAUCCUAAAACCACAAUUGAUGUUCAUUACAACCGUAUUUCAGUAUACAUUAGAUUUUUAAAAAGUUGAAAGUUAAUAAGAGGGAAUGAUUUGACCGAUGAAAGCAACUGAAAAACCCCGAGAUCCGAUCAUGCUUGUAUAGCCAUUGCAAAUGCCCGAGAUCCGAUCCUGCUUGUAUAGCCAUUGCAAACGCCGCAGCAGCCAUAUUUCCAAUAUUAUCCUAAUGAACACCAAUAACAACUCAAUCUAAACCAGAGCCUAUGUCAUAAAAAAACAAGAAACAGGGUAUAAAGAAAAAAAAGAAGAGAGAGAGAGAGAGAUUUUGAGAGAAAGGACGGUUGAUUGCCAAGCCAAAUACAUCCGAACCAUAGGCUUUCCACCUACCAAUACACCAAUCAAAUCCUAAAGUCAAAAUCAAAAUCAAAACAGGUCUGAGAAGUAAAAAAUUGCAACAAUUUGAGUUAGGAAACCAAAAGGGGCGAAGGAAACAUACACCACAGCUGUCUACUAGCAUCACCAGCACAUCCUAUACAGAGCAAGUAAACCCUUGAUGAUCCAUUUGGAAAUAACAUAUACAAACUUAAUUUCACUCAACUUAGAUAUUAUGCAGCGAAGCUAGGUCGUGCCAAUUAAGCUUGUUAACGAUCCCAGUUUAUUAUCAAAUUGAUGCAAAGUAAAUGGUGCGAUUAAUCUUGAAACGAUGGUAGCUGUAAAUGGAUGCCAAAACAGAUAGAGAAGAAAUUAGUAGAUAUAAGUUGAUGACUGCCAAAACCAAGGUACAAAGACCGCUUUGACCACUGAAUCCAAAUAAAGUUGGGAUAGAACUCCUAGCCUCCACCAACCAGCCGUGCCCUAGACCAACAGGGAACAAAAUACAUCCAUCACUCAUAUAACAGGAGAGAGAAAAAGUUUGAUUGUCUAUAAGGGAAGGUAAAAAUAGCAGAUUAAACCCGUGUAAGCUGAUAAAAGCCAAAGUCGAAGCCUUCACCUCCCAAAUCCUAAAAUACAUCAAAAGGAUCGAUGCAUCAAAAUCCAUCCCAAACCAGGAAGAUUAAGAGAAGAAUAAAUGACAAUUCAAUAUCUGCAACCAAUAACCAAGUUACGAAACCGUGUUUGCUGUAUAUAAACCCUGGCAGCCACCUCCAAUCCACAUCCAAAUCCUAAAUCACACCACAAAAUCAACCUCUCCAUCAGAAUCGAAUCAUCCACCACAAUCCAAAUAUUUUGAAAGUUUGAAAGGUAGGUAAAAUUAGCCGAUUUAAUCCGUGUCAAACCAAGAAGGAAAGCUGAUGCUCUGUCCAUGGCUAUCGAUCUGUACGGUCACCAUCAAAAUCGGAUCAUCCAACCACAUAAUAGUUUUCCCAAUUAGUUUUGAAGUUCAAAAUCAAAUUAGCAAAUUUAAUCCGUGUUAAACCGUUUUAAAGUCGAUGCUCUGGCUCAUCUUUAUGUGUACGGACUGCAGCCUUCACCCGCCAAAUCCUAAAACCACAUCAAUUAAACCACGAUGCAUCACAAUCUCUAUCGAAUCAAAGCAGAUUCUCAGAAGAACUAAACAAAUUAAAGUCGAUCUCUGCAAACCGAUUUAGGGAACCGUUUGAUAAUAUACGUAGCCCUGGGCAGCUAUCACCACCAAACCAGUCCAAUCCUAAAUCACACCAACACAAAAUCACAAUCGAUCUCCAUUAAAAUCGAAUCAUCCAACCAUUAACGAAUUCAUAAGAGAAGGAAGGAACGAGUUAACCGCCAAAACCAAACUGUUGCUUAAUAACAUCGGCAGAGCCAAAGCCAUCGCAACGAAUAGAAAUCCAAACCCUAAGAUCACACACAGCAGCAAAAAGCAAAAGGGAAUUUGAAAGCUUAAGAAAACCACAGGAAGGAAAUCGUGAAAGAAAAAGGAAGCUCUGAACCUGAUAGCUCUGAUAUUCCUUCUAGCGCGGGGUGAGAAAUGUGAGAGGCUUAUGGGGCUAUUUAUAGUGAGUAGGGGAGAAUAUGGAGGGCUGAGAUUAAUCAAUGGGGGGACAGGUGGACGGUCAAUUUUAGAGUCAAGAACGGUUGCUGGUGAGCUGGCGAGACGCGCUAUUUUUGAGGCGGUUUGUUACGACUUGAAACCAACGCAGCGUUUGUUUUCCUUUUCCUAAAAGAUAAACAUGUUGCUAAGCGCACCGACUUUUGAUGCUGGUUGUCGGCCAGAAACAGAAAAAUUCAAACUUUUUUUUUUCUAAAAAAUAAUAAAAAGAUUUGUACACCGCUGUGUAUAUGGCGUUUGUCAUAUGUGUUCCUGGAAUCUUCAGCACUAAGUAAAAUUACCAUGAAUAGAAAAUUGAGCAGUACAGUUUGUAUUUAAAGGAUUUUUUUUUUUGUUUUUUUUGUUUUUUUGAGAAUUUGUAUGGGCUGGGAUCUGCAACGUUAAUAUAUAGCUGGGUUUUCUAAUUGUUUAGGGAUAGUGGAUCUCUACGAGAAGCCAAGAUGUAAUUUGAAGAGAGUAAAGUUUCACUCCUUAUAAACAUGUUUUAAACCCAUUCUGUAAUGUUUCUUCGUUAACAACCUCUCUUGGCUCUCUCAACUGAUUCGUUGCUCACCAGUUGGAAUCUCUCAUUUCUCAGAGGCUAGGAUUUGGGUUCCAGAUCAUCGCUGCUAUAACACCAUACUACGUAACACCAAUGCUGCAUUACACGUCCAAAACGAUCACAAGCAUAUAUUAUCACAAUUGUCCUCAACUCAAACUAACUGAGCAUUUCCCUACAAUGUAAAUUUAUAUGCAUGCGCCCUGAAUGUACGUGCAUCAUUUCGUUAAUCACUAACCAUAUUCCACAACACACACUUAGUUUCAGGUUACAACAAAUGCAUGAUCACCUUUCAAGGAUUCAAUAUAUAGACACACAUAUAUAUAUACAUAGAGGAUGUGAAGCGGACGUCCACACUCCGGUUUAAAGUGUAGACGUCGUCCGUUCUCCGCCGUCUCACGCUGGCGACGGCUUCUCUCCUUCCCGGGCGACGGCUUCUCUCCUUCCCGGACGACAGCACAGGCUUCUAGGACGGCUUCUCUCCUUCCAGGACUGGCCGGCGACAAGUUUUUCGGCCAACCUUGAUCAAUCAUGGUGUUUUCCGUCCAGAGCUUCAAUCCGGCCGGAAAACUUGUCGCCGGCCAGUCUUGGAAGGAGAAAAACCGUCCUGGAAGCUUGUGCUGUCGUCCGAGAAGGAGAGAAGCUGUCUCCGGCGUGAGACGGCGGAGAACGGACGACGUCCACACUUUAAACCGGAGUGCGGACGUCCGCUUCACAUCCUCUAUGUAUAUAUAUAUAUAUAUAUAUGAUAUUUGAGCAUCUCCCAAUUCAUAUGCACCACGUUAAUCUCUACUAGCAAAAUCAACUCCCAAUCGAGCUAGGAAUGAGUUCUACUCCAGGAUUUUCAAUACUACUAGUGGUUCUUGUGGCGACUGGAUUGUUGUUGCUAGCUAGCUUGGCCUGCAGCACAAGUAGCCUACGGGCAGGAUUUCAACUGCCUCAAUCGAUGCGCAGAUGCCUGGAACUCUGGAAGCGAUGCUUGGAUGACUGUAAGAGCAAAGGGCAAGCACACUCUUUCUGUUUUGAUAAAUGCACCACCAAAGACAAGUGCCUAGCUAGCCUUCUUACUGAUCGUCGGCAUCGCAUAUGCAAAAAGAAAAACACAACUAUUUGAUCGGUUUAACUAGGAAGCUAUACUAAGUACUAUGGUUUAACCGGGCAUCAGUUUCUUACUUGAUAAGUAAGAAGUAUGGUUUAAUAACUGGGAAGCUAUGCUAACUUUCCUUCAACUUUAGUAAUGUUGAAUUUUUUUUUUUUUUUUUUGACAAUAAUGAAUAAUUCAUUAAAGAAGGAGGAAACCCAAAUUACAGAACUUGCAAACGCAAGGCCGAAAAAUUAAUAAUAAAGAGCAUAAGUCUCCAACUCAAUCAACAUAGAAAGAGUAAAGGGAAACCAACUAAUCUAUGGACCGAAAGUCCUACAACAAAAAGCAUAAAUACAACAAUACUAACAAAUCUACCACACACACCACCCAUGCACGCCGACAUUGUCGUUGCCAUCGCCGCCAAUAGCUGUGAGUAAGUGAAGAGUGCUAAAUCAGAGCAUAGCUGCCCGAGUACCCGAUGCUUACCGAAUCUCAAUGCACAAAUCAUAUGGAAACCCAUGACCAAGAGGAAGAACUCCCUCAAAACAACACCAUACAAUCCACCAUCUAAACCAAAGCCAUGAUAAAGCUGAGGCUGCCAAGAGAAGACCGAAAACCAUAUCCAAGAACCAGAACCAGAACCAGAACCAAAGAAAAUGGGGGGUGAUAAACCCACGCAUGAGCACCCAUAAUCCGAUAGGUAAGUGUCAAACUGCACUUUAAGCGUACAGACACACAAGCUCUCAUGACGGUUUACAAUGGUAGUUGACGAGUUGUUUUGGUGUUGGGUGACCAAGUAUCUGGAAAGAGUUGAGAUUGGUUGACAUCGGUGUGAGGAACCGAGUCCUCCCGAUCUGGCCAGAGCCAGUAUAAUCCACAGAGGGAUAAAAAUACACCUCAAGGGUAUGGGCUCAUAAACUAGAGCCGAAACUAACUUAAAACAGUAAAUAAAAAAGCAAUUGAACAUAGGUACCUCAUGAGGGUCACAUACCCAGACCCAGGCCAAGGCACAAGUCCACUGAUCAUGAGGCUAAAGCCCAAACCCACUAGCCCAAAAUGGGUAUGUCCAAGCCCAAUGAGCUAUGGCAAACCACCCAUUCUCGACCUCUUGCCACAAAUGUGACGUCGCCGUCUUGCCGAACCUGAUGCCGCACAGUCGGGAUUGUACUGCCACCACAACCGAGCCGCUGUAGCAUCCUUCAAACCAGCAACCAUCAAGUUUCGUGACAGGAACCAGAUCUGGAUCUGGAGCCCGAGAAGUCCCGAUCUUACAUUCACGGCGUUGGCCAAAACCUUCGAACCGCCAACUCCAGUUUGACCACCGACCCUCUGCCGUGCAAGACCUCCUUUGCUCCACCCCCGAUCUAUCCUCCUGCCGCGCCUUCGCCUCCGAUGCAGCAACCGAACAAAAUCACUUCGGUUGAGAACCCGAUCUGCUCAAAACCCAUAAUCGAGCCACAAACAUAACCCAUGAAUCGUCUUUCCGUCCGGCCGCCCUCCACGUCAUCGGCUCGGCCAUGGACCGAUACCGAUGCCGCGGCGCAGCCGGACAAGAUAAAGAGGAGAAGGUGUUUUUAGAAAGUUUUGAGAGGCGCGCGUGUGAGGCGCAUUUUGCUAAGCUUUUGUUUAGGGCUAGUUCCAUGCAGAUUUAAUUCCUCCGCAUGGUUAAUGUUGAAUUUUUUUCAUUUAUGUAUUACACAACUGAAACUAUACAACUGGUCAUUUGUGAGUUCCACAUCCUACUUUGCUACUCUUGCCACAACAAUUUGAUUUCAAGCUCAAAUGACCAACCCGGAAACAGACCCCAGGCUUCACUUGAACUUCACACAAGGGUCAUAGUACUUCAGCACCCAACUUGGUCUAAGAUUAGGUUUCUGCAAGCAUAACAUCUCAUACUGGUUGAAACUCUCGAUGUGCAACACAAACAACGUAAUGCUAAUGAAAGCAGCAUUAUGUGGUCUUCGGAAACCAUCAUCCAUAUAACGGUAUAACGCCAUUCCAAAACAUGUGUAUGGUAUAUGAGAUGACGCAUCUAAAACAGAUCCCAAAACUUGCAGUUGUUUAUUUUUUUUGUUUAAUGUCAAUUGCAGUCUAUUGUAUGACCAAAUGGCUUUUCUUUCCAAUAUCAAUAGUGUGGCAAGCUCUAAAUCAUACGGCCGAAGUAAUUAUUCCAAUUAUCAUUCCAGAUUGUAGCAGCCAAGAUUGUAGACAAUCAUUUUCACCAGCUAAGAUUGUAGACAAUCAUUUUCACCAGCGCCUAGUAGAAUUAUUUGGACUACAUAUGAUUACUAUACCUCGGCAAGACUAGUUUAAACAAUGUACAAAACGUUAAAAGCAAAACUGAAAGGAAAUGGCAGGGUAUCAAAAAUUUAUUUGCAACUAUCCAAUGUCGAUGCCAUACAGGUGCCACUUUACCAUGCGCCUUCCGUUACAAAUAUAAAAGAACUUCGAAGUUUUGGGGUGUGAGAUUCAAAAGGGAAGUGCAGCUCUGACCCCAAGAGCUUGAACACUUGCGUCCGAAACCGCCCCAUGAGCGAGGAUCCCCUCAAUAACGAGGGUUUCUAAAUUUUGAACGUCGUUACAUUCUAGAGGACGGUACACACUAGAGGUCCACCAAAUAUUCUCAAGUUUUUGCUGCGUCUUUAGUUCACCAUUCUCAAGUUAUUACAAUGUCUUUCAGAUCACCAAGAUUUUCUGAUGUGCUGAACAUUCCAAGUCAAUGUAAAAGGGUUAGGCGGCAGGUAGAAGGUUUGAUGCUAGGAAGCUUACACACAGUCUAGCUGUAUAGUAAUGUUGUGGUUGAAAGUUGUCUUAACUGAAUCUAAACAAUAAGAGCAAAAGACAUAGAACUUAAUUAAACAUAAUAAUGAAUAAUGCUGGAAACUGAGCUAAGCUAAGCACUUGCAGCAUAAAUAUAAUUGAGUAAACAACAUCUGUACAAUUUCAUGUUAUUACAUACCUGGAAUGCUAUGGGAAGAACGAACAACAACGAGAUAGUGGGACACAAGGAUUUGAACCUUGAUCUUCUCAAGAUCUUAAGACUUGCAGAUGCAAAUUACAAGCUUGAGAGCUCUACCAUUUGAGCUACACCCCAUUAACCUAACCUAAAUGCCUAGUUCCUAGUUAUCCUACAAAACCUAAUGCACGUUGUUCACCAGUUAUAGUUUUCCAUUUGUUACUUAUUUUCAACAUGCAAACCAGUUCCUACUAGUGGAUACAUAUCCUACAAACCUAACAAGAUGAAAUCAUAACAUAGCACAAGUCUUAUUUUCCACAAAGCAAACACCAUCCAUAUAGCAACUCACAAUUCUAAUACAGAACCAAAUAAUUAACAAAUUCAGCACGACGACAGUCCACGCCCCAAAGAAACCAACUCCAUCGAAUACAAAAUAGUGUAAAGGGAUCCAAUGAGAAGAAAACUGGAAGAGUAAUGCAACUAACAAGCCAUCAAUUGGAAAAUUACACAACCACGCCCACAACAUCACUAAGAUACAAACAGGAUCCCCUUGUUGUGACACCAUAAACCAACACCAAGCCAAGCCAACUUUUCAGUAAUGAAACCACAACAUCAACCAUUCAUCAUUUCACAAGUUCUUCCGACACUUGACAAGUACAGACAGUACAUCAACCAACACUUUGGACAACAAGAAGACAUCACCAAAGGAAGGAAGAAUUAUGCCACUGUUUCACUAAUAUACAACAACCAACUCCACAGGCAGCCAAAAAGAUGCACCAUGAUCACGCACUAUAUAACUAUAUUCCAUUAUGCACACUAUCAAAUUGAAAAGACGAUCGAAGUUGAAGAGAGAUUUCACCAGUGCUCCACAUUCAAAGUGCUCCAAACUGAAAGAACAACCAUACCAAAAAGCAGCUUCCCACAUUUCAAUGAUACAAAAAGCAGCUUCCCACAUUUCAAUGAUACAACCUGAAAACUUUACAACUUUGUUCCACCUCUUACAAAGAAAACCAUAGAGAGAUGAAGACAGUACCCAACCUUCCCAGCAUCUGAACAUGUUUGAUUGAAUCCUCUUUAGAUUCAGCAGCAUCUUUAGUUAACAGGAAAAACAGAUACCAUACCUAUAUUGAUUGAACUUGCAUGUUGAUAUCUGAACUCCUCUAGCAAUAAAUUAUGUCCAUACACACUAAUGAUGGUUUACAUACCAAUAAAAUUUGCACAUAUCCUAAAUGUGACACAUCACAGAUAUCCUUCAUAACAAAAAGCAUCAAAAACCUUACUGGACAGAAGCUUCAACAACCUUCUCUAACAACCCUGAAAGGCACAGCAAAUAAAAACAAACACAAAUGGAUGUUAUAGUGCCAAAACAUUUUUGAACUCGAUACAAAUGAUCUGAGAAUUGGAUCCUCGAUGAAAAUCAGAAGAAGCUGUAAUUAAAAAGCCAGAGAAAGUAAAACGAAAAUGAGGGAAACAGAUAAGAAGGCUAAACAGCAGAACCAGUAUAGGAGAAGCAUACAUGAUCCAACUCACCAUAACCUGUUGGAACAACCAAUAUUAACAUAGUGAGGAGGAUUGAUGCUUCUUAGUUUUACAUUAGUUUUAUGAAAGCCUAAACCCUAAGCUUUCAUCCAUCCUCUGAGCAAAAAUUCAGAUUCUACAAUGUUUUUGUGCAUGACAUCAGAAGAUUGACACGUAAGGUCUAAUAUAAACUAGAAAGGUAAUCCAUAACUAGAUGCAAGUAAUGCCAAAAAAAAUUUAAACCCAAAUAUUUUGAUUUCUUGGUAGGACUAGAGCAUUAAAUCAAAUUUAAUCAGAAGCAUCUGUACAAAACAAAAAGAACAAAAAAGACUUCACAAAAAGGUAUGAAAGAUAAGAAUAUAAAGGACAAAUAGUCAUAAAAAGCAUGGGAUGAGCCCCGUAAACAAAAAAUCAAGAAAUAUACUGAAGAUGUAAAGAAUAAAUAGAGACCAAGAACCCGACUUAGACAGAACUGCACAGUUUCUUUCUUGGCGUAAACCAGUCCUUGGACACAUCAAUAAAAAUGUACAUCAUCAGAAAGAAAAACGCAAGGUUAACAAGAAAGAUGUCAGUCAUCAGAAACAAAUUAGACCGGACUGCGCACUCUCUGACUUGAUGCUAGUCCGUGGGACACGUCAGUAUACUGUAUAGUAUUAGCCACAAGUCACAAAAACAAAAACAUGCAAUGAGCCCGAAACAAAAAUCACUGAAGUAGACUAAAGAUGUAAAAAACAAAUGAUAACCAGGAAACCGACUAGACAAAACCGUAGAAACUUCUGACUUGGUGUAAAGCAAUCCCUGGACACAUCAACAAAAAGUAUAGCAUGAGCCCAAUGAAGAAAUCACAAAAAGGUUAAUAUGAAGGAAAGCGCUGGACUACGCCAGAGUAGUGUACGCCAAUGUGGGGUUCUCGCCACGUGGCAAAAUAUCAGCCACAAAUUUGAANNNNNNNNNNNNNNNNNNNNNNNNNNNNNNNNNNNNNNNNNNNNNNNNNNNNNNNNNNNNNNNNNNNNNNNNNNNNNNNNNNNNNNNNNNNNNNNNNNNNNNNNNNNNNNNNNNUUCAACUUUUGUUAAGGUGCGGCGACAUAGGUGGCGGCUGGCAGGUACUACUUUGAAGGGGCAUACCAAGAGGAACAGUGAAGUCUAAGCUGAUCACUAUACGGCUCCGAUCAGAGCAAUAUAGAAGGAAGGGAAUAUGAGAAUGGGUUCUGGACUUCUGAUGAAAAGCAUGUGCUUCUCCACAUGGUGAUACUCAAUAGUUUCAUAUGUAGUUCCUUUGAACAAGUGGGUAGGGAAAAUCAACACGUAUAAUGGUUUACUUUUAGAGGUAGGGAGGUCUCCCACUUGAUCAGACUAUAAAUGCAUAAAGUAAUAUUAUUCCCUUUCAUUUUAUCUCAGUUAAAACAGAUUUUAACAGCUCAUUGAAAAUUACGAUGGUACCCUCCCGUUUAAACGGCGUUUCGGCGUUUACAUACAAAGGCGUAUUGCAGCUUUUGCCUAAUAUGAAAGAUGUAUAGAGCAAAUAGAAGUCAGAAACCAGUUAGACCGAACCACACACUCUGACUUGGUGUAAACCAGUCUUAACGUAUUAUUGGCCCACAUAAGAAGUCACACAAAUAGGAACAUGAUGAUCACAAACGAAUUGACCAUGAAAAAUCCGAUAGUACGUACACCUCUGUAAACAAGUUUUAAAAUAAAUAAAUAAAUAAAUAAAAAACAACAAAAUAGGUAUGAGAAGAAUUAAAUCACAAAGACCAUCCAAAAUUCCAACAUUUUCCUAAUGGACACCAAUAACAACUCAAAAUAAACCAAAGCAGACAUCUAAAGAAACAAUCAAAGGAGACGCGAUAAAUAAGAAAGAGAUAUGUUGAUUGUAAACCAAAUACACCCGAAUGGCGUGCUCUGCCCUGCAUUUGCACCUAGCAAUAUACCAACCAAUCUAAGUAAGGACUGGGAAAGAAUAAACAUAACGGAAUAAUUCGAGUUCAAAACCAAAAGAGAGCUGAAGCACGACAACCCACUGCUGCUUACAAGCCAACACAAGCACAACCUACACCAAAGCAAGCAAAAACUUGACCACUUGGAUGCAAAAUGUGCCAAAAGCAACAACAACCCACAGUUGCUUACAAGCCAACACAAGCACAACCUACACCAAAGCAAGCAAAAACUUGACCACUUGGAUGCAAAACGUGUCAAAAGCAACAACUACUGAGAAAGAUGAGUCCAAACAAAGAUGCGAACAAAACCCAAGGUAGAAAGAAUGAAUCCAUCACUGAAUACAAAAAGCUGCGAACAAAAACUCUAAGCCGCCGCCAACAGAGCCCUAAAAACCAAUAGCAAACAAAGUCCAUCCAUAACGCAGACCUUUCAGAGAGAGCACGAACUAAAUGAUUUGAAGAAAUGUAAAAGUAGCAGAUAUAUUCUGUGUAAACCAAUAAAACCCGAAGCUCUGCCCAUCGAUCUAUGUACAGACUGCAGCCUUCACCCGCCAAAUCCUAAAAGCACAUCAUAAAAAUUGUGAUGCAUCACAUAUUCACGUUGUAUAUGAACUUAGGCAGAGUAACAAAAUUGAAGGAUAAUUCAAUCUCUGCAAGACUGUAACCAACAAACCAAUAUACUGAACUAUUUGCUCAUCACAGACCUCAGCAGCCAUCAUCAGACCAUCCAAAUCCUAAAACCACACCAACAAAACCACAACCGACCUACAUCAAAAUUGAAGCAACCAAACACUUAAUAAUUCUAAACAGGUUUGAAAGUGCAAAAAGUAGGAGUAAGCAUAUUUGAUCCCUGUUAAACCAACAUGCCGAUUCUCAGCCCAUCACUAUACAUGCACUACAGCCCUCACUGGCCAAAUCCUACACACACACAUAAAUAAAACCAUGUUUCAUCAAAUCGAAUCAGGCAGGUUCUCUGAAGAAUUAACCAAAUAAGAAAAGCAGUAAUUCCAUCUCUACAAACCAAUGAGAACCGAAUCGUUUGCUUGGAAUAGACCUUUGCAGACCCCUACAUUGCACCAACAUAAAAAACCACAACUGCCAGGAUCAAAACAUGAACAUCCAACCACAAACACAACAAAGAUAAGAAAAGAAAGGAACGAGUUCACCACCAAGAGCAAUAAACCGUGGCCUUAUAACAUGACAACCAUAACAAAUAAAAACCCUGAGACAGCACACCAACAAAAAAUAAUAAUCAAAUUUGAAAUCUUAAAAAACAAAAAAAAAUAUCAUGGAAGAAGAAAGAACUCUGAACCUGAUAGCACAUUUUUCUAAUGGAGGGGACAGAUGUAAGGAAGCUACGGGGUUACUAAUAAUGAGGUGGGUGAUAACAUAGGCUGAGAUCGAAGGAAAUAAUAAACUUGAAACCCCGGAUCCUGGUUACAUAGCCAUUGCACACACUGGAGCCAAAAUUGCAAAAUCAUACUGAAGAACACCAACGGCAAACUCUAAUCCAAAGGAAACACCAAAAAAAAAAAAAAGAAGAACGUAAAAAAGAGAGAUAAUUUGGAAAAAGGAACAGUUGAUUAUCAAACCAAAUACAUCCGGAAUAACGAAAGCUAUUCCUAGGCAUUUGUACCUACCAAAAUACCAGAAAUCCAAAAUUCACAAGUGGAAAAGAAUAAAAUAUAAUUGAAAAGAAUUAUGAAACAAAUUGACAAAAUACAUGAAGCCCCACAACUCCUCAGUAACCAGGUCCACAACCAACAAACCAGCACACCUAAAACAAAGCAAUGGAAAACUUAACCCCCAAUGAUCUAAAACGUGCCAUUAACAAGGUAUCAAUAAAUAUUGAGAAGGAAUGAGUUGAUCAUUGAAACCAAUUAACCAAUUAAGCCUGUGUACAGAACUAGCCACCACCAGCGAGCCAUAUCCUAAACCAACAUGAACAAGAUCCCAUGACUACGAGGCAGUCAAAAAAGCAGGCAUCACAUAAUAGUUUUCAACAGUCUUAAGAGGAACGUAAUUGUCACACCCCAAUUUUUGAAGAAUAAUUUUCAAAAAUUUUGGCAUGAUAUAUCUUAAAAAUAUUAUAAUCUCAUAACCUGUUUUCAAUAACAAACUCAACAGGAUACUAAAAAUUCAAUGCGGAAAUGUAAUUCACACAACUCAAUAUUGAGUUAAAUAUUACAUUUUCUUGUUUACAUAACUUGAAAGUCAAGAAAAUGAAACACUCACAUGAGUUUAAUACUGUCUAACCCAAAUAUAAAAAUAUAUAGAGUACAACGAAACCCAACAAAAACCUAUCACUAAGCCUCCUCCUUAACCCUGCUAAUCCUCACCUGCAGGUCUAACCCUUACACCAAGAAUUGGUGCACCGGGUUGUAAACAACGAACCCGGUAAGCUAAAAAGCUCGUAUGAGUAAACUAAAAAAUAACACAACAUUUAUUACAUCCAAUAUUCCACAAGAGAGAUUGGAUCAAUAAUUAAAAACCACACAUCCAACACAUUACCCAAGAAAUGUACUCAUGAGUCCCAGAUAUUUAAUAAAAUACCCAUCAUGACUUACAACAACACUAUGUGUACCCAUGGGUCCUAGAUACCAUAUAGUAUCUCCCAUGACCUACAUUGACAGACGGACUAAAGCUCUAUUCCUAACCGCAACCAAUCACCCGACCAAAGGCUUGGAACUCAGUUUAACUGUCUAAUAUCAAACACAAAAAUGAUAGAUAACAUCUUAACCGCAACCAAUCACCCAAUUAAAGGCUUGGAACCCGGUUUGACUAUUUAUCCAACAAUCAUAAUAUCACGACAUUAUCCUCAACAACAUAAUAUCACAUCAUUAUUCUCAACAGCACAAUAUCACAUCAUUAUUCUUAACAACACAAUAUCUCAUCAUAAUUUAUAUCCUCCCACAUGGAUAUAUUUACAUGAACAAAUUAUAGAUAUUCCAAAAGAAUAAUCUAUCAAUAAUCAAUAAAAUUUUGAUCACAUGAAUAUCAAAAUAGCAUUUAAAGAAAACUUGUUUUCUCUCACCUAUGAGCCAUUGGCGAUCAAGCUCAUAUAUUUUUAAAAACAAUUAAAAACAUAUUAUUAAAUCCAACAUCAUCAUCAUUAUCAUCAUAUGACCAUAAAAAUAUUAGGUUCGAAAGUGAACCUUGGUGAGAUUUACUCACCUAUAUAUCCUGCUGAGAAACCCCCAACCUAACGAAGGCAAGCCAAUCACAAAAUCACAAAUCACACAAUUAAAAACCUUAGAAACCAAAGUAGUAAAAGAUAACACAAUACCCUUAAACUAACUCUUAGCUCAAAGGAGGACAACUUCCCAAAGUCGUUGAACUCAACGACACAAUAGAGUUGUCUCAACUCUUCAAAACCUAAACUCUAACCCAACCAAACCAACACCAAUAAGCUUAAGUCCUAGCAUGCCAACCUUGCUUAAAAUCUAGCCAUACUACCACUGAACAAGCUCAUAGCAGUAAGGACUUGCUAACCACAAGAAAUUAAGGCCGCCACUUAGCCGGACGCGCCGCCACGCGCCACCCCAGACUUCCGAAUUAGGAGAAACUCACAACAACAAAGUUGAAGCUUGAAGCAAGGGGAACAAUUUUCAUACCUGAGGCUUCAACCAAAUUUGGCCAGAACUGGCCUGAAAUUGACCCGAAAACAGCAGCCAAAAUCAAACCUUAAAACCGGCAAAUCCGGCACCCAAACUUGAUUUCUAGGUCACUAAAGAGGCAUGAACAUCCCUAGAAGAGAGAGGGGAGCAAGACUCACCUAAACUUGGCCGGAAUCAGCGUCGAAAUCACCAGUUUUCCGGCGGGACAGCAGCAGCUCCGCCGCUUCGUGGCGGCUUCCAGGCGACGGGACAGCGGCCGGGACUGCUCCAAAAAUAGAGAGGGUAGCUGUGGGAGUCGAACGGGACCGGUGGCGUCCCGUUUGGUGGCCGAAAGAGAGAGAACUCGGUUGGAGAAGAGGGAGAGUUCGGGGAGCUCGGGUGGGAGGAGAGAGAAGAGGGAAAACUGAUUUUAGGGUUUCUAAAUUAACACUCCCACACAUUUUUCUACUUAUACUCUUUCCAAACCCGGAAACAAACUUCCUAUGACCAUAACUUCUUCAUACGACAUCCGUUUUAGGCGUGCCGUAUGUCUACGAACUUGUAUCGAUAAACUCUACAACUUUCGUGAAUGAAGUUUUCGAAGAUAACUUACGAAAAAUAAAGUCAACUUUUGGCCUCUUAAAAGUCAAAACACUUUAAAUAAACUCCUGAAACUUCAACUUCGCUUAAACCAAAGAAUUUCCAUAAAUAAUCCUUAUUAAUUAUGAAAAUAAUACAAGAAAAAAUGAUAUGAAAAUCUAGGGUAUUACAGUAAUGAUAGUAGAAUUAAGCUGUGUCAAAGGAUAAAAACAGACGCUCAACAAUGUAUGGACUGCAGACCUUCACCAGGCAAUUCCUAAAACAAAUUAAUAAACGCAGAAUCAGGCGGAUUUUGAGAAAAGAGUAACCCUAAUUCAAUCUCUGCAACCUAUUAAAUAAUUUACUAGACCAUGUUCACCAUAUAGGACUCGGCAGCAAUCAUGAACACAACCAAAUCCUAAACCACACAACUUAAACCACUAUUCACUACAAAAAAGAAUUCAGUUAGCCACCCCAAAUUGCCACGGCACGGAUUUGCCGUCGCCAUUGGUCCAAGUUUCGUGACGGCGCUGCGACGGCAACGAUUCCGUCGCUAAAUUAAAAGUAUUUUGCGACGGCAACUCUGCGCCGUGGUAAAAAAAUUUAAAUUUUGCGACGGCAACUUUGUGCCGUGGCAAAAAAAUUGAUGUUUUGCGACGGCAACUUUGCGCCGUGGCAAAAAAAUUAAGUUCUGCGACGGCGGAAAGAAGCUGUGGCAUACUUUAUAAUCAAUGGCGACGGCAUGUUUCCGCCGUCGCUAAUUUUUCCUUAUUUUUUUUUUAAAAUGUCAACUUGAAAAUGAGAUUAUGCUUCCAUAAGGGUGCCCUAUCACGGGUACAUAAAUGUCCCAAAAUUUUUGUAUGGGUUUAUACAUCUUGUCCUCACGAGCGUGUGAGCGUUGACAGAUCAAGAAAUUAAUUUGUGAGGAAGUAGAUAUAAGCGUUUUUGUUUGACGGUUAUUCAGUGUUUCGAGUUGACCGCGUCAAUCGAGACCAAAACGAUGACAAAAACAUGUAAUUUUUUUACCAUAGUCAUAUUUCCUUAUAAUAAUCAAAUCCAACGGUCGAAUUUGUCAAAUUAUUUGUGCUCCACCCUGUUCGUUUUAAAAGGUAUGCUUUCCCUUGUAACCAAUAAACAUGUUUCCCUUGUAACCAAUAAACAUGUUAUACAACAUUAGUGAGCAUGAAAUGCUUUUGAGUGAUGCCAAUAAUAAAAAUUGAAAAUUUCUGAAUUUGACAUUACCCAUUUAUUUAAUAUGUAUUAAUAGGUGUUGUGUAAAAAAAUAAACCCGGACGGUCUUUGUUUUCAUAUCGGUCAAUCAGGUCAACGUAAUAUAUACUUAUGUUUCUCCAAAGGAAGCCUUAUCAUAAAAAUAUAAAUGUCUUGAAAUUUUCACAUCGAUCUACAUCUUGUGCUCACAAGUGCUUGAGAAUUUUCGUAAAAUUUUUCGAUGUCCCAAACUAUUAAUUACGAUUUUCUAAAUUUCUGAAUAUAUCAAAAUAACUAAUUAAUUAGAAAUAUCACUAAAAAAUAAUUAGAAUUUUAAAAUAGGGCAAUCUUGGACAUUCAUCUCUACACCGUUUCAUCCUGAACGUUAACAAUAUUGAGGGCAAAUGCGUCAUUUGAAGCGAGUAAGUAUAAAAGGAAUGCUAGGAAACCCUAGCACCCCACAAACCCUCUCUUCCACCCCCCAAAUCUUUAUCUUCUCUGCCCGCUCUCCCCCCGCCCCACAAAACUCUCUCCAGCCACGCAACCAUCUCUUCCCCCCCCCCCGCCCCGCCCCGCCAAAUCUUUCUCCGCCGAGCUCGAUCUAUAAUCCUCACGGUCGCCAUGGGUGAUUUCGACCUCCCUUCCACUACCAAAUCCCCAUGGUCUGAGCCUUCACACCAUUUGUUUGAUUUCAGGAGUUUUGGUGAGCGUAGAGGAGCUAUGUAGUGGAGGAAAGCGACGACGACAUGUCGGAGGAGGCUGAGCCGGAGCCGAUUUGGCGGCAGGAAACGCCUCUUCCACUAGGUUCUGCCGAGCUCGAUCCGCCAUUUCCCCUACUAAAUCCCCAUGGUCUGAGUCUCCAAUACCUUGGAUCACCUCAGCUUUGCCGUGAGCUCCGCCAGCCUAAGCUACUCGCCUGGUAACCCCUAUUCCUCUUGUAAGUUAUAUAUUGGGAUGGUAAAAUAGCCCGCAUUUUCCAUUUUUAUGAAUCAGAUUCUAAUCAAUUCGUUUCCACAGGUUCAUGUCAACCUAGCAAAUGGGCGGGUUGGGUGGUUAGCGGUCGGGCUGUGGCGGGUUAGCAGGUUCAACGGGUUCAACCCGCUACAACCCGUUAAGCUAACAGGUUGUAGCGGGUUGAACCCAUUGGGUUCGCGGGUUACCCGUUGGAACUCGUUAAGACCCGCUAAGGUUUUUUUUUUUNNNNNNNNNNNNNNNNNNNNGGAGAGAGAGAGAGAGAAAAAACUGUGGAAAGAUUUGUGGAUAAAUCAGACAAUAGUAAAAUUUUACAGGGUGGUUUUUUUCCUUAGCGGGUUGGACGGGUUCUAUUGGGUAACCCGUUUUCGCCCGUUAGUUAGCGGGUUCUUAGCGGGUUGUCAACCCAUUAGUGUAAAACUGUAAUGGGGCGGAAAUGGGCGGGUUAUUAGUGGGCGGUUAGCGGGCGAGUAACGGGUAACGGGUAACGGGUUAAACUGCCAAGUUGAGUUCAUGGACUUCAAGGUAAGUUCACAAUGCUCACUGCUCUUUUCACUUUCACUUAUCCUUGUUCAAUUUUUUCAUAUCAUGAAGUUAGGACUCGGCAUUAUCUUCAACUUAGAUUGUAAUCUUUUCAUAAUUGUUUUGAUGUUGGAAAAAGUCUAUUAUCAAUUAUGUUAUGGAAUGUAACUACAUUGGUGUUGUUUUCAAAAUUUUUUUUCGUCAGUAGGGUUCAAACUUCAAAUAGAUUUCCCUUUUUCUUUUUGUGGGUAUUAUGGAUUGAUAUAGGCCAGCCCAAAUAAAUGUUGUCAGUAGAAUUUUGCACUAGGAAUUUAAUUGUUGUAAAGCUUGGUGUCUAUUAUUAAGUGACAUGUUAUGAUGGUGAUAUGUUCUCAAUUGUUUUUAUUCCUAAUUUUCAAUUGAAGGUGUUCUUUGUGAAUUAUCAUGUGUCUGAUUUUGGCUUUGAUAUUCAAUCUCUCUCGCUCACAAUCCAUGAUCCAAGUCUUUCAAUUUCCUCGAACUCUUACUGUAUCUAUAUUUAAUACGCAGUUUUGAAUCCUAACCCUUUCUCUUUUUUUGGUUGGUUUGUUUCAUCGACAGAGAAGAACUGUGCAAGUAAAGAAACUAUUAGAUCUAGCUAGCGAGAGAGAUUCAUGAGUUCUUUUCCUUUUCUAGAGAGAUGGAACGCAUUUAGAUCCAACGGUACCUUCUUUUUACUUUUUUUAUUAUUAUUAUUUCUGUUUUUGUUUUCGUUUAUUAGGCGCAAGCUUUAGUUAUCAUUCUGUUUGUCUGCCAAUCUAAACCAACCAGAAAAUAUUUUUUGGUUUUUAUUGCUGAUAAUUUUCCAGAGGAAAGAGAACAAACAAAAAAAAAAUAAUCAAAAGAGCAAAUGAAACAGUCAACUUGGUUCUUAACAAACUGUAUGCCUUUAUGAAGUUUAUACCCAGUUUGCAGUAUUGUCAUGUAUUUGAUUUUGGGUUAUGGUCUCUUUGUUGUACAGAAGCAAGUUUGUGUGAUUAGUGAAUGGGGUUCUGCUGUUCUUGAUGAACUUGUACAUAUAUAUAUAUAUAUGGGUUCAAUUUCAAAGUGAAAAGUGGGUUUGAUGAUAGAUUGGUUCAAUUUCUUAAUGGAGCUCCUGCCGUAUACAUCUACUUGUAAAUAAUGUCAUUAGACAAUACAUACUUAGUCAUGAUAUGAUUGUGUUGUGUUGUUGAUAUCAGUGUGUAAUAUUAAUGUAGUUAUAUAAUGAAAUACAUUUUGUUGAUGUUCUUAGUGUAUCAAUCAACAGAAAACAAAAGAGAUCGAGACGAAGAAGGAAGAAAAGAAGGUUACUGACUAGAGAGAUCAUGAAUCAAUAACUCAACUGAUACUGCUCUCAUUUUAGUUAAAUGGAAGGUACACUCUUUGUUUCAAAUGAAUUUUCGAGUUAAUGUCCUCUUUCAUUGACUGAACCAGAGACUAUUCAUUAUGUUGUUGUGGAGUAUAGGAAUUGAGUGAGGAAGAGAGGAAGUUGUGGAAUGACCAGGCUGUUGAAGCCAUGGAGGCUUAACAGAUGGAAUUGGAGGAAUACAACAAGUCUGAUUUAUUUUGAUUCUUAUAAUCAUGAAUUGUAUGCUACUUUAUUUUUAUUCUGAUUUACGAAAUUCUGAUUUACCAUGAUCUACAAUUAAAACUUUGGUUGUGGAGGCUUUGACAUAGUUAGUUGCACUUAGUUGAUUUUGUGCUUAUGUCAAGGAACUAUUUGGUAGAAACACUUAUAAAUUAUUGCUUGAUGUGCUUAUAUUGAUAAUUCUUGUGAUGUAAGAUUGACAUCUGAGGACUCUAAUUGAAUGUAACAAUUCUUUUAAGUAUGUUUAAUUUCUUUUUGUACAGCUUUUGUCCAAAAAAAUAUAUAUAUAUAUUAGCUUGCCAGAUUUUUUUUUAAUUCAUAAAUAGAAUUUGCCACGACAAGUUUGCCGUUGUCAAUGGGUGAUUUGCGACGGUGGAAGCAGUCGCCACUUGCCGUCGCCAAAUAAGCAACGGCUUUUGCAGUCGCUGCUUGCCGUCGUAAAAGGUGGCGACGGCUUAUUGCCGUAGCCAAAAGCAACGGCCACGCCCUCAACGGCGACGGCAUUUUUGCCGUAGCCAAGCUGUCGCCGUUGCUUUUUCGCAACGACAAAGUGGUUUUUGGCGACGGCUUUUUGCCGUGGCUAACCGAUUUUUUUUUGUAGUAUUGAUCUCCAUUAAAUAUUAGUUUAAAAGAAGUAGAAAGUUAAGAGGGAAUGAUUUGACUGAUGAAACCAACUGAAAAAACCGAGAACUGAUCUUACUUGUACAACCAGUGCAAACACCGCAGCCAAAACUCCAAUACUCUUCUAAAGAAGACCAAUAACAAAUCAAAGCCUACAUCUUAAAGAACAAUUAAAGGAAAACAGUAAAAAGGAAAAAAAAAAAGAAAAAAAAAGAGAUAUUUUGAAAGAAAGAACGGUUGAUUGCCAAGCCAAACCAACGACAUUUAUAUGUGUCGAGCAUUUACACCUACCAAUACACCAAUCAAAUUCUAGAGUACGUCAAAAUCAAAAUAGGGUUUGGGGAAGAACAAAAUAAACAAAUAGUUUUGAAACCAAGAGAGGCGAAAGCAAACGAUACACCACAACUGCCUACUAACCAUCACCAUCACACCCUAAAACAGAGCAAGAAGACCCGUGAUGAUCCACUAGGAUAUAUAACAUGUGCCAAAACAGUUAUUGAUAAGAUAUAUGUUGAUCACUGCCAAAACCAAAGAACGAUUUGAUCACCAGAUCCAAACAAAGCUGGGAACAAAUACUCCUAGCCUCCACCAACCAUGCCAUGCCCUAGACCAACCGGGAAUAAAAUACAUAAAUCAAUCAUAUCCAUCACGUCAUCUCAUAGGAGGCAGACAAAAAGUUGAUAGUCUAAGAGGGAAGGAAAAAAUAGCAGAUUAAACCCGUGUAAGCUGAUAAAAGCCGAAGCCGAAACCUUCUCCAUCCAAAUCCUAAAACACAUCAUCAAAAGGUUCAAUGCAUCAAAAUCCAUACCAAACCAGGCAAAUUCAGAGAAGAAUAAAUGAUAAUUCAAUAUCUGCAACCAAUAAACCAAUUUACGAAACCGUGUUUGCUAGCUGUAUAUAAACCCUGGCAGCCAUCUCCAAACCACAGCCAAAUCCCCUAAAUCACACCAACAAAACCAACCACAAUCGAUCUCCAUCAUAAUCAAAUCAUCCACCACAAUCUAAAUAUUUUGGAAGUUUGAAAGGUAGGGUAAAAUUAGCAAAUUUAAUCCGUAUCAAACCGAAAAAGAAAGCCGAUACUCUGUCCAUAGCUAUCUGUACGGUCACCAGCCAAAUCCUAAAUAAAACCAUGUUGCAUCAAAAUCGGAUCAUCCAACCACAAAACAAUUUUCUCAAUUAGUUUUAAAGUUCAAAAUUAAGGUCAAAUCAGCAAUUUAAAUCCGUGUUAAACCAUUUUAAAGCCGAUGUCUGCUAAUCUUUGUGUACGGACUGUAGCCUUCACCCACCAAAUCCUAAAACCAAAUCAAUUAAACCACGAUGCAUCACAAUCUCUAUCGAAUCAAAGCUGACUCUCAGAAGAACUAAACAAAUUAAAUUCGAUCUCUGCAAACCGAUUUAGUGAACCGUUUGAUAAUAUACAUUGCCCUGGGCAGCCAUCACCACCAAACCAGUCCAAUCCUAAAUCACACCAACACAAAAUCACAAUCGAUCUCCAUUAACAUCGAAUCAUCCAACCAUUAAAGAAUUCAUAAGAGAAGGAAGGAACGAGUUAACAGCCAAAACCAAUAGACUCAUCGGCAGAGCCAAAUCCAAACCCUAAGAGCACAGAGCAACAAGAAGCAAAAGCGAAUUUGAAAGAGGAAUCAUGGAAGAAGAAGAGAAGCUCUGAACCUGAUAGCCUGCUAUUUUUCUAGCGCUGGGUGGAGGACGUGAGGGAGGUAGGGGUUAUUUAUAUAGUGAGUGGGGGAGAAUUUGGAGGGCUAGGAUUAAUCGGUGGUGGGACAGGUGGACAGUCAGUUUUAGAGUGAAGAACGGUUGGAUGGUGAGCUGGCAAGACGCGCUAUUUUUGAGGUGGUUUGUUAUGACUUGAACCCAACGCAUUCCUUUUCCUAAAAGAUAAACAUGAACAGGUAAACGCGACCGACUUUUGAUGCUGGUUGUCGGCCAGAAAAAUUCAACUUUUUAUUUUUAUUUUCGUUCGAAAUAAAAAUAAAUAAAAGUAUCGUAUGUGGAAUUUGAGGAUAUGUUCCUCGAAUCUUCAGCACCAAGUCAAACCAUUUUGGGUAAUUACCAUAGUGGAUGGUAAGGGUUUCUUCAUUUAGAAAUAUGAUUUUUUAUUUAUUUACUUAUUUUUAUUUUUUUUAUAGAAAAUAUGGUAAGGAACUGAAAAUAUAUGAUUUAGCGAAAACGUUAUAGUUUGGCUUUUUAUCUUGAGACUAAGUUACAAAGACUCCUCCUCUGGAGCAACCUGCUCCAAGAGAUCAAAAUUUCCUCUUGAGCAACCUGCUCUAAAGAGAUGAAAGUUAACAAUAUAUCUAACAUGGCAGGAAAAUUAAACUCUCAAAAAUAAGAAUCAUCUAAAUUGUGACCUAAGAGAGAAAGAGCGCGCAUUUGCAACAAAGUUCACCUCCCUAAAAACAUGGAUGAACGUGAUUGUUGUGAAUAGGGACGUAGCUACUUAAGUGGCUAAUUUAGGGAGAAAACAUGCCAAGUAUAGGAAUAUCAGGUUAGAAAAAGAUUUAUACAUAAAACUUACACAGAAAAGUAUACGUACUAUGCGUUGAUAAUUUCAUGUAGUAGACUUGGUGUAUUAUUUUUGACUAAUUAUACAUAAAAUGUUUGAUUCAAUAAGUAAUAGAGUAGAUAUUGGUCUUAUGCAGGUUAGGCUAUAGAGUCAUCAAAAAAAUUAUCAACGUAGCUGAUGCCGUGUUCAAAUCCUAGAUACGUCCCUGGUUGUGAAGGAUGCGGCAAUAGCUCUAAGCUUCUAACGUCUUUCAUAACUUGUAGCAGCUUCCGCAUGCAUUUGAGCCUUUUGGUGACACAAUUGAUGAUUAAGGUUGAAUUGCCUUCAACGACGACAUUUGAGUAGUUUAACUCCUUAACUUUUAACAGACUGCCACUGAGGAGAAAUUUUGAUAAAUAACCACUUUUAGGGGUUGUAAUUGAUUUUUAACCAUAUUUUUAUAAAGAAUUGAAAAAUAACCAUAUCAAUUGAUCAAAAGUCUCAUAUACCCUCAUCUAAAUUUCUCUUCUUUUUUUUUUUUUUUUCUGAAUCUCCAUCAUCAUUCAUUCAAGAUUAGAUUCAAAAAACCUAAAAAAAAAAAAAAAAACAAUGUGGACAUCAAACGCAAAGCUUUUUUCUCUAUGUUGGGAUUUCUUAUGUUUGAAAUUUAAGAAAUGAAAUGAUCUACCAAUUAUAAGGGGAUAUCAGUCUAUUAGUAAUCAUGAUUCAAUUACUACGAAUUCUAGGUUUAACGAUCUUCUGUGUAAUAAAAUGCAAUUGUAAUUGAUGAUAUAUAUAACUCAAUUAAUGAGUAUUUUUUAGCUACGAGCCAACUAUUGAAAUCCUCACUCCCCAUAAACGUUUUAUCAAAGUCAAUUGAUCUCUCAAAAUGCAUGGGUGGUGCUGGUGCUAUUUUGAGAGAUCAUAAAACAAGUUCAUGGCAGCUAUUGAAUUUGAAGCUACCGCUUUGAUCCAAGGUUGCUUUUUGACAGUGAGAAUUGAUAAAUUACAUGUUAAAUGUGAAUGCAAUUGCAAGGACAUUGUAGAUUUUAGGUUGGAGGUUCAAUCCUUUUGCUGAAGAUAUUCAAAUGUUCAAGGAUUUCUUCCAUGUUUUCUCUUGUGUAUAUAUUAGGAACUGGGCAAUUAAGACUAUUGAGAAAAAUAAAAAGAAUCCAUGAGUUUUAGAAAACUAAUUGAGGGCAAUUAAAACUUUGUAUCCAUUAAAAUGGUCAGUUUUCAACUAUUUGUAAAACAUGGUUAAAAAUCAAUUACAACGUCUAAAAGUGGUUAUUUAUCAAAAUUUCUCAUCACUGAGCGGAUAAGCUUUUGUGCGCACAAAAGUUUUUCCCAGUUUGUGAGCAUAAGCUAAUAAGAGACAUCCCGUGAAGACAAAAACUACAGCUGCAUUAGAAUCACUCCUUCUAUGUUGAUUCUAUAUGAAUUUUAUAGAUGUUAUGAAAUCGGAAGCUACAUACAAAAUCAUAAGUGAACGAGUUUGUAUCGCCUAAGAGAGGUUGUAUAUAUCAUAGUCAAGAACCUCAAUGAUAGAAAAUUCUAAAGUAAACAAACAUAAUAUCAUUGUGAUAUCGAACUCAAAGUAAUAAAUAACAUGGCACUAAUAAUAGUGAGAGCUUCGAAACAAUUCAAAAGCUAACCCAAGUUCAUUGUUGUUCUCCAAGUAUUACACUACGAGUCGCGUAUGUGCAUUGUACGUAUUUGUAUAUAUCUUAAUUGUCUCUUUUCGAGCCCACAACCCCAAAGCAUCAACCAUCAUGUAUAAUGUUUCUUCGUUAACAACCUCUCGGUUCUCGCACUGAUUCGUUUCUCACCAAUUGGAACCUAUCAUUUCUCAAAGGUAGGAUUUGAAAUUCCAGAUCAUCGUUGUAUAACACCAUAUUACGUAACACCAAUGCUGCAUUGCACGUUCAAGACGAUCACACGCAUAAAUUAUCACAAAUUUCCUAAACUCAAACUAACUGAGCAAAUAAUUUCCUUACUGUAAUAAUGCAUGCGCCCUGAAUGUGCACCAUUCCGUUAAUCACUAACCAUAAUCCACAACAUACGCUUAGUUUCAGGUUACAACAAAUGCAUGAUCACCUUUCAAGGACAUUCAAUCUAUACAGAAUUACAGACACACAUGCAUAUAUAUGUGAUAUUUGAGCAUCUCACAAUUCAUAUGCACCUGUUUUUUUUUUUUUUUUUUUUUUUUUGUAGGAAAUUCAUAUGCACCAGUACGUUCAUCUCUAAUAGCAAAAUCAACUCCCUAUCGAGCUAGCUAGCAAUGAUGUCUACUCCAGGAUUUUCAAAAGUACUAAUGGUUCUUGUGGCAACUGCACUGUUGUUGCUAGCUUCGCCUGCAGCACAAGUAGUCUACGGGCAAGAUUUCGACUGCCUCGAGCGAUGCGCAGAUGCCUGGAAGCGAUGCUUGGAUGACUGUAAGAGCAAAGGGAAAGCACACUCUUUCUGUUUUGAUAGAUGCACCGUCAAAGAAAACAAGUGCAUAGCCUUCUGCAUUUCGUGUUCUUACCUUCGAACAGUACGUGACUGAUCGUCGCAUCGCAUAUGCAAAAGGAAAAACACAACUAUAUAUUCGGUUUAACUAAGAAGCUAUACUAAUUUUCUUUCAACUUUAGUAAUGGUUUUUUAUUUAUGUAUGUAUUACACAACAAAAACUAUCCAACUCGUCAUCUGUGAGUUCCACCUCCUACUUUGGUACUCUUGCCAGUUGCAACUGUGAGUUUCAAAAAAACUCAAAACUCUGAUCAUAUUGGAUCUCAGAAAAUUCGAUGCCAAAGUAGGGACAGAGAGUACAUCCUCAUUUAAGCGCGAAGUGGAUCAACAGAUACGACUUACUAUUAAUAUUUGGCUUAUCAAUUAGUCUAGCUAGAAAAUAUACUAAAAAAGACCAACUAGAACCCAGAUGAGAGGGUUACAGGAUAAUAUAUCACAUCUGUAACCUGCAGAAUCCUUUAAGCCUGAAACAAGGAAAACGGAGGACAGUGAAUAACAAAGAACUGGAACAAGGAGUCCAGUAAAAACACAACAAAAAAAAAAAAAAACCAUUUUCAAAUCCAUUAGGUCAUCAAAAUUUUGAACUGAUCAAUGCAGCAGUCGUAGACAGAACUAAAACUCCAGAAAAGUUUAACAUGCCUUGUUAGCAAUGUUGUUUGAAAGCCAGUCUAAUCCCUCAUACAAGCCUUCACCGGAAGUGGCACAUGUACUCUGGAUAUACCUGCAGAGUAUAAAUAAAAAUGUACAUAUAAUAAGCACAUAGGCAAAAAGGAGGAUUGAGGUGCUUCUCUUUGCGACUUUGUAAAUCGACAGUAGAUGGAGGGAGAAUGAGAAUGCAGGUUUUCUAUUUAUCAAUUAUACCAGUGGCGUUGUCGAAGAGAAUGAAGGCCAAGCUUAUCGGUGAUUUCAUCAGCAUUCAUGGCAUUUGGAAGAUCUUGCUUGUUUGCAAAGACAAGAAGCACAGCAUCCCUCAACUCGUCCUGGUCAAUAAAGAACAUAAGAUCCCUUUAUGAUCAUAAGUUCAUGAACUUGACCACUAAACUAAGAGAACAUCGAAAAAAGAAAAAAACAUAAGCCUUCCCAAAUACCUCAUUCAACAUCCUGUGCACCUCAUCUCUAGCCUCAACAGCACGAUCUCGGUCAUUGCUGUCAACCACAAAGAUAAGCCCUUGUGUGUUUUGGAAGUAGUGUCUCCACAGAGGUCGAAUCUGAACCCAACCAACAGCCACCAAUAAUCAAACAAGAACUCUCACCAAGUAAUUAGCUUAAAGACCUAGUCUACUUAUGUACAAUUGUUUUACACGUUCAAACUGAACAAACAUGUAUACACAACACAAUCAGGAAGUGGGAUAUUGUCCGUCUGAACAAGAAAACUCAAUUAUCAAAAACAAAUGACUAAGAGGCGCAAUCUUAAAACAAAAUGUAGCUCACCUUAUCUUGACCCCCAACAUCCCACACAGUGAAGCUGAUGUUUUUGUAUUCCACUGUUUCCACAUUAAAUCCUGCUCAAAAUCACUAAACAGCAUUCAUAUUCAUAGAUGAUUACAACAUCCAUUUAAGGUCUCAAAAUAUAAACCCAUUUAUCUCUGCCAUAGAAGACUUGAAUGAUCAGAAGCAUAAUAGGAAUCGAAUUUGAUUCAUUUGGGAUACAAAUGUGCAAGAAAUAUACCAAUGGUAGGAAUGGUGGUAACGAUUUCGCCUAACUUCAGCUUAUACAAAAUGGUGGUCUUACCGGCCGCAUCAAGACCCACCAUAAGAAUACGCAUCUCUUUCUUAGCAAACAGUCUGCUGAGAAGUUUGGUGAACGACAGCCCCAUCUUGAAUCUGAAAUAAUCCAAAACCAAACUGAGGUCAGAAACCCAUUGUUUUUCAACAAAUGUUCUCACGUUUCGUAGGUCACUAUUCACAGACAAAUAUUGCAUCCAUGGGAAGACAAAGCUCAGUAGCCGAAAAAAAUCAGUUGCGAAAAAACCUCAAAGAACAAACGGCCUAUAUUUUGUGAAAGUUAAGAAAAUGAACAAUUAACAGAAAAUUUUAUAGGCAGCGACCGGUAUGGACCUUCUGAGUCAAUUCUUCAAUCAGGCUUCUGCAUAAUGCUAUGCAGUAAGUCAAGUAUUCAACCUAUUGUUCCUAAAGUUGUAUUACAUGACAAGUGAACCAAAACACUUUCGUUUUCAUGCACUACCCUCCUCACAACUUCCAACGAUGCAUAUCAUAUCAGCAAAAAAUGUGUACAAAACUUGAAUUUCAAUUGUUAAUCCAUCCCGGCCUCUAUUUGGUAUCCAAGCAAAUGUAGGAAGAACAGAAAUUAAAGAGAUAAAACAAUCCGGGUACGAUGAGAUUGAUCAUGAUCGAUGAUGGACGUACAUUAUCCAAACAAAUGUUCGUUUCAUUCUAUAAAUUGAUCACAACUAACCCAAAGACCCUCAUUUUCAUUGCACGGUAUCGCAUCGACCAAAUACUACUCUCAGUAGCAAAUAAGCAUCAAAGGCUCGGCAUUGCUAUGAAAAAAGUGAGAAAUUACCUUGAAUUUGAUAUGCAAGUUUGCAAUUCGUUUAUGGAGAAAUUGAUCAAGAACCUUGAAUGCCAACGAGAGAUGUAAAUGCAAAAGGGAAAAGAAUGGAGAAACUUACGGUAGGAGAGAGAACGGUGUGUGUGGGUAUAAUCUGAAAACCAAAUGCAGAUUCAGAUUCGGAUUCCACAAAGUCUCUAUCUUCGUCCCUGGCGCCAUUUAUAGGCUACGUGAAAUACGGACGUUAACGGUUUUGUUUAAAUUUUGAAAUUUUAUAACUUUUAGGUUAAUCUGCCAAUAAUGAGACAAGUGAAAUAUUGGAGAAAUUUUAAAUACACAUCCCUAAUAUCUUAAUACACACCCCUUACUUAAUACACUAUCUAUCAAGUUUUUCAAUUCAAGUAUUAUACUUAAUACACAUCUCAAACUGUCUAAAAUGCCCUUAAUUUAUGAAAUAUUUCAUUAUUAAUAUAAUUAAUAUAUAUUUACUAUUUGGUACCUCAUUUUACAUAUUAUUUCGUCUAAUUUCUGCUUGAAAUUUUUGGUUAUCAUCGUUCAAUUUAUAAUCAAAUGAUUAUUGUUAUAUCCCAACUCCAAAUCACCAAUACAAGUUUUCAAAUUUCACAAGCUAGUAGAAUUGUAGAAGUACAAUAGCUAUUAAACAUGGAUAGCUAGUUAUUCGAUAAAACAUGUCAUGAUAAAAAUGCAGUACUUGACAAUAUGAUAUGCAAGAUCAAACUAAAGCUGAUACAAAUAAAAAAAAAAUAAAAAAACCGAAAUGAAUUGUGGAAAAGAGUUAGGGUUAGGGGAGAAGACGUGCUUUCGACGAUUUUAGGAUAGAAAACGUUGAAAAUAAUACUUCUAGCAUGUGAUUUUUGUUUUUAAUAAUAGAUGUAUGUUUUGGUCAUUUAGCUUACCUAUAAAAUCUAAAUAGAAACAUAAAAUCAUAAAGGUGUGUAUUAAGAGAUUAGAGGUGUGUAUUUAAAAUUUCUCGAAAUAUUGUAUCCGUAAAUUAAAACAAAUAUUAUCUCAAGGAAAUGGAAUAGCUUUGAAACUCAUCAAACAUUACAGAGCUUGCUAGCUAAACGAGUGUUGAACUCAUUUUCUGUAGCACAAGAGUUUGCACCCGAUUUAGCUUCCUCUUAAUUAAGGGGUUAGAACUCGACGAGUUCAUUUGAGGUGAGAUUCUGGUGAAGCUAACUGAUGAGUCUAGAGAGCUACUUCAGUUAUCAUUCCGGAGACAAAAGUACUCUUUCAAAAUGGCACAAUUGAGGCAGAGGGAUUCCAAAGCUAGUACUGAUUAUUAGGGAGACUAAUAGCAAUUUGUAUCUCCAUCUACUUUCAUUAUGUAAACCUGAGGACUUCACCAUAUUUGAUCUGUACAAUACAGGAUAUAAUCCCGAGCAGGCAAAAGAGAAACCCUACCAUCAUUUGAGGUAACAAUAACAGAGCAUUUUGAAGGACGUCGUCGAUAAGAAAGCUUAGUCUGAAUGUGAUUUUAAACUUGGCCUUUCUAAUAUUACUUCACUGAGUUCGCUCGCAUAUCCUGAAACAAAGAAUCAAGUGAUCGUACAUUCAUACCAUCAUUGUAAGUAUCUAUUUUGAAGUUCCCAUAUCCAUUAAGAGAACAAAUGCGGUUCCAUCUUGGCUGAUCUAUUGUCAUCUCGCGUCAUUGAGAAUUCUAGAGGUGGCAAACUAAUUCUUUGCAGACCCUUUUUCCUGCUACAGAAUUGGAGAGCACCUUUCUUUGGUUGGUUGGUGACUCGUGAUGGGAUUUCUCUUUUCGUUUUGUCCUGUUUAGGGUUUAGGGUUUAGGGUCAGGGUUCAGACAAAACUUCAGUGUCGACUUCAGAGAGUAGUUGCAUGGCUGUAUCAGUGGUCACAUAGAAACUUAAAAAUCACGUAUUUCUCUACUGGUCGACAUCUCCUAUGUGAUGAUGGGUAGAAAUUGAAGUUAGCAUACCUUGUAAAAUCUACACAUCACAGACUCACGGUCUGUUUACUUUUUUUUUUUUUUUUUUCUUUCUAUAUGGCAGUCUGUUUACUUAUAUGCAGCAAUUAUGUGAUUUAGAAUGAAAUGCCCCAUAUUGCUAAGGUUGUAAACAAUAGUUUUGUUAAUUCAGACAGAACGUUUAUAUGGGAAGACCCGAAACUAAGAAGAGUAACAUCAUCGAUAAGUGUAUGAUCGUAAUCUGAAAAUCAAAGCCUUUGGGAGGCGCGUAUAUGUAAAUUUGAUAUAGAUUAGUAGAUACAUCUAAGCCAACACAUAAUCUGAGAGUUCAAUGAAGUUCUGAGAUCUAUAUAUUCAAAAACGUCAUUACAAAGUUUGAAAUAAUGAAAUUGCAUUCCGGAAUCCGGAUAUAUACCACUAAGUUUCUAGCAUACUUGAUUCUUAAAUUUUCCGGAUCACUAAGUUUCUAGCUAGCUAUACUGCUAUAGCAUACUUUCUUAAACUCUCCAAGGGCAGGGUAUAUGACCUCAAAGGCCUUAUGGAUGUCUUCUCUGCGCUUUGCACCUGUGAUGACUAGUUUCCCCGACGCGAAUACAAGAAGAGUAAUCUUGGGUUCCUUCAUGCGGUACCUCAAGCCUGGAAAAAGUUCCGGCUCAUAACUCGUACACUGGGGGUUUGCAUAAGCCAAACCUUCAAGUCUGAUCGGAAAUCUGACAUCACAGUUUGCAACCAUGUUCUGGAUCUUGAAAUCAUUAAACUUGGCGUCGAAACCCAUCUUCAGGAUGGUUCGUACACACUUCCUAGCUGCCAGUUCCGACUCGGCUUCGCUUUUGGCACCAGUGCACACCAUUUUCCCAGAGGCGAAGAUCAAAACUGUGGCCUUUGGCUCUCUCGUUCUCAUUAUCACGGAAUGCAAACGCUUGGGAUUGUAUUCUGCGUUUUGAGCCUGCACAGUGAUUUGAUGAAGAUCUAACUUGCAGCCCAGGUUAACCGUAGAGAUCACGUUCUGAAUAGUGGGAACGAUUUCGCUUGCAGAGGGUUGCUGGGUUUCCAUCAUAUUCUCACAGUUUAGAAUUGGCAAAACUAGUGAAAGGGGUUUGUGGGUUUUGCUUGGUUUUAACAGUAGUCUAGAAUUGGCGAAUCUUGUGAAAGAGGUUGUGGGUUUUGCUUGGUGUUAAGAGACGGGAGAAGGGGAGAUGAUCGAAUGAUAUUUAUAAGCAACCUACCAUGCGGCUCUGCCCUUUUAUAGACAUCAGGCUAGCAAGUAUUGCAAUCAGUUGUUUCCUUUUUGUAUUAGGACAGACAUUUCCUUUAUGGAUUUGGAUUAGUCGGUUUCCUUUUUGGAUUUGGAUUAGUCGGUUUCCUCUUUGUAUUUGGAUUAGAAUGGACCCGAGUUGUGGGACCUUAAUUUACCUCAUUUUUGCUAAUCACCUUAAUUACCUCAUGGAUGAUCACAUAAUCACACAUGAAAUUGUCUAAACUCAUAACCCAUCAACUUACUCAAUUCUUCCACCGCCUUGCUCCUCUUCAAUCCGACCUCUGCAGCUGUGUAUCCAAACUCCAAAGAAUACUUUUGAAGCUCCCCAUCUAACUGUCGAAUUUUCCCCAGUCGAAGCUCCUUUGGCAACCAUCUUCAAUUCAUGACAGUAACUCAGACCUUCCACGAUUCCAUAAUCAACUGUAAGUGACUCAUGGACGUACAAUUUCAUAUAUCAUCUCAUAGACGUAUAUGAGAGUUCUUUGGGAGCUGACUCUAAUGGAAGUACAAAUCUGUGAAAGCUCACAAGCUGCAUUAGAAUUUAGAUGAAUACUCGAAUAUAAUCAAUAUAUGGCUUGGGAGCAGGUUUCCAAUUCAUUCCCUUACACUUGAGAACCCUAUCAACUUCCCUGACCCGUUAGAACUUGAUACUCCAAAGUCCAAAGAAUUCAAUGAACACACACAUUUACAAACUUAAAAUAGAAUGAAAAAGAAGCCAUUCAAGAAAUGCACCUAAUGUGAGUCGCUGACUGGCUAAUGUCUGCUCUUAGCAAAACUGGAAGACGACUUGGAAUCAACUUCCCCUCAGUUUAGUUCAUGAAUCAACAGGUAGUACAGAAAACUUGAACCUCUUCCAGCUCGAGAAGUCAUUCUUGUCUUAUAGAUAAUCUUUCUGAUAAUUUGCGAGUGCGAGCACAAUACAAGACAAUCUCAUUAGUUGGCCACAUACCAGUACUAAAAGGUCGACAUUCAAGUUACAAAAUAAAAAACAAAAAAAAUAACAAGUUUAGUUUCAUUUUGAAAAACCCUCCUUGCACAUAUAGAAAUAUCAUUACUUUGCCACUAAGUUGCCGUCUUAUCUUAAAAGUGACAACAUCUAUUUCCUGUUAGUUUUCCAGAAAACCAUUUAAGCAGAUUCCAACUUCAGGUGUGCACACAUUGAUGAAGUUCCUAAGAUAGAUCUAAACCCCUAAUUUCAUCUGCCAAAAUCAGACUUCGAAACUGCAAACUUUAAAUACAGAAAAGUAGUCAGGAGGCUAACUUACUUAUUAGUUCAUAAGUGACUAUCAUUGUAGUUCCGUAGAGUGACAUGUUUAAGAACCGCGGACCAAAUCCUCUGUAAAAGCCCCACCAUCCAUCUUCUUCAAAUAGUGUCUUUGCUGUCUUCAAUACCGUUGGUCUUCCAGCACCAUAGUUAUCCAUGACCUUUCAGUAGCAUAUCAAACAAUUAGCCUCAGAAAAUGUAAAGACAAAUGACUGUGUAGAUUGAGAAGGAAACAAUUUUGAGUCUCACACUUCAUUACCUGAAGUCGUGUCUUGAUUGUGUCAAUAGGAGUAGUGAUGACAGAGGACAAAGCACCAGCCAUCAUACCCGCCGUUGCCUGAACUGUCGCCAUCUCCGUAUGAGAUGGCUUUUGUUGGUCUUUAUCGCUAUAGCCCAAACUCCUAUGAUGAUAUAAAUGAGGUAUAAUAAUUAGACACCGCAUUAGGCUAAAGUCAAGGAACUGCAAUAGAAUCGAAUUAGAUCACUGGAAAUUAUACACACCUCCAGAUCAUGUGUUGGACAGAACCAUAGGCUCCCCACCAAAGCGCAGAUGCUGGCGACUGGCUCAGUGCUGUCAGCCCGAAGCCCCUGUACAGACCACGAAAACCUUCAGCCUGUAUAACUUUACGUAUGACCUCAAAUGGUCGGUUGCAGGAUGUAGUCCCAGAAAGUCCUUGAACCAUUAGUCUCUGGCAAGUCUGGAAAAAUAUAAAGUAUAGUUAUAGUGAAGGGACAUUUCAGAAGGUACAUUCGACCUUUAGUAUUGAAAGAUAGAAUUGAUGUAUCAGCAUAAUGAAGAGCCAAAAUAAUCAUAGGGCAUCAAUUUUGACUGAACAGGAUAUCAUACACAUAAGAAUAAAAAGUUUUGUGAAUGACACUGUUUCCUAUCUAAUGACAGAAACAAACUAGAGGAAUGAGAAGGAACUGGUUCACCUACCACAUCCAAGGGUACAUAGUAUGCACAAGAAAUGAGAUUUGAGAACAUGCCCGCCACUCCAUUUGCAAUACCAAUACGUGUAGCGUCAGGCAUCUUUGAACCUUCAGUGUACUUGAACAUCAUAUCCUUUGAAACUUCAAGUGAUGUCAAAGCCAAGACCCUACCUGGCAAUGAUCCAAUUGCAGAAGUGCCAAAACCCCUGUAGACUCCAGGUAUUCCAUCCAUCUUUAAUAUCUGUUUAAAUACCGAUGUUGCACUCAUGUGAGAGAGUCUAGUGUCUACUUGCAUUCUGGUUUUCACAACUAAUGUUGGGUGUAGUAAGGCUGAUUGUGCGGUGAAGAGAAUGGCCCCAAUUAUAUGGAACCUCGCCUUGUCCAACCUACAUUAAUGCAAAAAAGAGAAACACUUGUCAUCCACACCCGCCACCACCGCCUAUAAGCAAAAAGAGCCUCCAUGUCUUCGUUGAGGUUUAACAAUAGAAUUUAGAAAUAGUCAUGCACUUGUACUCCUGUGUACUUUGGUUUUUGAGUAGCAUUUGGUUAUGUUUAAAGCACAAUCCAGAAUCCAAUGAGAUUUCCAUCCUCAUUACUCAUUAGCCAUUCCUCAUUCGCAUAUUCCACAACGAAGAAGUAUAGAUUACAUUGCAAACCACUCCAAAACCAAACAAAGCAGUAUAAAAGAAUCUCCUUUACAUGGUUUUCGACUACAAAUUCUUUAGCCAAUGUGUAAAUCAUAACAUCAUAGCAGCUGUAAUGAGCAUUUCUAGCUCAAGACUGAAUCUUUACAUUGCUCUCAAAACACAACAUAAACACAAGUAUAAUAAACUUGUUGAUCUCCAAGUCAGUUAGUUAAUCAGCACCCACAUGCAAACAUCAUAUCAUGAUUAUCAUCGAUCAUUUGUUAAACCCACUCGAAAACAAAAGACCAUAAACAAAAACAAGCAAAGGAAUAAGCAACCCAACAAAGUCCAAAUUGGCCUAAAGCAAUCGUCUUUAUUCAAAGCAUGUAAAGAAAAUGUACGCAAAAUGGUGAAAUGGGCAACGAAAUGAACCUGUCCCAGUUCACAUCAGUAUCAGCAAGAGCCAACUCCGCCGCAGUCUCAACCUUUGCUUCCACCGACAUCAGCGUUUUGCUCUUUAUUUCUGUUUUCCAGCUCAGGCAGUUGUUAGUUGUUUGUUUCCAACUUUCGAGGGGAGGCUUAUGGACUUUGAGGUUACUUUAGUAUCGGAGAAAUGGGAUUUGAGGGCAGGGAAACCAAGGUUCCCGCUUCCCGCUUCCAAGAGUCGUAUUAAAUUUAGGAAGCGAAGCACGGAAUGACUACAUACAGUUCCACUGCGACUUCUGGCCUCUUCUCGAAUGUAGGUCCUUCACCCUUGCUUUUCUGGCAUUGUGGGCCUAAUUUGACGCAUGAAUACGCGUAUCGUAUCCGUAUACUAAUCGGAUACGUGCAGGAUACGCACCCAAAUAGCCCGUGUUGACUCACGGGAUACGUUCACCGGCCAGUAUAGUUUGUUUUAGUGUUUUCGAUACGAGGAAUUAUUACCUGGUCCCGGCACAUUGCUGAGCUGGUGUUCCCAACCAAUGAGCACAAGACACAUGGUUCUUUUUUUAACACAUCACCAAAAUGUUAACUAUUGAGAUAACGGUGUUAAUGGCAAACAUAAACGUCACUUUCUCCUUCAUAUGAAAUGAAGAAACCUUAAAACCUUCUCAAAAGGAAAAACAAAGAAAAAUUGCAGAAGCACAUUGUUGUUCUACUGGUCUGCAAUCUUUACAACACUAUAGGACAAAUUUCCCAACCAACCUAUAUUCCUUUGCUCACCGUCACAAUCAAGCCAAUUGAAGCUUCUGGGUUUGGUUUAUAGAUAUGAGAUUUGAGAGGAGAGAGAAAGUAGAUUUAAGUUUCCCUCUCCUACACCACCAACGUCCGAACGCCACCAUGACUCACCUCCACCACCACUAGACUCAUCGGCUUCCGACGAGUCCGUUCCUGCCUCCACGUCGUCCGACGACAUCGGAAUUCAAUUCACGCGCGGAUAUACAGGUACCCAGAAUUUUCUCUGGGCACCCAAACCUUCUUCUCCUCACCCAUGAUUAUUGAGAAAAUUAAAAAAAUAGAGUUCAUUAUAUGCAAAUCGAUUAUUGAUAAAGAAGAUUCAACCGAACAAAAUGGAUGAGAAAUUGAAGAUUUGAGUUUUGGAAUUGAAGGCCAUGGAGAGUGAAGAAGAAGAAGACCAGUGCUGCGUAAGUUUGAGGAAUUACAGAUGGACGGAGUUAACAGCUCUGCUAUCUAUUUAACUCUGAUUUAAAAAAUUGUAUACGUGUCUUGUGCUCAUUGGUUGGGAACACCAGCUCAGCAAUGUGCCGGGACCAGGUAAUAAUUCCUCUUUGGAUACCUUGUAGUAGAGACGUUUAUGUACACGUCAUGUAAAUACACAGACACAUGAAUUGUUAAGAUCUAAUUUUAUUGUUUAGAUACCUUUUGAAUCUUGGUAUAUUGUUUUACCUUUGGAUCCUUCUCAACUGCAUUGCAUUAUUAAGUGACUAAAAAUGCAUGAGAGUCGUCUUUGGCAGAGUAGAAAUACAAGAUUGGGUGUCGGGGUUAACGUAAUUUUAGGAUUUACGGGUUUUAUUUUUUAUCUGUUUGAACAAUUCAUUUAAGAUCAAACAACUAAGAUAGAUUCAUCCCUUUCUAUCUAUUUAAUUAUAUACCACAAGUGAUCAGACCUACAACAUACAAAUGGCUCAGAUUGCACAAUCUACUUACAAGGCGUGCAUACAAAAUUUUUGAACUUUUUAAGCUUGAUUAUCAAAUAAAUUAUAUGUUCAAUCACGGAUGCCCGUAAAAGUGCAUGGUAAAAAUGGAAAGCAGAAAAGUAGAGGUAAAUUUAUUUAUUUAUUUUUUAAAACCAAAAAUAAAUAAAUGCUAGCCCAAAGUGAAAUCCAACACUAGAUAUUUUCUGAGGGUUCACCGCCUUAGCCUGGAGCAUCGGUGUAAACCUACAGAAUACAACUCUAUCAUGUAAAGGCUUUUUGUUCCGGAACACCCUUUUCGGCUUUUCGGUUCUCUUCGUCUACCUCUCGGAGUAGAAAGAGCCACACACAGAGGGAGCCCCCGAUUUAGGGUUUGGGUUUUGCAUUGCUCAUCAAAUCCCGCUCCGAUUGAUUAUCACACAACUAGUUAAUUCAGAUACGAAGCUUCAAUCGGUAUUAUCUGGGUAUGUCAUCGAUUUUAGGGUUUUCCAAUCCUGAGUAGUCAGUUUUCAAAUCUAUAAGAUUUAUAUGAAUACGAUUGUUCGUUGAGCGUUGAAAUUUCUGAGAGUUUAGCUCGAUUCUAGAUUGCCAGUAUCUAUGUUCAAAGUAAAAUUAGAGAUUUUUGUACUAGAGCCAUACACGAUAAUUGUUUUAGCUCGAAUUUUGAUAUUCGAUUUUUUGAUGCGACUGUUUGAUUUGAUUGUAGAUAAGUAGCGGGUAUGGCGACAGCGGAGGCAGCUUCUGGGCCACGGUAUGCCCCGGAUGAUCCGAGUCUGCCGAAACCUUGGAAGGGAUUAAUUGAUGGCAGCACGGGUGUGUUGUAUUAUUGGAAUCCGGAAACCAACAUUACCCAGUAUGAGAAGCCGGCUUCUUUGACUCCGCCUUUGCCGCAGGGCCCGCCUCCUGCUAACACCACUCCGAAGAUGGCUGCGAUUCCCGUUGCGCAUUCGAUGCAAGGGAAUGGGGUGGUGUCUCAGGACGGGCAGCAAGUGAGCCAGUAUCCUCAACAACAUGGACAUCUAAUGGGGCAACAGAUGUCCUCGUAUUCGCAGAACUCGCAAAUGCCACAUGCUGGUCAUCAGCAGAGUUCGCAGUUAGGACAGGCUAUGCAGCAACAUGGGCAAGUGCCAUCAACACAACAGCAUAUGAUGCAACAUCCAAGUCAGCAAAUGAUGCAGCAUCCCAGUCAGCAGAUGCCCCAGGCUUCAGCCCAGCAGGCAGGACAGCACAUCCCCCACCAACUGGGGCAACAAGCACCACCGAGUCAAAGCUCACAGGUGCUUCAAGCACAAGCACAUCAAUAUUCACAUCAGCAGCAAAUGCAGUAUAUGGCUUAUCAGCAAAGUGGUCCUCCCCAGGGGCAGCAAAGUUCCCAGCAACAGACUCCGCAUAGUGCACAUGGGCAAGCAUCGGCAAAUCAACAAUCUGCAUACCCACCAAGAGAGGAACAAGAUUUUCAGCACAGAAACCAAAGUGGUUUUUCUCCAUCUCAGUUUCAACAAGUGGGCGUCUCAUCUCUGCAGAAUGUCACUACUGGGACUUCUUCAGUACAAGUGCCACCGAGAGCUGUUCAUCCUACUCAACCCCAACAAUUUGGGGCCUCUUUGGGAAAUAUGCAACAGCCUUCUUCUUUUGGCCACCAGCAACAAUCAGGAACUGAAUUGGCGCACCAUCAACACGGUUCUAGGUUUCACAAUCAAAUGGAGCCAGCAAUGAUUCAUAGUCAGCAGCCUAAUAUGCAUCCUCUUGGGUUAAGGAGGAGUCUUGAAAAUAAUUUCCAGGGUAGAGUUGGAAAUGAAUAUUACUCAAAUGGUAACAAUGAACGGCCAACAGGUACUCAACAGCCUAAGAUUGCUGAUAUCCCAAUGACAAUCGCAAGAAGUCAGCAGGUAUUUCUUAAAUACUCAGCUGUCCAUUUGUGUAUGACUGUAUGCUGAUUAUAUUGUAUUUCCAUGUCCAACUUAUCAAACCAUGUUAUUGUUACUUCUUUCAGGAGAUGGGAAUCAGUGGUGUCCCAUUUCAAAACGCUGCACCUGGUCAGGGCAUGCAUAACAUGUACAGUCAUGCAACAGGUGGUCCACCAUUCUCAAACAAUGCUCUGGUGAAGCCUUCAUACGUCGGACCAACAAGUGUUCCUAACCUCUCCCCUGUUCAAGCAUAUCUUCAACAAUACGAAGUUACUGCAACGGUCUGUUUUUGUUUCUCAGCUGUUAUCAGUCUGUAUGAAUUUGGAAAUGCUCAUCUUGUUUUGAAGAGAUAAAUGGGAAGAUAGUUCCCUGAGAUUGUUGACUAUUAGCUAAAGAGAUUGAAUGUUUAUAGGAAACUAAAGAAAUUGGGUUGUACACUGAACAAAAUUGGUAAAACUGUAUGUAUCUGGUGUGAUUUAUACAUGAAGUUUCUGAACGCAUCAAAGUAGGCAUUGAUAACAUUCAUAACUGUUCAUGGAAGUUCUUAUGAAGUUCUGGCAAAAUAACUGUUUGGAAUUGCAAUUCGGACAUCCUUGUCAUGCUGGUCCUGUACUGUUUGUAGUUCUUCAAAAUGUAAUAGCAUGUUUAACUGUUAUUGAUGCUAAUGACUUCAGCAUUGAUUUUUAAUUUUAUAGGGUGACAAUGUUCCUGCACCAUUCAUGACAUUUGAAGAUACUGGAUUUCCGCCAGAGAUAUUGAGAGACGUAAGUUGUACAUGAUAGAAAUUGUUUGUUUUUCUAAGAUAAUAAAUCAGUUAUGAGAUCCAUCCAUUCCAAUUUUGAAUUAUCAUUUUGCUUUACUACAUUUGAACUCAUGAGUUCUCACUUGUCGCAGGUGCGAUAUCUGCUCCGGAGGUGGAGCAUAUGUCGUACGCUGCAUUGCUAUUGCCACACUUACACAUGCAACAACUGUUCUCAUUUUUGGUGGCUGCAAAAUGAACUGUUGGAGCCUUUCUUGUGCAUCUUCUAAAGGGUGGUUGGCCCUUCAUCCAAAUCACACCUGAUGUGACUGGGAUUUCUUGAUUAAUGGCUCCACCUCUUAUGUCUUUAUGCCCUCUUUUGUUGCCUCCAGUUGCUUCUGUAAGCAACCACAUACCCCAUGGGCUUUUAUGUUAUCUUCCUUUUGUAUGAUAAUAUGUAAUGAUGUCUGCUUGUAGUCCUCUAUCAUGAAGUACACCCAACUUUUUGCUGACCAUAGACCUAUGUUAUUAUUUCAGAUAUACUCUGCUGGAUUUGCAUCUCCUACACCAAUUCAAGCACAAACAUGGCCUAUUGCUCUUCAAAGUAGGGAUAUAGUAGCUAUUGCGAAAACUGGUUCUGGCAAGACAUUGGGUUAUUUGAUGCCUGCCUUCAUUCUUCUUAGACAGUGCCGUAAUGAUUCUCGGAAUGGGCCAACAGUGUUGGUUUUGGCUCCAACAAGGGAGCUUGCAACACAAAUACAGGAGGAGGUUUUGAAAUUUGGCAGAGCUUCCAGGGUAUCCUGCACGGUGGGUGCUCUUUGCUUGAUUUCCUUGCACAAUAAUAGUAUUUCUUUGAACUCCAUGUGGUGUUGUACUUAUUUGUUUCACUAUGAUUGAAUUUCAUGUUUAGUGCUUGUAUGGUGGAGCACCAAAGGGUCCUCAGCUAAAAGAAUUAGAUCGUGGAGCAGAUAUAGUUGUUGCAACUCCUGGUCGGCUCAAUGACAUACUGGAAAUGAAGCAAAUUAAUUUUGGCCAAGUAUCCCUUCUUAUACUUGAUGAGGCAGAUCGGAUGCUUGACAUGGGAUUUGAACCUCAAAUUCGUAAAAUUGUGAAUGAAAUACCCCCACGCAGACAAACUCUUAUGUACACAGCAACCUGGCCCAAAGAAGUAAAAAAAAUAGCAAGUGAUCUUCUUGUUAAUCCUGUCCAGGUGAAUAUUGGCAAUGUUGAUGAGCUUGCUGCAAACAAGUCUAUUACACAGGUAAGUUCUUGUAUACUGUGUCUUUCUGAGACACUCAAUAAGUUAGAAAACUAUUCUGAUACCAUAAAUUAUAAUUUAAAACUUUGAGUUGUCUCAUCUUUUAUUUCACCAAUAGUCUAAAUUUAUAGAUUGUAGGGAACUUAGUAUGAUGUGGUUCAUAACAAAUCUCAUGUGCAAACUAGCUAUAUAGCCUUGUCAGUUGUUUUUGUUGUGUUUUUUUUUUAGGUACAUGUCUCUUCCUGUAGUGUUAAACCUCAAAGCUAUAAUGAAGUAUGAGAAUGAUUGUGGUUUAUUGGAAUAAGGGAUGAACAGUUUUUGCCAAGUUUAAACAAUAACGAACAAUAAGUUGAUUGAGUUUUUGAUGUACUGCAUCGACUGUAUUACAUUGUAGUAGCUGACCAGAUGCAAGUCCUGGCUGUUUGAUGCUUUGAUCUCCUUUUUCUGCCUUUUAAUGCAUAUAGUUUUGAAAACCCUGUAUAGGAUAAGAUUUACAUUGUCUGUAAUAGAAAGAACUUUUGUCUGGGACCUCUUACAUUUCAGAAGAAGAUUAAAAUAUGUUUUUGGAAAAUUCAGUAUGUUGAAGUUGUCCCACAAAUGGAGAAACAGAGGCGCUUGGAGCAGAUCCUUAGAACCCAGGAACGAGGUUCUAAAGUUAUUGUUUUUUGUUCCACAAAGAGGUUGUGUGAUCAGCUUGCACGUAGUAUUGGACGUACCUUUGGGGCGGCUGCAAUUCAUGGCGACAAAUCUCAAGGUGAGAGAGAUUAUGUCUUGAAUCAGUUCCGUAGUGGAAAGUGCCCGAUCUUAGUUGCAACAGACGUCGCUGCUCGCGGGCUUGACAUUAAAGAUAUAAGGUAGCUUAUCAUUUCUUUGCACUUGAUGCUGAUUUAGAGUAAGCGUAUAAGCUAGUUCCUAUGUAACCUUGUUAUUAUUUGAAAAACGUGUACUUAUCUUUUGAGUGUCUCAUGUUACAGGGUAGUUGUUAACUAUGAUUUUCCUAACGGGGUUGAAGACUAUGUUCACCGAAUUGGAAGGACCGGGAGGGCCGGGGCAACUGGGGUCUCGUACACCUUUUUCUCUGAGCAGGAUUGGAAAUAUGCAGCUGAUUUGAUAAAAGUUCUAGAGGGAGCCAACCAGCAAGUGCCCCCAGAGGUACGAGAUAUUGCUCUGCGUGGUGGCCCUGGUUUUGGCAAGGACAGGGGCGCAAUGAACCGCUUUGAUUCUGGUCGUGGUGGCAUGAGGGACGGGGGUUUUGGUGGUCGCGGUGGCAUGAGGGACGGGGGUUUUGGUGGUCGCGGUGGCAUGAGGGACGGGGGUUUUGGUGGUCGCGGUGGCAUGAGGGACGAGGGUUUUGGUGGUCGCGGUGGCAUGAGGGAAGGGGAUGGCAACUUUGGUGGACGUGGUGGCAUGAGGGAUGGCAACUUUGGUGGUCCUCGAGAUGGUGCUGUUAGCAGCCGUGGCGGGAGAAAUGAUUUCUUUGGUGGGCGUGGAAACAGGGGGCGGGGAUUUGGGGGUCCUGGCGGUAGUCAUACUGGUUUUGAUAGAAAUGACCGUGGCCCAAAUGAUCGGUACAACAAUAUGGAUGUGCGUGGAAGGGGACGUGGACGUGGAAGAUUUGAUGAUAGAAUUGAUUCUGCUGACAGGGGCAGAGGCAGAAGUCGGAGCCCUGAAACUGUUCGAACUUGGGGAGGUUAUAGCAGUAGUAGAAGCCGAAGCCGAAGCCGUAGCAGAAGCCGAAGCCGCAGUCGUAACCGUCGUCAAAGGAGUCGGAGUUGGACAAGGAGUCGUAGUAGGAGUCGUAGUCGGAGCUAUAGCCGUGGUCGUGGGCGUGGGCGUAGCUAUAGCCCUAGCCCGAGUCGCCGUCGUAACCGCAGUCGUAGUCCUAGUUAUGAAAGAUACGAGAGGCCCCAUGAUCAAAGCAUAGAUAAGAAGGAUCCUAAUAUUCCAGAAUCUGAGGCUCCAACUGGACCAGAAAUGUCUCCCAUGUCCCCUGGUGGACAAGUCAAUGCAUCUCCAAAUAACAAGACUCAAGGGGAACUGCCAGUGGUUAAGGAAAUUACCAAGCAGGAGCUGGAGGAGACUCAUAUCACUCAGUGACUGAACAUUCAAUUUGUGACCAUUUCUUGCUGUGGUACCUAGUGUGAUUGGUUGAUGUUGGUUUUGCUUCACUGAGUGGCUCACUUGUGGAUAUAUGAAUCUGGUUUCUUACUACGACGAAGAUAUUUGCAGCAAAUUGGAGUUGGGGCUGCCUGGAUUUCAUCCAAAGACGUGAUGAGGUGCCCGACAACUUUUGGGGAUGUGAGUGAGGUCACGAAUAGCUCUAGGGAAAGCUCUUUUACCUGCUAUUAUGAUCAUACUACAGUUAAUUUGAUUACUGCUGGGACAGCAACUUAAGAUUAUUUGUGCCUCGUUACAAAAUUGUACUGGACAGGUAGGGCACCUACAUUCUAUCCGUGGUGCCUCUUAUUUUACUAGACAUUGUCAUCAGAUCAUCUUAUUCAUUUUCACAUAAAUGUUUUUAUCUUCGACUUAUUUCUCACAACAUUAUUACGAUCUUAACAGUAGCUGCACCUUUUUUUUUUCUUUUUUUCUUUUUUUUCUAGUUUUACCAUAUACAAGCAUCAAUCUUUAUUGACAGUUCUCAUAAUUUUUCAAAUCCCAUUUACUCAAGAUGUGAAAGGAACAAUAAACGCCUCAUUCUCAAGUAGAGGAUGUAGAGCAAGGUACCGCGUGUAAACUUCAUAUAUAGACCUAUUGGUAGGAAAAGCAUUUCAUCCUAUUCAACUUUCAGCAUGAUUCUGACUUGUCGCCCUUGUUUAGCGACGAGUCGAUAAGCUCUUGUCAAGAACUCUGAUCUUAAUUAUAGGUUUGAGCAAUGGAUAUAGACCUGAAGGUUUCAAAUUUUCCAGCAUUACUCUCUCUCUCUCUCUCUCUCUCUCUCUCUUACUUACUUUAAUUUGUUAUAAUACUUAGAUACCUAAAUUAUAAUUAAAAAAAAAAGGAUAUAAAUAUGGAUCAAGUCUACGAUUCUGAUAAGAAUGUUUGUGUUGUUCUUCCUACAAUUAGAUGAAAAACUAAUUCAACAAAAACAUCAAACCCAUUGAUUAUGUCAUGAAGCUGAAAGAUAAGUGAACUGUAUAUAUAGCAAGAAUUGGUAAAUGAACUUUAAUGAAAUUUUAAGAUAACUUAUUGUCUAAAGAUCUAGUUGUCUAAUUUUCACUCCAAAUUUGAUUGACAAAGUGGGUUACUUUAAAUAUAGUAUAAAAGAUAGGGUAAGGCUACGGUGUGUUAAUGCAUGUGAUGUUGUCAUCAAGUUAUGAAAUAAGUCCUCAAAGUAUUAAUAUUAGUUUUCAAAGUUGUAAUAUGAGUUGUUAAAAUUGUAAAAAAAAAAAUAGUUACAAUAUCAGUCCUCAUUUUUCUUUAAAGUGGUAAUUGAGUCAUCAAAGUUGUAAUAUGAAUCCUCAAAGUCGUAACAAUUUUUUUUUAAUCACUUUGAGGACUCAAUUACCACUUAAGCACACAAUUUACCACUUUAAGGACACAGGGUUACUAAUGUUGUAAUUAGAAAAUUUCACAACUUUAAGAACUGAUAUUACUAACUUCGAGGACUAAUAUUACUAGUUUGAGGACUUAAUUUACAAAGUUGACGUAUCACAUCAUUCACAUGCAUCAACACAUUGUAGAAUUUUCUUAGAAGAUAAGAUUGUGGAAUAGGCAAAUAAAAGAACGUUGAUAAAAGUUUGACUUGCCAAAAGUGUCCGUAGAGCAAUUAUCAUAGAUCUUUUUUUCAGGAAAUUUUUAUCAAUUUUAGUCGCUUAUAACAAUUCAUAUUGUUUUUUGUUGGACAACAAUAAUAAUUCAUAUGUUUGACCACCAUGUUUCUAUAUUAUGUCAUAUAAUCUUCACCAUUCAUAUAUAUAUGUAUAGAUACAAGCCGUGUACUGAAGAUAUUCUCUAUCUUUUCUUAUAUCAUAAUUUCACAAUUGACGAAACUUUAUCUUUAGAACGUGUAUAGUCAAUGUACUUUUAAAAUAGUUGACCUGAUGUUUUCUUAAAAAUAAUUUAUCCAGUAUGACAGGAAAGAACUUCAAUAAAAAGAGAUGUUGACAACGCUUAAUAUUUCGGAAUAUCACAAGACUCUUAACAAGUUAAACCAUCUCAAAUGCCACAUUUCACUCUUAACAAAUCAUUCAAGAGAUUUCUAUGUUAAAGCACUUAAUUUACUACUGUUGUUAAUUGAAUCAACUAAACCCAAAAUAAUGUGUCUUUUUUUGGUGGACAAGCCUUAAAUGGCGUUAUCUUACUAUCAACCUAAAAUGGUACUAAAGCCCAAUACCAUUUGGUCUAGUGCCAUAAGUGUCUUUUUCUUGUAAGUGAGAGGUUGUGAGUUCGACUUAUAGUAUUGUAGCACAUUAUUGUGCAUUUGAUCCAAAAAAAAAAUGGUACUAAAGAGUACAGUGCUAAAUACUUGAUGUAGAUUUAACAGAACCCAAAGAAAAAUUUAGAAAAAACUAAAGAAAAUUUUAUGAAAAAAUAAACAAAACCCAAAGCGUGGUCCAAAUGAUUGCGUCUCCGAAAAGUAUAAAUAGAAGUAAGGCCCUAACUAAACUCUUCUUCCCAAAUCAAAUCGUAAUCAUUACCACCUCAUUUCUCUGUCUCUCUCUGACCCUCUUUCUCUAUCUACCACUGUUACCUUUCUUGCUGAUGAAGCCGCCCAGAGUCCAAAAACCAUGGAGAAGUAUGAACGGGUCAGAACCAUGUUGACAACGCUUAAUAUUUCGGAAUAGUCAUAGCCAGCAAGUUUCAACAACCAUUUUUGUUGUGUAGGGGUAGUAAUUUUCUGCUCUAGAAAAUACUGGAUGGUUCUAUGGUCUGUACAGAUUGUAAAAUAAGCACCCAAGAGAUAAGGUCUCCAGUGUUGCACUGCAAACACCACAACAAGCAUCUCUUUGUCAUAGACUGACAAUGCCAUGUGUCUUGGAGCCAAGGCUUUACUUAGGAAUGCAAUGGGAUGACCUUCUUGGGAUAGCACAGCCCCAAUACCAACUCCAGAAGCAUCACACUCAACUGUAAAUUCUUUGCCAAAAUCUGGUAAAGCUAGAACUGGAGUAUUCAUCAAAGCAAAUUUCAGUUCUUCAAAUGCUUUAGUAGCUUCAUCAGUCCAAAUGAAUCCUCUUUUCUUCAACAUAUCAGUGAGUGGUUUUGCAAUGCUUCCAAAAUGCUGCACAUAUUUCCUAUAGUACCCAGCGAGGCCUAAAAGGCCCCUCAAACCCUUGAGGGUUUAUGGUCUUUCCCAAUUCUGUAUGCACUCAAUCUUUUUGGGAUCAACUGCCACACCCUUGUCACUUAUAACAUGACCUAAAUACUCCACCUGAUUAACCCCAAAACUACACUUGCUCAUCUUAACCUUUAAUGCAUGCUCUUGUAAUCUGCGGAACACUUUCUCCAGGUGAGCUAAAUGCUCAGAGAAGCUUGGGCUGUAUAUCAGUAUAUCAUCAAAAAACACCAGAACACCCCUCCUCAACAAAUCCCUCAAUACAUCAUUCAUGUUAGAUUGGAAGGUUGAUGGAGCAUUGGUUAAUUCAAAUGGCAUGACAAGGAAUUCAUAAUGACCAUUGUGUGUUCUAAAAGCUGUUUUACUCACAUCUUCAGGACUCAUCCUACUUUGAUGGUAUCCAGACCUUCAAUCCAACUUAGUAAAAAUUAUGGAACCCUGCACUUCAUCUAACAGCUCAUCCACCAUAGGGAUAAGGUACUUAUCCUUAACUGUAGCUGCAUUAAAGGCUCUAUAGUCCACACACAUCCUCCAUGUGCCAUCCUUCUUUUUUACUAACAACACAGGUGAAGAGAAAGGGCUUUUGCUAGGCCUGAUCACACCGUUAUCUAGUAACUCUUGUACUAUCUUCUCAAUUUCAGUCUUUUGGAAAUAAGGAUAUCUGUAAGGUCUAACUGAGAUUGGGGUUGUGUUUGGAAGCAAUUCUAUCUUGUGAUCAUGGUCUCUAACAGGAGGUAGGGAAGUUGGCGGUUUGAAGAUGUCCUCAUAUUUAUCAAUGAGAGCCUGAAUCUAUGGUUGUUGUACUUCAAUGGACUGAUUUCUUAGAGUAGGUCUAACCUGAACCAGCAUAGCUUCCUUUUCCUUUCUUAACAACCGAGUCAUUGCCUUACAUCCAAUCAUGGUGGCCUCAGUUGUAGUUGCCCCCUGCAGCAAAUACUCAAUCCCUCCUACUGUAAAUCUCAUCCUCAUUGUCUCAAAAUUCCAUAAAAUAUCCCCCAAAGACUUCAACCAACCUGCCCCCAACACUAUCUCACAACCAGUGAUUGGUAACACAUAAAAAUCUUUAACAAAAUCAGACUGUUGGAGCUUAAGAGAUGCUCUUACCUCACCCCGAGUUUGCACUUUAGCUCCACUUGCCAGCAACACAUUGAGUGGUGCAAAGUACUGUAUAGGAGUUUUUGUUCCCUUCAGAACACUAGCUAGGAUGCACAAAAUUAUGAGUAACACCUGAAUCAAUGAGUACAUGCACCAUUUUUUUACCAAAUUUCCCUUUCAACUGCAUGGUAUUAGAGGUGGAAUUUCCAUAUGCCAAAACCUGCAAUCUUAUCAAUGGUUCUUCAAUGUUGAUAAUGGGAGGAACUUCAACCAACUGUUUAUUCACCCCAUCAUCACUAGUGUCAUCGCUAUCACUUUGCUCCCCAUCAUCAGGUACAACCUCCAUUACCAUUAACUGAUCAUUCUUCCUACAGUUGUGGCCCUUAGUGUAAGGAGCAUCACACCAGUAACAUUGAUUCCUAGCUCUUCUUGCCUCAAAUUCUGAAUCUGAAAGUAUUUUUCUCCCAGUGGAAGUCCCUGCAACUUUAUGAUGACCAGCCAAUUCCAAUCUAUUACUAAGAGAGCUUUGCUUAGUGUUAUAAGCUGGUGAAGGACUGCUUUUGCUAGAAAACUGAUGUGAAUUUGAACCAACCAAUUUCAGCUGAUUUGAGUGUUUGGCAAAAUUCCUAUGACCAUCAUUCCUCCGCUCAUAGCUCCGAGCUAGAUCAUAUGCCUCAUACAAAGUUCUAGGAUUCUAAGUUAUGACAUCACUUCUAAGAUCUUCUCGUAACCCUUCUAUGAAAAAAGACACCAGCAAUUCAGUUGACAACCCAGGAGCUCUUCUUGACAUUCUUGUGAAUUCCUCCAUGUACUGCUCCACUCUACCAUUCUGGUUCAUCCUUGCCAAAAGAGCCUGAUAAUCAGUCCUAUUGUAACUGCUAAAUUCUCUUAAUAACAAAUCUAUCAAGCCUUGCCAAGUAUGUGGAAACUCAUGCUUGAAAGUAUACCACCUAUCAGAUGCUCUCUCAAUUAAGUGCAUAGUGGCUAGGCUUAACUUCCUCUCUUCCGGAAUUUGAUAAAACUCAAAGUACUGUUCAACCUUAUUCAACCAUUCUAUAGGAUCACCACCACUGAAAACAGCUAAUUCCAAUUGCAUAUGCUUCAUCGUAGGGAGGUUAGGAUCAAUAUUAGGAUGAUAGAGUGGUAUUUGUUGUUGGUUCAAGUGAAAGUGAUUUGGAUCUGGAGGACCAAAAGUUUGCUGGUGUUGCAGGGGAAAGGUUUGGGAAAAAUGUUGUUGAUGGUGGAAUUGAGAUUGAAAUUUAGGCUGAGGUUGUUGGUGUAUAGUGUGUUGUUGUUGUUCAACAGUAGUGAUGGUAUAAGUAGGGUGAACAAUAGUAGGUUUAGCUCCUGCUAGAGAAAAAUUCUGAAAUGAAUCAGACGGCCUUAGAGGUUGUGAACAACUGAUGGUUGAAGUUUGGUAAGGACCAGAAUAACUCAUGUUGAAUGAGUCAUUAGCCAUAGUGACCAUAGGCUGUGAACAAACAUUCUGAGCAAAGGUAGGUGGAGAGUUACCUCUCGGAGAAAAUGGAAUAGCAUUAAAGCCUAACCCCAUAGCACCUGCAACAUUCUUGCCCCUCUUAUUCCUCUCUUGCAAAUCCAUCUGAGGGCCAAGAGGAUUACCAAUAUUCACAUUUAACCCUCCAACAAAAAUACUAGACCCAUUAACCCCCACCUCAUUCUCAAGUACUGCAUUAAGAGAGUUAUGAAAGGUUUGAGCAUCAUUACCCCCUGGAUGAUGAACCCUAGUUGAGGAUCCCUCAGAUCUGGCCAUGGUUGAAGAUGAGGCAGAACUCUCAAGCACAGAUCUGGCUUGCAACACAGGUGAAUCCACUGAACCAAAACUAACAGAGUUCUGGUUAUUGAAUCCCUGAGAGCUCCGAGGACCCGAUUGGGGGUUAGCAGCAGUGAUGUAAGUACUGGCAAACGAGUUUAGUUGUUGGCGGAACUCUUCCAUAAGAACAGAUCGAAAAUCAGAGAAGUUAGCUUGCAUAUCAGUAUGUAGAGAGGACUGCAAGGAUUGUUGCAUAGCGUCGAGACGGCUACUAGUCUCAUCGCGAUGGAUCUGUAGCUCCAGCUCAAGAUGAGCAAGCUCACCCGAAACCUCAAGCUCAUCGACGUUGGAUUUGUCCGCUCCCUUGACCUUCCCCAUGGAUCGAAAGACUCUUGAUACCACUUGUUAGGGUACUAACCCCAACUGCUACUGGACUACACUACUACGAAGAAGAAAGCAAAACACAAUUCUAUUCUCAAAUGAAGAUGCAGAAGCUACAACGAGUGGAUAUAAAGCCCUCACCAUGAGUGACACGUGUCGCUCAUUUACUGGCCUAACUCAAAACAUACCAAUUAAUUAAACUAAACCCUAAUUAAGAGACUAAUUAGAGUUCUAAGAUAAGCACGUGCAAAACAGCUGCACCUCUCUUCUCCUACUGAACCUGAAAGGUAAAAUUUCCUAACACUCUUGUUCCGCAAGUCUUGAUUUAUCAGCUCAUCUUUUAUAUAACUAGACAAAGCAAAACUUUUACUUGAUAUGAACAUUAAUAUUUAGGUAUAUAUCUAGUAAUUUUCUGCACUUCGUAGUAUAAUUAACCAUCAAAAUUUUAGAACUCAUGAAUCAUACGUACGUAUUGGGUUUCUCAUCAAACUUCUUUGUGAAUGAUUAGAAUGUUAAUUACAAGUACAAUCAAGAAAAAAAAGUUACUACUAUAUAAUUAUCUAUGUAUCUUCAUGUAGCAGAAUCUAAAUCCUACCAAAGGUAUACAUACUCUAUUAGUUAUUUACUUAUAAAUAAGAGUCCUUAAGGGGAAAUAGGUCUAAGAAAGCUAAGCUCAUGUGAAAUUGGGAAACUUGAUCUUAGAAAAAUCACACAAUGUGAUCCUGAUCAGGGGCAGAUCUAGGUAGGAGCUUGGUAGGGCUCAAGCCCAACCAAGCUUUCUGGGUAAAUAUACCAGUAUAUGUUCUACUAGCAAAACAACUAAUGUUGCAGGCUUGGUUAUGGAUAUUUACUAACUUCAAGCCCACCCGGGUUCGACUCAGGGCUUUGUAGGUCUUUUUUUUCUUCACAAUUUUACAUCUUAAUUUCUUUCUUUUUUAAAAAUUAUUUUUUCCAUAAUUCUCCUAAAGGCACACUGGGCUCAAAUUAGACAAUAGACAUUCUUUCUGUGUGACUUUGAAUCUAUCAAGUCUUUAGGACCUCAAUUUUUUAGGUAAUAGCAUUCUUUUGUUGAUGUUAGGGCGCGUGUUUAAUUAUAACUCUUGCGAUUGUUUUAUUUUGAAUUUAUUUUUGAUUAAAACUUUUUCUCAACCCCUUUUGUUUUAUUGAUAGAAAAGAUUCAAAAUUUUAGAUACUUAAUAUAUUUUAGUUACAUAAUGAUAUUUCGGUGAAUUUUCUUAUCACUUUUAACUAGGGGAGAAAAAAAAUUCAAACCCACCCCGGUUCUCAAUCCUGGAUCCGCCACUGAUCCUGAUCAUGUAUUUAUGUUAUUAAAGACAACUAGGGUUUGGAAUCAUAUACACAGGAACAAACCUUUUGUGAUAAUUGUUCGAUUCUUCCAAAGCCGUGUCUUCAAAUCAACACUCAAAGUUCUUCAAGUCUUUGGUAAGAAUUCUUAUGUUGCAAUUUUCAUACUUCUUGCUCUUCAUGUUAGCAAGUCUAGUUUAUGACACACGAUACAUUGUGCAAUUUUAAUCAGGCUUACCAUAUGGAAAAUACUUACGUUCAGACUAGUAUGUACGUGUGCGUCUGGACUCUCUUUUAUUUACAUACAUUUGUCAUUGUAAAUCAUGAUCUUAACCGUUCAAAAGUUGAAUUAAUCAAUGUAGAUCACCUCUGCAAAAAACAAUGUAAACAGAAAUUGUUUGCUUAUCCGAAUGAAUCAAACAAAUUGACAGCUGAUCAUGAGACUGCUAACUUUUACCAGAACUAUCCAUUCGAUUUCUGUUUACAUUGAUUUUUUUCAGAGGUGAUCUUCAUUGGUUAAUUCAACUUUUAAACGGUUAAGAUCAUGAUUUAUAUGGUAAAUGUAUGUAAAAUAAGAGAGAGUCCGUACACACAUAUACAUAUUAAUCCGGACAUAAGUAUUUUUCAUACCAAUUUUCAUUAAUUUCCCGACAAAAAAAAAAUUUCAUUAAUUUCGAGUUAAAUCUUAAAAAUUGAAGAAACGACGUAGUUUGACAACUUUUAAUGGGACCGGGACAAACUCCACACUUUCCCGCUACACCUCGCGGCGCUCUCGAGGUUUCCACUACAGGGCACUCUCGACCUUUCACAACCCACCAAAUUCCGUCACUAAAACGCACCGUUUUGCCCGAAUCUCUUUCUCUUCUUCUAUAUGCUCACACCCUCACACACCAGAACCGCCUUCGUCCCUUUCACUCUCUCUCUCUCUCUUCUCUUUCUCUCUACUAAAAAAUGGUUAGGGUUUCUUAAGCGCGUCUUCUUCGCGUUAUUCUUUUUUCUUUUUUUUAAAAACAAUGUUGCAGAAAAACCCUAAUUCUUUCCCCGAUUCCCGCCUCUUCGAGCUUUCUAGGUCAACCAUGGAUUGAUUGAUUCGUCUUCUUCUUCUUCUUCCUUGGUAAUUAGCCUUCACUCCUUCUUUCUCUCUUCUCUUUCGUCUCUUCUAGAAUUCAGGUACUUCAAUCUUCUUUGAGUUCGUCCCUGUCCUCCCUGUAAUUACACGCUUGGAUUUAUCUUCAAACUUAAUCUGGAAGUAGAACUAGGAUUUCUAAUUUUUAUACUUUUUAUUUUUAUUUUUUAUUUUCUUAGUUUUGACGUUAUUGUUAUUAGAGUUAUUGAAGUUUUGGGGAUUAUUUAGGGUAGGUUUAGGAUUUGGAAGUUUAAUUUUGUGUGUUUGAGUAGGGUUAUUGUUGUCGGUAUUGGGUAUUUAGCUUGCUGAGUAGCUUUCAGAUCUAGUUUUUGUUUCGUAGUACUGGAAUGGUUCCAUAUGAUUGCCUUAGCAGCUGAAACUUGGAUUCGUAGCUCGGUUACUCGCUUAAUUUGCUUUUAGAUUUAUCUGCUCAUGUUAUUUGAAUGAUUUUGUCGAGGUGAAUUGAUAUUCUAUUUUGGAAUGGUGCUUGUGGCUCUAUAGGCUGACAUUGUGUGUCGUUGUAUUGUGUAGGGUGGCAGUCCUUCAGUCGAAAUGUAUAAUGUUCCUGAACAUGCAAAUAACGAGGUUUAUAUGGUAGGUUCUUAGUAAGUUCUUUACCGUUGCUAUAGCAUUGUUAGCUUGAUCGGAUUUUGAGUGUUUGGUGAAGUUAUAGUCCUCUUGGUGGGUUAUUGAGUGUUUUGUGACUUGACUUGCAGAUCCAAGGGAUGGAACCUAAUAUGCAUUUCGCUGCUCCCUUUGAACAAGUUGAUGCCAUGUACAAUGAAGGAGCCCCUGAGUAUGUUGUUGAUCAGGGCAUGUAUUAUCCAACCGCCAACAACUAUGGGUACUACGGUACAGGUAUCUAUCAUGGUGUUUCGUUCUGGUAGUUUACCGUGAUGAGUAAUAUGUCUCAUACUCUCAUUGAUGUUAUUUAAAUUGAUUGUGGUCAGGAUUUGAAUCACCCGGUGAAUGGGAGGACCAACGUAGGAUUUUUGGUGUAGAUGGUCCAGAUGUCCAGUACACGGUAUGCCACUCAUGUUCUCUUUCUUUGAUGCGUAUAGAAUUUAACUUCUUUAGUGACAUUAUCUGUGGUCAUUCUCUAAUUUGUCUCUUUGUUUCAGGGUCCGCAAAAUGAAAGUUUGCCUUAUGCAUAUUAUCCACCUGGCUAUGGAUAUGCACAGACUUCAUACAACCCUUACAACCCUUACAUACCUGGUGCUAUGAUAGGUGUUGAUGGCCAACAGUAUUAUACUAUCCCCUCUUAUCAGAACUCUGUCUCUUCACCCGCUUAUGUCCCUUUUGUUCAGCCGGAUGUCAUUCCCAACAGUUCAGCUGAAUCUUUGUAUGAUACUGGAUCAUCUAUUAACAGACCUGGUGGAAGAGGCCUUCAAUAUAAUUUGAACUCCGCUUCUGGAGCCUUCUCUAACACUUCUAAGACGUCUUCUAAUCAGAUGAGCCCCUUGACUAGGUUAUUAGAAAGGCCAAGAGGCAAUGUUGGACCAAACAAGCAAGCUGUAACUCAUGGUAGUGUUUCUUCUGGUCGUUUUCCGAACCCUACUCACCAGGUACAUCUCUUUCCCUUGUUUAGGUUUACGCACACACGUACAAACACACACAGACAUGUAUUUGGUGUUUCUUGUAGCAUUUAUUGAGGAGGUUUUUAAUGUUGAUUUCACUUCUUUCAUAUGUUCAGAGUAGAAGUGCGUCCGGCUCAGUUUCAGCUGUGGAUAACCUUUCAAAUGGGAAAGUACUGCCUCAUCACAAUCAAUUGAAGGUAGCAAUCCCUGUUGGCAAUGGCUUAUCUGAUUUUGGGUCGGGUGCACAAGGACGAGAUGCUGUGGCUAAGCCUCGGCCAAAGUUCCAUGUUGGCAGGGCCUUGAAUGAUAUACAUGGUAAUGUAGAGCCGUUGAGUGAGCAGAAUUGUGGUCCUAGAAUCAAUAGGUUGAAAAAUCAAUUAGCUGUUAAAGCCUACACAACCAAGGCGGGAGAUAGUAAUGCACAAGGAAAUAUCAUUAUUCGCACCGAUCAGUAUAACAAGGAAAGUCUCCCAGUUGAUUAUGCGCAUGCAAAAUUUUUUGUAAUAAAAUCAUACAGCGAGGAUGAUGUGCAUAAGAGUGUUAAAUACAAUGUGUGGUCAUCCACACCCCAUGGCAACAAGAAACUAAGCAGUGCUUAUGAAGAUGCCCAACGAAUAGCUGCAGGCAACCCUGGAGGCUGUCCUAUUUUCCUCUUCUUUUCGGUGAGUUAUACAGUGUUUUGUUUCAGCUAUCAUGUAUGAAUCUUCAGGCUUCUCUAUUAGUUUGUUUAUGAACAGGAGAUAAAAUGGAAGCGGUACUUUAGUGGUUCAUUGAUUAUGCUAAAUUUGAACUUUCUAUCUACAGGUAAAUGCAAGUGGUCAAUUCUGUGGCAUGGCAGAGAUGGUUGGCCCGGUUGACUUCAACAAGGACAUGGACUUUUGGCAGCAAGACAAAUGGAGUGGGAGCUUCCCUGUUAUUUGGCACAUUGUCAAAGAUGUGCCCAACACCAGUGUCCGGCACAUUGUAUUGGAGAACAAUGAGAACAAGCCGGUGACUAAUAGCAGGGAUACACAAGAGGUAUAUAAGAUUCUUUCUAGCUGCAUUACCAUGAUUAUCUUCCAUUGUUAUUUGUCAACCUGCAUGAUAAUGUUUCUAAGUGAUAUGACUGAUAUCUGAUGCAUCUUUGAUGGUUGGUUAAUCAUAGUGGUUGGCAAGAGAUGUGUGAUUUUUGGUAGAAUCUAGACAUGUACAACUCAUAGCUUCUAACAGUGUUUUGGUUUAGUGAUCUUGUUAAUGUUUGUCAUGAAUAUGUUCCCCAACUUAGUAGUGUGUGUUUACCUGAACCAUUUUUGAUAUUUGACUUGUAUUGUUAUGUCUUUAUACCCCUUCUUGAGUGAGUAUUAAGAAUAUAUCCGAGUUGUUCACUGAUUAAUAUUGUUGUGCAGAUCAUGUACAAGAAAGGCUUGGAGAUGUUGAAAAUAUUCAAGAAUCACACAAUGAAGACCUCAUUGCUUGAUGACUUUAUGUACUAUGAGGACCGUCAAAAAAUCAUGCAAGAUGAGAGAGGCAGGUAUGUUGUUAGAAAUUUCGAGACCCCAUUCUCAGUAACAGCAUUAGGUCCCCCACGCAAGGUGAACCCUGUUCGUGAGCUGCCUCGCAGCAAAGAGGAAAAGGACACCAAACCUAAUGAUGCAAACAACUUCGAAAAGUCUCUGGUUCCUGUAUCUGAGCAGGUUUCCUCAAACUUAGAUGUUAAAUGUGCGAGUAUUAGGGGUGGUAAAUCAGAGGAAAAGACACUUGAAGCAGAAGAUGAUGCUGUAUCUACCUUAAAAAUUGGUUCUCUCACUAUUGAUCCCAAGUAUGUGGAACUUGAUUCUUCAGCUGGUGCUGCUACUGCUACUUCAAAAAAUGUUGAUGUUGUCACUGUUGGCUCAAUUCCUGUUAAAGUAAAUGGAUUUGCUGAAUCCUUGGGUACUUUAACAGUUGGAACGAUCCCUCUGGAUCCUAGAGCACUAAAACUUGAGAAGGGCAGUUCUCUCAACUAAAUGGGUAGCCAUGAGAAUGAUUUGGAAAGUACUCACAGUUUCGAUUUUUUGGUGCUUUUUUGUGUGGUCAAAGUUUUCCUUGGAUCCUGAGAGUCAAGGUUAUAGUCAAUGAUAGAGUGGACUGGCUAUGAUGUAGUCUCUAUUUUUUUCACCCCCUUAUCUAGUUCACUUUCGCUCCAGUUGUUUCUUGUCCACCCUUUUACUUAUGGGGGUUAUGUUGUUGCUGGAAAGAGAAAUACAGAUUUACAUUCAAGAUACCCAAAAAAAUGCUGUUACUAGCCAACUCUUUUUUGUGCUGCACUUUUUUUUUUCUUUUUUUCUUUUUUUUUUUCUGUCUUACCCUUUUUUUUCAAUGGCCAGAAUUUGUUCAUUUCUUGUGAGCAUUUACUUUGAUGUCUUCAUGGCAGCAGAUUUACCACAGCAUUCUUUGCGACCUUGAACAAAUGUUUCCUACACGCAACUACCAAUGCUUUAUUUCCGAAUUUGAUGGCCGAAUCUACCAGUUUGUGAAUGUCCCUGUUAAAGCAGAGAUAUUCAAUCUCCAAGAUUUUUAGGUCAUGGUUCAUUACAUUCGUAACUUAUAUUGGCUUAGAAAUCUUCAUAACAUUUCGUGCAGUGUUCUUAGCAGUGUUUAACAUUUCAUCCCAUUCAGACCAUUUCACGCAGUGUUUCCAGAAUUCUUAGCAGAAAAUCAGAUACAGCUUCUCGAUCAGGGGAUUGUGACUUAGCAAAGUUCUUUUAGGGAAGAGACCUAAGCUAGAGAUCAUUGAUGAUUCAAAUUCCGUUCCUCAGUUUAGGGCAUCCUACAGAUUUCAGGGAGAACUACCAAAAGUCCAAAACUAGAGUAUAUAUCUUGACGGUUCAAGCUCUUUUUCAUGAAUGGAAGAGAUAGUCAGAUAGUAGUAGGCAUUGGAAUUUGCAAAGUUGGAUAUCCAAAACUUAAAGAGUGAACCAAAUGGCCAAUCAGCCUUUCAAACAAAAAGUUUUGAUGCUUAUGUACUAAGAUGGAAGGACUAACAAUGGUCUCAAUUUUUAGUGAAAUAAGCAUAAGCUUGGAUUCAUAUAAUAAGCUUGAGAGGGUGGUUUUGAUUUCCUUAUUUGUUAGAAGCUAGAACAUCAUCUGUGUUGUUAGAGAUGAUAUUCAUUGUUUCUUGAGAAAUGUCAUGCCAUUGUAUCAGAUAACAUUCCAAUCUUGCAGAAAGAUUGCUUACUAUGUUGGACAUUAUUAGAGGGCUAGGUGCAGAGUUUUUUUUUUACUAUACCUCUCUUGUUUGUAGCUUGUUUGUAUUCCUUUCUGUUUAAGAAUUCAAGACAGCUCUUCAAACUCUUCUCCUGAAUGUAAUGCCAUGAUUCUAGGCAUGGAAUUUCUGUAAUCUGUUAAAGGGUUAAGUUGACUUUGGUUGUCGUAUCGACACGAGUCACGGUUGGAGCCGCAGACUAGACUGGAUAAAAGCACAUGAACUCAAUCUCCAAACAUGCAUUAUGAACAUAGCAGCUGGUAUGGAAUCAGUCAAUGAUGAACAUUGUGAAAAAAAUAGCAGAACUGCUUUUCGUGACAUAUGGGUGGGUAUAGUUUGUCUUUU